UAAAGAAUGCUGGUGGGAUCAAAUUGAUUUGGGUGAAUUCAAUUUUUAAUAUUUCCCAGACUAAUUCAGGUUAAUUUCAUAUUCAAAUCAUUUAGGUGAAGGCGAGUAGUUUAGGUUUUAAGGCUUCUUUUUUUUGAACAUGAUCAUUACUUGUUUGAAUAAUUUUAAGUGCUAAUCGUUUCAAGUUCAAAUCGUUUUAGAUUUAAAUUGUUUCGAAUUUAAAUUCAAUAGAUUAAAUCAAAUAGAUUUGAAUUUUUCUGGCCAAAUUUGUAAAUUUUAAUCAAAAAUUAAAGUAAUGCUUUAAGCUUCUUCACGCUUUGAGAAUUAGGAUUGGUUAUCCAACUAAGUUAAUAUCAUUCAUCAAAACGGAUUUAAAUUCUAUUGAGGACCGACUCGUAUAAACAACGAGAUAGAAAAAGUAGAGAAUAAAAUACAUAAAUAUUUUACGUGGCAAACCUUCAAAAAGAGAAAAACCACGAGCUAAUGAUGUAUUGACUUUUCACUAAAUGAGUAAACAAACGAUAGUACAAUAUGCAGAAACUAACUUAAAAGUACUAAACGUACAAUCUCAAACCCCGAAAACAAAGUCUUAACUUGGAAACGAAAUGCUCUCCAUAAUUAUUACGAAACUUUCACCAAAACUCAUAUACGACUACAUCUUGUCGCCUAAAAGAAAAGUCAUUGUUGAUUGGUGUGUUAAUUUUGGCCACUCAAAAUACGGAUACAAUGACCCCUUUAAAUAGGCUAAGAUUAUAGUUCUAAUCAUACUAAAAUAUCAUUGGAAUAAAUAGUGCUUAACUGGGAGAAGAAGUUUUACUUGAAGUAAAAAAAAACAGCCGCUUAUAUGGAGAAUACGUCGUCUCUACUUCGCCAUUUCAACGUUGUCAGUUGCUCAUCAAACGUCUUUCUAUACUACUUGCAAAGAAUUCGAUAAAUGCAACACACCCCACAAAUUCAGUUACAAAAUUAUUAAAAAUUCAUUUUUUUUACAUCUUUAUAAAUCAUUACAAUUUUGCAUAAAAUAAAAAUAUUAUUAUAAAUAUUAAACCUCUUAACUUAUCAUUUCAACCAAAAUAUAAUUUAUUUUUUUAUAUAAAAUUUUAAUAAAUAUAUUUAUUACAUAAUUUUUUCUUAAAUCUAAUAUAUAAAUUAGGUUGACAUAAUUAUUACAGGCAAUAUAUGUAAAUUCUAAAGUAGAAAGAUUGUAAUAUUAAUGUAGGUUUAAAGUUAAAAAAUGUUUUGUCGGAUUCAGUUGGGUCCUAAAUCAGACAUAGAUUCUGAACAUUCAUAUGAUACACACCAAGUUGAGAUAAGAUAAAAGGUGAUUUAAGUAUUUAAUAAUGCCUCAUUAAUUAUAUAUUUAUAUUACUGCUAUUAUUAUUUAAGAGAUUAAUUAAAUUAAUAUAUCACUUUAAUCAGAUUCAACACAAUAUGAUAUUAUAAAAAUAUAUAUAUCAUUUUUAUAAAGUAAUAAGUUUAAAAAAUUUGCGGGUAAAAGUAUUAUGGAAACUUUAUUAUAGGAGUAAGAUUGUGUUUUAUCCUCUUUACUUAAAAAUAGAUAAAUUAGUCUUUAUACGUUAAAUUAAAAAAAAGUAAAUUAGUUAUUUCUAUUAAAAUUCAUCUACUUGUAUGGUUAAAACUGACUCGAUUGAUUGAAUAACUAAAUAGUUACACGCCACGUGUACAUUAUAUUGAUGUACAAACACAAUUUUUAACAAUAAAAAUGUGUAAAAAAUUUAACAAAAAAUUAAUCUACUCAUUUUUUAAAUAAAGAAGAAAAAUACAAUCAAACCGUUUGUAUAAUAAACUCCUUUACACUUUUACCAUUGUUUUUAAGUGAGAGAGACAAGGUGAGCUUGCAUGCACGUGAUGAAAUGCAUAGGAUUCAUAAAAAAUAAAAAAUAAAAAAUAAAAUAAAAUAAAAAGAUCAAAAGAUGUCUACUUUAUAUCAUCUUUUUUUAAUGUAUAGUUUUUAUUUUUUUUCUUUUUGUAUGAUUGGGAUUUGUGGACCACCCUCAAUUACCAUUACCAAAAUUGAGGGUACAUAACAAAUUAUUCACUUGGAAUUUGUGAAGUUGGUGGUUUAAUGUGCAUAAAUCAUGUUCACAUUACAAUUAUUCGGUGGUGGCGGAGUCAAAAUGUAAAAAUUAGACGUGCUAUGUAAAAAAAAUAAUUCUCAUUUUAACUUUUAUAAUGAUAAGAGAUGAGGAAAAUAGUGUGAGUGUAGAGAUGCUCAUGGGCCGAGUCGAACCUAAAUAUAAUAUUAGUAUACUUUAUGCUUACUCAAGCUUGACCUAGCCUGAAAUUUAAGCUUAAGUUUUUGCUCAAACUUGUCUAUAUUUACAAAAGACUAACCCAAGCUCAUUUUAUGUCCGCCCAUAUUUUUUAAAAUUUUUAAAUAUUUAUUUUAUUUUAUAUUUAAUAAUUUUAUACAUUUUUUAUUUAUUAAAAAAUUAUUAUAUAGUCAUAUUAAUGUUAUUUUAAUAUUUACAUUAGAGUAGUAUUAUAUAUUUACUAUAAGUUUAUUUUUUUUAAUGUGCUCUAAAUUACGUAAUAUAUAAAAAUAGUAUUAUAAAAUUAAAACAGGUCGAGCUAGGCUCGGGCCUUGAAUGUUCAAGCCCAAGUUGAACCCAUAUUUUAAAUAGGCUUAAUUUUUUUACCUAACCCAAUUCUAGGUCUAAUAUUUUUUCCCAAAAUUCAGGCGGGCCUUCGGGCCUAUGCCGGUAGCUCAGCCCUUGAAUAGGUCUAUGUGAGUGCUAAGAGUGGGGACGACUCUUUUCAUAUUCUAAUUUUUACUCUUCAAAUUUGACUUCUUCAAAAAUAUUUUCUCUUUAUUUUUAUCAAUAAUAAUUUUUCUUAAUAUUAUUUUUAAUACUAUAAAAAUAUUAAAGAAGCUCCAUAAUAUUAUAUAAAAGAAGAAAUUAAAAAAUCUUACACCUUAAAGCGCCAUGCCCUCGGGUCUCUCUUAGUGGCUCUACCACUGAAUCAUUCCUUUUCUCCCUUUUCUUAUUUACUUCUUUAGUUUUGUGAGUUCAUCAUAGUUUCAAGUGAAGUGAAAAACAAGGAAGUAAAUUUGAUUGGUUGGUGAACCUUACCGAAAUUUAUUACCUCACGUGAAAAUUAAGAUUAUUAAAACGGUUAAAUUAUUAUUUGGGAUUUCAAUAUAGUAAUUAUUUUUAUAUUAGAAUUUGAAUUUUUUUUGUCAAAAUUAGGUUUUAAAUUUGACAAAUUUUACUAUAAUGGGGUUUGAUUUUUUUUUUCAAGUUAGUCAUUGAACUUAACAGUUAUUCUUAUAUUGGGGCCUAAAUUCGAAAAUUGUUCCCUAUUGAGAUCUAAAUUUUAGGUUUUUCAAUGAUUAAUUUUGAUGAGUAAAAGUCCAAGCCACAAUCUGAAAAUGAUUGUCAAAUUAAGGGUUUAACUUAAAUAAAAAAAAUUAAACCCAAUGUGAGAAAAUUUACCAAAUUCAAAUUCAAAAAUAAAAUUAGAAAAUAGAUUUUUUUUAAUUUUUAACGAGGAAAACAAGUGUUUUUUUUUUAGAAAAAUCCUAAUUUUUUUAACUAAUGAAAUAAGUGUAAAGAUUACAAAAACGUUUCGAGCUCGAUUCACGUGAUUUUUCUAAAAUGGGAUAAUUUCAGUAUCGGUCCUCCAUAGUAUGUGUUCUAUGUGGUUAAGCCUUUGAUUUCAGUUUUUAUUUAUUAAAUUCAAUCCCUAUGUUCAACAUGCUAAUACGACAAUAUGUUUAAAAGCAUUAUGUCAUUCUAAUUGAAGCAAGCACACAUUUUCAAGCUAUUGCCUUUUAUCUUCUAAAAUCAAACUUAGAUAAUAAUAAAAAUUGGGUUAAUCAUAAAUUUGGCCACUAAUGUUUAAAUGUUUUCUCUAUUAAUCUUACACUGAUAAAACUUGAACUGAGAACUGAUUCUAAUAGACUAAAUUGAUAUAAUUAACAAUAUCAAUAAUUAAUUGUUGUAUUUUUAUUAUUUCGCUAAAAACAAAUAGAGAUAAAAAAAUAAAAAAUAAAGGUUUUAACUUCAGAUCUUAAGGUACAAGAGUCACAAUCACUACACUAAUGGCACGUUUGAAUAGGUGCUUACUUCCAAUGCGAUACGUUUAGUUUUUUUUUUCUCUUACGCUACAGAACUAAUAUCACCGUUACUGUUAUUUUUACAUUAACUGCAGAUAACGUACCGUCCAUCUAAUGGGCCCUAAAAGGGUGUUGAAAACAUUUUUAAAAAGUUACAUAUGAUUGACAUCUUUUUUAAUAGAAGACAUUUAGAAUUUAUAGAAGUAAAUAUAUAAUUAUUUUUAAUGUUUUAAAAAUGUUUUAAAUAUAGUAAUAUGUAAUUUAUCCUUUCUAAUUGAUCAAUAGAAGUUAGAAUAUUUUACAAAACAUUUCGUUUAUUUUCUUACUAAUUUUUUUUCAUACAAACAUUUAAUUACAUGUGUUGAAUUUGAAAAAAAAAUAAUUUAACUUUUAAGUAUUUAUAUUCCUAUAAUAUUAAACUAAUUUGUAAUAAUGCUAUGGGAUUAGUUUUUGAUAAAUCAAUUAAUUUGAAAUAAUAAAUUAAAUUAUUUUGUUUGCUUCAGGUUACAUUUUAGUUAUUUAAGUUAUUGUUUUGUUACGAAAUGGUCACUCUAUCGUUAAGAUCUAUUACCUUUUAAAUGACAGUCUGACGUCGUAGUUAAAAUGAGUUUUAAAUGUCAACGUGAAUGUCCAACCAAGUAAAUUAAUUCAUUUUUUAAUUAAAUAAAUUGAAUUAAUUGAAUUUUCUAAAUUAAUUAAAGGAAAACGUUAAUUUGGUUUCCUCAAAUAAUCAAGACCAAUGUAUCAGAUUAAUCCUUGAAUUGAAAAGAAAGAACCAUUGGUCUCCUUUUUCUUUUAGUUUUUGUUUCCAUUUUGACUGGAAAAAAAAAUCAUUCAUUUUUAUAGUCAUCUUUGUUGAAUCGAAACAGUAGAAAUCAAAUUGAGUGCUCCAUCAAUCAGUUGGAUUUUUUAUUCAAAAUGGAAGAGCAGAUGAUCGAUUCAAUGGAUGAUCCAGGCGUGGAUUACAAUAAGUAAUGGUUCUUUUUUUGUUCUUUACUGAGUUUUGGAAUCAUAUAUUAUGGUUUUUUUUGCAAAAAGGUACUCAAUCUUUUCAUGUUUUUCUGUAUAUGCGACAGACAAAAAUGACAUUUUCAUCUUUAUUUAUUUAUGUAUUGUGGGCAACCACAUAGCAAGUAGGUAUAAAAAGUCGAUGCAUCCAUUUCUUAUUCUUCUUCUUUGUCGUUUUGCUCUUCUCUUCUCUAAUGGUAACAAAAAAACCAACUGUCGCCUCUUUUUAUACAGGAGAAAAUUAGGUUUUAGAACAAAAUUUUAUAUUCUAUUUUCAUAAAAAAAAUAACUUUUCUCAUCCCAAUUGGACAUCUAUAUUGGCAUUUAAAACUCAUUUUAACGGUCAUUUGGGAGGUAACAAAUCUUGACGACAAAGUGACUAUUUUUUAGCAAAACGAUAAUGUAAGUGACUAAAACGUAACAUUUCAAACAUAAGUGACUAAAAUAUAACCUAAAGCAAAGAAAAAGAGAGAGAAAAAGGGACUAUUUUGAUAAUUUACCCAUAAAUUUAUUAAAUUCAUAAAAAAAUAAAACUAAAAAUACAAAAUUUCACAUCUUAUGUUAAAAUUUUCCCCAUACAAUAAAUAAAUUAAAGAUACCAACAAUUCAAGAGUUAUUGUAGCAUAUAUGACAAUUAAAAAUAUGUAAUUAUGUCAAUUAAAAUGCACAACAUUAAGUUCAAUUAUUGUACGUGACACACUAUAAAUAAGAUACUUACAUAAAGGAUGGUAGAAAGUUUUUUGUGUGUGUUAUUUUAAGAUUUUUUGCAUUUUAAUUAUUUUUUCUAUUUUUUGUAUUUUUAAAUUGAAAAAUACUAAGCACAUCAUCUUUCAUUUUACUUUAAAUAAACUAAAAACAAAUAUGUCGAUAUGCUCCACGUUAAAGAUUAUAUUAUCGAAUUAAUUUUGUUUUUACAAUUUUGAUCAAAAAUUUGAGAUUGCGGAGUCUCCAACAUCAAAUAUUUUUGAUACAGAAACCUACCUCAUUAGUUACUAAACUAUGGGUACUUAAUUAAAAAAUUUACAAUUAGGUCACUGAUAUUUUUAAAAUUGUUUUUUUUUCAUCACACGAUUAUUAAGUGACACUUGUUUAUUUGGUAUAAUAACAAUUUUAAUCUUUAAUUUUUAUAUCUUCUAAUAAUUUGAAACCCAUUUUAUAUAAAAAAAAUAUUGAAAAAACUUAAAAUUAUUUAAAAAUUAAAAAUAAAAAUUUUAUAUAAAAAUUUCAAAGAAAUAAAAUCUCUAAUAUGUUGUUGUUGAAGAACUAAUAUGUAUGGGAAAUAAAUAUAUUUAUCACUCAAUAGAAUCUAAUAACAAAUUGAAAACAAAAACAAAAACAAAACUAAAGAAGUUGGAUCAUUAUAUGCUUUCUCAGUGUUUCUGAUACCAUUUUUAACAAAAAAUACAAAAUACAUAAAUUUUUUUAAACUCACUUCAAAAUUUAAAUUAUAUUUAAAUGUUGUUCCACGUUUAUUAUUUACAGAAAUAGUCAUUCCAACUUAUUUCUAUAAAUAAAUCAUAAAUUCAUGUAAAAUUUUUAGAUGAUAAGCCCUUAAACAUUUUAACUCCUUCAACUGGUAAACUCAUGGCUUUAUCGGGAAAUUCAUAAAUUUAUAGAUUCCAAAGACUAAUCUCAGAAUCCGACGACCUUAUUUUCCGUUUUUAAAUCUAAUAUGGUCCCUUUCACCUUUCAAUUCCCCAUUGUUAGUUAGGUCAUGUUUAGCAGUGUUUUUUAGAAAUACUUUUGACGUGAAAAAUAUUUUUGAUGCAAAAUGAAUGCUAAAUAAGCAAUUUUUGAAAAGAAAUUUUUGACUUUUUAAAAGCAUUUUUCCCAAAUUAGAGGAGUUAAAUAUUUUAGCUUUUCUUUCCAAAAAAUAUUUUUGAUAGUUUAAUUAAGUUUUCACCCCUCUAACACAUGUUUCUUUCCCUUCUUUGAUUAAUAGCUUAAAAAAUAUUUAAAAUUUAUUUUUUAUAUAUUAAAAUAUCAUAAUAUUAACUAAUUUGAAUAUUAUUUAAAUGUUUGUUUGUUACUUUAUAACAUCAUAUCUAAAAUGGAUAUUUUAUUUAUUAAAAAUACUUUUUGACAGCAAUACUAAACACUUAAAUCUUAAACCAAAAUUUUCAAAAGUAUUUCUCAAAAUAACUUCUUCAAAGCAUUUUUUUAAAUGUAUUUCUAAAAAAAAUGUAUCUUGCUUAUCUCCAUCUCACCAAAGUCCAUCCCUUCACUAGUACUCAACAAUAUCUAUAUUAUCGUCAUCUCCAUUAACCCAUAAAUGAGUAAGUUUUUUAACUUGAAACUCAAAUAAACUAGAUCCGAAGAAGAAGAAGAAGAAAACAUUAAUACAUGCUACAAUCAUGACGUAGUUAGUAACUUAGAAGGCUAAUUUCCCUCCAAACCCUUUCUUUUCCUUUUUUGUCUUUAAACGAAAUAACCAGACAAUUACACGUGGUGUAUGUGGCAUACAUACCUCAUGUUGACGUAUAAAAACCAAUUUUUCAUAAUAGAAAUGGAUGAACUAUUUAACACAAUGACCAAUUCACUCUUUGAUCUAGCAUACAGAAACUAAUUUAAUCAUUUUCUAAAUAGAUGAAACAAAAUACAAUCUAACUCAUUGUUCAAAAACCUCCACGAUGCUUUUACCGUCUAUUUACUGAUGUAACAAGUUUGAGACUAAUUUCAUGAAUAGGAGCAACAAUAGUCAUUAUGUUAGAUAUGAUAGUAGAAACUUUUCAAGCACAUAUGAAUUUGCCCAUUAAUCAAUCCAAACCCCAUAAUUGAUGGGGAGUGGAGGCCCCCCCAAAUAGCUCGGCGGAUCAGGCAAAAAUAUAGAAUUGUUCAACUUUCUUCAUUUUUAAAGUAAAUAUUGGUUUUCAGGACCCAACUUUUCUGUCUGCCUGCAUUUAUUAUUGGUUCAGAUCUCUAAGAUCAUACAAUUCAAUUACUCCAUUGUCAUUCACUUUUUUAACUUUAUGGCUUUGGGUAUAUAUAUAUAAUUUUAAUUUAGCACUCAUUUAAUUAUGAAUAAAUGUCUCGAUUUUUAAUUCAAUUAAUAUGAAUAUUAUUGUCAAUACAGAAGAACGUGGGUUCGAGUAUAUUGGAGCGUAUUAUCCUCCUAUUAUGGGUUAGAAAAGAGCUAUGAAUAGUUUUAAACAUUAUAUUAAAAAAAUAGAUAUGAUCAGAGUAUACAAUGAAAUUAUUCAAAAGAAAAUUACGAAUAUAUAUAUGCUUGUGCUACUAUAAGCAGACAAAAGACCCCACUUUACAUUCAUGGAAAAAAUAGUUAAUUGAAAUUCACUACCAUCUUUGUUUACCUUAAAAAAAUACUAACCAAUUAAUAUGACAAGUGAUACGUUUUUAUUAAACGUCGUAUACUUUUUGGGUAAAAUAAGACAAAAUUGAUAGUUCAAGCAUGACAUCAAAUACAAAAAUUUUAGGAACCAAUAUAAGAGUUUAGGUAUAAUUCAAGGGUUAAUUUACUUAUAAACUCCUAUUAAAGGGGUACAAAUGUAUUUUUUGUAAUGUCAUAAAUUCAAGGUUAUCGGAACAGUGGUUUCGUAACCACAAAUCUGAUUUAAAGAGAAAUUUAUUUCAAUAUUUUUGCAUGGAAAUUGAUAUGAUAGGAAAAUCGUAUGAAAAUAUUGAUAGAAAAAAUUUUACCGAUUUAGUGGUUAGUUAGAAAAAAAAAUUAUUGAAGAAAUUGGGUAAAAACAAGAUAUCGGGACCUCUAUCUUGUAAAACCGAGUCGAAAAUAAUUUUAUAAAUAUUUAUGAAAUGUUAUUAGUGUGGUAUUAAAAUUUCGUUAGGAAAUUUUAAUGUUUGGGUAGUCAAUUAAAUGAAAAGGACUAAAUUGUAAUAGGUGUAAAAGUUGCUAGAAUGAUUAAAUAACUUAAGAGUCUAAUGAGAAAGGAUUUAAAAGGAAAUUAGACCCAAAGGUUAUUUGGGCUGGACGGCAAGGGUAUGAAAUCAGCAGAAAAAUGAUAAAUUAAGGGUAAAAUUGGAAUAUUGCAAAAUUAACUAAAUAAAGCUAGGACUAAAUAGGAAAUAUCUAGAUUUCUCUUCAUUUCUCUUCAAUUCCAGCAGCUAAAAACGCCAUAGGAGGGUUCUAUAAGCUGGUAUUUCAUAAUUUUUGCACCAAGUGAGUUAAUCCUUGCCUUUUUCUUGUAAUUUUUGUGUUUCUAAGACUUUUACAACUAGGUCCUACUAUUAAAUUUAUUAGUUUUUGAUUUCAUGGAUGAAAUUGAAAGUCACAAUGGUUGAGUGAUGUAAGUUUAUGAUGAAAUAGAAUGAAAUUAAAGCUUUAAUUUGUUUAUGAGAUGAUUUUAUUAGGUAAUUUCAAUAGAAAUUGAUUUUUAGGACCUAAUUGUGAAAAUACUUGGAAUUAAAGUCUAUUGCUGAAAUUAUGAUUCCUAAAGGUUGUAAACUAGUUUAAGGUGAUAUAAUAAAAUAUUAAUUGAGAAAAAUAAGUUCAAUUGAGAGGCUAAUUGAGUAGGGACGAAAUUAUCAUUUAUUAAAAGCUUAGGGGAAAAAUGGUAAUAAACAGCUUGCACAAAAACAGUUUAGCAGCAGUAGACUAACUUUGAAAAAUCACCAUAAAUUGUAGAAAUCUAAUUAGAAUAUGAAAAAAAUAUGGAAUUAAAGCUUAUUGAGUCUAGUUUCUCAUAGAAGAAAUAGUGUAAGUAAUAGAUUUUUAAAUUUUGAGAUAUAAUGAAUUUUGUGAGACAAGGUCAGAAUGAAUUUGGAUUCCCCUGUUUUGACUUUGAAAAAUCAUAAAAAAAAUUAAGAAAAACAAUUAGGGGCUUAAAUUUAUAUGUAUAGAAUCCUUAAUGAGUCUAUUUUUAAUAGAAAUAAACGAGAACAUCAUUUGAAUUCUGUAUGAAGAGAUAAUUAAUUUUUAGUGAAGAAUGGUCAGAAUUGUUAACAGCAGAACAGGGGUGACUUUAAAGAAUAAACUGUACUGAUUGGCUAAACCAAAAAUUCUGAAAAUUUUAUGGUAAGAAGAUAUGUGAGUCUAGUUUCAGGGAAAAUUAUCGGAUCCUAAUUUGGAGUUCUGUAUCUCAAGAUAAAAAUAAUUUAGUGACUAUGACUCAAGUAGACAGCUUUGAAUGAACUAUAAAUAAUAGUUGAAUUAUAGAGAAUGUUGCAUAUGAACAUGAAAUGUAUUAAAUUGAAAAUUAAAUUUAUUUAUUUAGAUCCAGAAGAUUUAAAUACGAAGCUAGAUCGAGGAAAGGAAAAAGUUCGGGAUUAGUAGAUUUUUUUUGUUUACAAACAAGUAUCAAGGUAAGUUCGUGUAAUUUGAAUUAUAUUCUUAAAUGCUUGAGAUUGUAUGUUUUUUAUAUGAAUAUGAUUUGAAUGUUCAUUAUAUGGAACUUUAUGAAACAUUGAUAUAUUUGAUAAAAUGGGAAGAAAUCUCGGUUGAAUGAAAGGAAAAUUCGAUGGAUUUUUGAAAAGGAAUUGACGGUAAAAAGGAUCUAGCCCGGACGGGUAAUCCUAUCUUGAUAUAGCCCUCCCGAAUAAUAUGUGUAAAAUGGAUUUAGGCAGGACGGGUAAUCCAAAUUAGGGUCUGAAUUUAGCCUGGACUAGUAAUUCAGAUCCAAGCUCAUUAGAGUAAUUGUCGUUGCAGGGGAUUUAGCCUGGACUGGUAAUCCCGACAAUACUCUAUGAGUUUAUAUUGCAGGGGAUUUAGCCUGGACUGGUAAUCCCGCUGCAAGGUUGAGGUUCGCGGGAGUGUGCUCUCUGAAAUGGAUAUGUGCGCACAUGAAUAUGAAUUUACGGACCCGGAAUUGUACACUAAAAGUGUACCUCUAAAAAUCCAUCGACAUUCCGAUAAAUUCAACGAGAUAAAUGUGGAAAAAUAACAAGGAAAUGGAAAUCAUGGUAUUGGAUGAACACAUCAAUCAUCAAUCAUAGUAUAUAUUUUUGGUAUAUGGAAAUUAUUGUACUAACUUGAAUGUUGAGUUUGUGCAUAUUAGGGUAAUAAUGCAUUUAAUGGAUAUAGAAAUGUUUAUUGUAUUGUAUUGAAAAUAUUAGGUAAGUAUAAUUCUUGUUACAUGAGCUUACUAAGCACAAAGUGCUUACCCCGUUUCCUUUUUUCCUGUUUUGUAGUGUUAAGAGCUUGGAGGUCGGAUUUGGUCGGAGACACAUCACACUAUCAACCUCAGGACUUCGGUAUAUAAAGAAACUUUAUUUUGGAAAUUAAUGGCAUGUAUAAGCUAAUAAAGUAAAUGAUUCUGUGAAAUGAAUGUAGAGUUAGCCAUUGGUAUGGUUAACAAACUUGGUUUUGGGUAUGUGAUGACGUUAUUUUACAAAUAUACAUGAAUUUAUCUUGAAAAUAUAUUGAAUUGGAUUGGUUGAUUUGGAUUGGUCUCGAUAUAAUAUUGCAGGGAAGGUUAGAUAUCUGUAAAGGGAUUAUAUUGAGUUUUCCUAAAAUAAAUAAAUAAAUAAAUUCGUAAACUCCGGUAAUACCUCGUACCCCAUUCCGGCAAUGAAUACGGGUAGGGGGUAUUACAUUUUUCUUGGUGCAUAUUAAACACAAGAGGAUGACAAGAACAGGGUUUGAACUGAUGUAAUCGAUCUUGUACUAGGUUCAACUGUACUGGCAGAUGCACAUCAUUCUAGCAGUAAACUAGAAUUACCAACUAUUUUUUCUGUAUUGGUAAAAAUUUCAGUUUGUAGUGAAAAAUAAUAAAAUGUUAAAUGCUAAAAUUAAUUUUAGACUUUAAAGUGAAGUUAUGGAUAUAAAAAUAAUAUUUUAUAUAAUAAUUAGUAAAAAAAAGUUGAUUAAGUCUUAAACGGGUUGGUAUUGUUGCCAUUGCAUCAACCUAAAAGAUGGAAUAGAAAUGCACUUAAGCACGCAAUAUUCUUCUCUUUAGAAACUAGUUUACGUUGCCGCUAAAAAAAAAACCAUAGUUUUCAUAAUUGGAUUAGAUUAACCUGUUGGAUCAGCUGAAUAAUAAAUUAAUCAAAUUAACGAUAUAGAAUAAGAAAUUGGAUCGAUUGACCCACGAAUCAGAUUAAAAAUCGAUUGAACUGAUUAAACCAAUUUUACUAUAGAAUCAUAAAGAGCUUUUGAAAUAUUAACUCUAUUAAACAAUAUCGAUAUUUUUUUAAUAGUAAAUAUGAACUCUAUUGAAAUUUGAUAUUUUUAUUAAUAUAAAGAAUAAAUUUAUCAAUUUAAUAAUAGAGAAAUUAAUUUGAUACCAUACUUACCUCUACCGAUUUGACUAACGUCAAGCAAGGGCGUAGUAUAAUUAUGAUUAUAUUAUCUUAACUUUUAUUUAAAUAAAACAAUUACAAUUUUGACCCAUUUCGAAAGUUUGAAUUUUUUUAAUUUAUUUUGAGCCCUCGUUAUAUAAUUCUGGCUUCAUUUCUGAUAUCGAUUUUAUGAUUUUCUUAACCGUUCUGAUUAUAUAUACAUUUUUUGAUAAAAUACUUAGAACUAUUCAUAGUCCAUCAUUUGACCCAUAAAUAGGAGGAUAAUGUACUUCAGCGCACUCAAACCCAUAUUUUAUAUUAACAACUAUAUCUAUAUCAAUCGAGUUAAGACUUGAUCGACGAUCAAAGGGUCUUCAUUGGACAAAAAUACUAACAAUAAACUCUAUACGUACAUAAGAUCUUAUACACACUAAAAGGCUUUAUUUUCUUAGGCUUUUUAUUAUAAUGACCCUUGAUCGCUCAUUAUCAUUGGGCUAAACCAGUAGCCUUUUAAAUGCUCUUAACAAUUACAAUUACCAGUCCUAAAGCCCCAAAAAAGAAAACAACUUUCACGAGUCACGAUUAAUUUUGAUUAAAUUACUGAUUGAGUCUUAAUUUGAAAGAUAUUGAUAUUAUUAUUAGUAUAAAAAGACACAGGUUUGAGUACAGUGAAGUACAUUAUCUUAUUAUUUAAGGGUUGAAGAAGAGCUAUAAAUAAUUUUAGGUAUUGUAUAUAAAAAAAAAGAGAGCAAAUAUAAUAAAAACUAAUAAUGAGAUUAAUGCUUUAAAAAAUCUGAUUGAAUUAUUGUUAUGAAUAAAUCAGAUAUUAAUUAAUUUGGUUGAAAAUGAUUUUUUUUACAAAAUAAUUUAUAUUUUUAUGAGUGAAUAUUGUAUUUUUUAAAAAAAUAUAUUUAAAUAAAUAUUGUAAAAUUAGAUGCCAUAAAUUACAACAGUAAAAAUUAUAUUUGAAAAUGGAUGACAGAUUGAGUUAGAAAGGUUUAAACUUAGGCUUUAUUUGAUAAUCCAUUAAAAUAAUAAAACAACUAAAAAUAAUAAUAUUUUUAGUAAUUUAAUUUUUAAAGCAUGUUUGUAUUCAUAAAAAAAUGAUAGAUAUUUUUUAAUAAAAAAAAUGAGAAUAAUGAUAACAAAUGAGGAGGUACUUAUCGUUUAAUUUAUUUUUUAAAUUAUAUUGUAUUGUAUUUAUUAUUUAUUAUAUAAUAUUUAGAAGGGUAAAUUGUCAAAAUAGUUAUUUUUGUUUGUCUCAGAUUACAUUUUAGUCACUUAUAUUUGAAAUGUUACGUUUUAGUCACUUACAUUGCUAUGUUGUAAUAUUUUAGUCAUUGAGCUGUUAAUUGUCAUUAACGGUGUAACGGUAAGUUGAUGUGGCACGUUAAAUCAUCAUUUUCAGGUGAAAAUUUUAGGUUAAAUUAUACAAUUAGUCCCUUUUUUUAUUUAGAGCAGAUUAAUUUUUUUCUUUUAUGUUCUUUUAACUUUCUUUUUUUUUUCCUUCUUUGUUUUCCAUUUUCUUCUACCUCUUUCAAUUAUUUAUGUCAGCAACUGGCAAUGAUUGGUUGGUUCGAAGAACAAAAUGAGAAGCAGGAUAAAAUGGAAAAAAAAGAGAAAGUUCAAACAAUAUAAAAGAAAAUAUUUAAAUUGCUCAAAACAAAGGAAUAUAAGAACCAAUUUUAUAAUUUAACCUAAAAUUUUUGUUUGAAAUUAUGGUUUAACGUGCCACGUCAGCUUACCGUUACACCGUUAACGGACCAAUGACUAAAAUGUUACCACACAAUAACGUAAGUGACUAAAACGCAACAUUUCAAACACAAGUAACUAAAAUAUAAUUUGAGGCAAACAAAAGUGACUAUUUUGAUAAUUAACACUAUCUAUAAUUACUCAUAACCACUUUUCAACUCUUAAAGAGGAUACAUGCACUUCAUUGUGCUCAAAGACAUGUUCUCCGACAGUAACAAUAAUGUUGAUGUCAAUUGAACCAAAACUCAGUUUGAAUAGAUUCAACCCAUUAUCAUUUAAAUAUUUUACAUUUAAAAUUUUAAAAAUUACAUUUAUUCAACAAUCUAAUUAUAUCUCACAACAAAUUAAAUAUACCAAAUAAAUUUAACAAAUUAAAUUCAACACUCCUUAAACUUUAUUUUUAUUAAAAUUCUAAUUUUUCAUUAAAUUUUAUGCAAAUAAAAUUACGCUCCUUUAUUUUUAAAGCCCAAAUUCAAAAAAUUCCUUUUAAAAAUUUCCCGACCUACUCUAACCUCUCUUAAAACACCUCCGUCGCCGCCAGACAAGCCUCUCGCCACCACUUCCGACAGUCCGGUAAUUCUUGAAACCCUAAACUUGAAGAUGUCUACGGUGAUUUUGAGUUAUCUGGUCUCUGCUAUAUGUUAUUUUCCGUUUUCGAUCCUACUGCUUGUUACUCUUUUUUCUGUUUACUUUGUUGCGAAGGAGAAUUUUUUUAAAGCUAUUUGUUUAGCGGAAAUAGCGGACCGUUGUUGCCGCCGUUUUCUGUUAAUCUGCUACUUGCGACGGCGAUCCGCUGCUAUCGGUGUUAAAUUUGUUCACACUGGCGGACGGGGCCGCUACGCCACCACUAUUUGAAACCCUAAUCUACUUCUCACCGUUUCUUUGCUUUUGCUUUUUGUUUACAGUUUUUUGGAUUUUUUGAUUUCUGGGUGAAGUGCGGAAAGAGUUGCUUUCCUAAAGGGUACAGAAAUCUUAACACAAAGGUGCCAGAACUACCUACAACAUGGUAAUUUUUUACUCUAACUCUAAGCUCUUUUGGUAAAAUAUUGUUCUUAGAAUUGCUAGUUAAGGGAUUAAGGCUAAUUUUCCUUUCUUUUAUUAAUGUACCAUUUGUUGACUUGUAAUGGAUGAACAUGUUUUCAGUCAGGCAGGAAGGAAACAGUGUUGGAUUUGGCUAAGUUUGUUGACAAAGGUGUUCAGGUCAAACUCACCGGUGGUAGACAAGGUCCAUUUUUAAGCUUUCGGUUUCUCUUUUAGUUCAUUCUAAAGGUCUUUAUGGGAAUAUAAAAGGACUGAUUCUUUAAUCGAGAAUCGGAUGUUAUGUUGGGUUUAGAUUAUGGGUGAAGCUAGAGAAUUGCCAUAUAGAAAUAAUGUGACAUUGGGAAUCUAAUAUUUUCUCAUCAACUAAUAGUACUACCUUCUAGGAUCUAAUGCCAAGUAUUCAACAUGUCAUGUGCUCUAGAUGUAUGGAAGUCGUUUUCUUUUUCCCAUUGUUUGAUUGAUCGAGUUUAUGUAUCAUCUAUCUCAUUAGCCUUUUUUUUUCUUCUGUCUCAGUCACAGGGACCCUAAAAGGAUACGACCAGCUACUGAAUCUUGUCCUGGAUGAAGCUGUAGAGUUUCUUCGAGGUAAUUAUCUGUUGCACAUUUUAAACAUGCUUAUUGCUGUGGUUUUACAUGUCUUGCUAACUUUUGAGCUAUAUUCUUUGAUGAAUGUCUGGUGCCUUGUUUCUAUGAAGUCCACUGACCUGUGCUGAGUAGAUUGGAAUUAGAUUUACCCAUGUAACAGUUCAUGGUUCCAUGUUAUCUUGCUCCUAUCAUUCAUUUUUCUUGAAGUACCCUCAUUAAUCCUCCAAGAACAACCAAAUACUUGGAAAACAUAGAAAUAUUCAUCAUACCCUUAUUGGACGCAAAUCCAUAUCCAUCACUCACAACCAAGUCCGAGUGGCAUAGGUUUAAUGUGAGUAUCAAUUUUUUUUUUCUGCACUUAAAUUAUUUGGAAUUUCUCUUUUCUCCACCUCCUCUAAGGAUUCUUCUAUGAAUUUUCUACUGUCAAUUCUCUUGUAUUACAUGGAAGUGACUGCAUCUUUUGCUAUGCAGUUUAAAUGAAAAAGUGAGUAAGAUAUGCUGCUGAUGUUCUCUCAAAGUGAAAGUUGCAGUUUGCAGUGUGAUUAUUGCUUUCGAUAAUUUAUUUAGCUUUGAAAGCACUCGGUAAACAGAUCAUGCAAAUCUGUUUCAUAAGCUUCAUAUAGAGCUAUAAAAUCUCUCCUCUGAUUAACUUGUUGAACUUGUGCUACUUCAUGGAGGCAAAAGUAAGCAUGAUAGAGCUCUGCCAGUAUACAUGCUUGCCGGCAUUUUAGCGAUUAGUAUAGUUCAUUUAAAUAAUUUCUUGGAAUAAUUGCUACUUCUUGCCAAAUCCUAAAUGCAUGGCAGUUUUGAGGAUCUGAACUUUGAUUUUGGUUGAGUGUGGCGUAAGUUCAUGCAAUUUCUUUAUAAUUUACCUAGCGGAGGAAAACAAGGGCUUUCUGGAUAAAAUCUCUAAACAUGUAAUAUGGAUGGCCUGUUUGGAGCAUUGGACUUAUAGGAAACUUUUUAUAGCAAAAGUCAAUUCUUAUUACCAGUAGGUUGGUACUUACUGUUCUCUAGUUCUAUUUGAGGUGUUGCAAACUGAAACAUGAAACUUCCCGUCGAGUUUUAUCUGCUUUCUCUGAACCACUUGGAUCUCUUUUAUCUGAAAUUGAUAUACAUAUACAUAUACAUAUACAUAUACAUAUACAUAUACAUAUACAUAUACAUAUACAUAUACAUAUACAUAUACAUAUACAUAUACAUAUACAUAUAUAUGUAUAACUUGUUCAUGUAUCUGAACUACUGGAUGAAAACACAAGAUUCAUUUGCUGUUUAUGGAUACUCUACAGACCAGGAUGAUCCGUUGAAGACUACUGAUCAGACUAGGCGUCUUGGCUUGAUAGUAUGUUCCUUCUUCCCUUAUGUACCCUUUUUAAGGUUUAUUGUCGAGUUUAAUAACCUGAACCUAUGAUCUGGGAAUAUUCUAGCUGCUUAUGUUUCUAGUAAACUUAGGCAUGAUAAAAGUAGUAAUGACUGAAAAUUGAGUCCUGAAAUUCUCCAGAACUACUAUGAUAUGUAUUUUGGGUUCAUUAUAUACAUUCCAUGGCCUGUUGCGUUAGUAACCAAAUCCAAAAACCAGCCACGAAAUGUUAGUGUCUAGAUGAUGGUGCAUUGUUUGGUAGAGGUAACAAAAUUUCAGGAGCAUUGACGAUUCUUUGAUGCAGGUUUGUAGGGGCACAGCAGUCAUGCUGGUGUCACCUACCGAUGGCACAGAUGAGAUUGCCAAUCCUUUCAUCCAGCCAGAUGGAGCCUGAUCUGAUCCGUUUUCAAAAUAUGGCAUUUCCUUUGCUCUACUACUUAUAUAUUCUCUUAACAUUUUCAAGUCUGUAUUUCUAUGAGCAUGUUGUUAUCUCUUUGAAAGCUACCAAAAAACCAAACCAUCAAAGCCUUAAAUCUUAAUAUCAUUUGGAGUUGAAACACCAUAGCUUCCUAGUAGGUAUAUUAAUUAGACUGACUGCUUUCUUUGCUCUAUCAUUUGGAGCAUCAUUUUCUACACCGUCAUCACAAAAUUGUCAAAAUGAAUGUUUUUUUGUUCUAGAAUCAAAACCCGAGAGUGGAAAUGGCUGUCAACUAAAGACUUGAAUACGAGUAUUUUGCCACUUGUGCUCGGGUCGACAGUUCCUUGGGUGGUAUUUAUAUAUACACACAUACUAUAUACAUAUAUGCUACUAUUUAUUUUUACAAGUUUAGGACAAUUAGCAUAAUUCACUUGCAUGUUUUGUCACUUAAAAAGUAAUGAGGAGUAAACGUCACCGUCUUUGGCAGAUGAUGAUGCCACCCGAAAGGGCAGCAAGCCAUAAACCAUGCUCUUAAUGGACAUGCUUUUUUAAAAAGGAGUUUACGGUAUAAUUAUAGGUAUAAUCAUAAGUAAUGCAUGUGUGAUUAGCUAAAAUUAGAAUUAAUUAAGACAAACCAUAAUGGAUUUUGUGUCUGAUUUUUCACAUGCCAAACACAUAAGAUUUAUUUUAUUUUACAUAUGGUCCUUAAGAACCAUGUUACCUAACCCUUUUUUGGUUGUUUUUAUAUUAAAAAUUAAUAUAAAAAUUAAAUGUGAUUUUAGUUUAAAUGAUAAUGUUGACAUGUGAAAAUUAUGAUGUUUUAGGUUUAAAUUCAAGUAGGUGCACAUAACUUUUUAGAUGUUUAUAUAAAAUAUAAAAAGAUAAGUAAUAUUAAUAUUAAUUUGGGUUAUUUUUAAAAAAUAGUAUAGAUAUUAAUUAUAAGUUUAGCGGGUGCUGCAGUAGUUCUGGUUACAAAAUUUUCAUUGAGGUCUUUUUAUAAUUUAUAAAAUUUAUAAAAUUAUAAUAAAAUUAUAUUUUAAUCUUUUAAAAAUAAUAAAAAUUCUAAUUUAAUUUUUAAAAAUUAUAAAUAUUUUUACUAUCGGAACUUUCCAAUAAAAUUUUCUAAAUUCGUAUAACAGUAUAGAUAUUUGUUUAUGAUUCUUAUGUGAAUGCGUAAGUUCGAAGUCCUACUUAUCCCCAAAAACGCAUUUUUAUUAUUUUUAAAAUAAAAAAUAUAUAUUUAUAUUAAUUAGAUAUAAUUUUUUAUUAUAAAAAUAAUAAUUAAAAACUGAAGUGAAGCCACCGUAACCAGGCCUACAACAGAUCUGGAUUUACCCACUGUCGUUGCCGACAGCUAUGCUAGCUAAGCCAAGCAACGAUAAUUAUGGGCCGCACUAUUUAUCAUGUAAUAAAUAUUAGCUUAAUUAAUUCAUCAUUUCUUACUUUUUCAUUUUAAUAUUUAAAAUUAUUCUCUCGUAUUUUAGUAUUUAAAUUAUUAUUUAUUUCUUUUUAUCUAAAAAUUAGAAAAAAAAAUAUAUUUACAUACAGCAAUAAAAAUUGUAAUUUAAUUAUUUUUAGAAAAAGUUAAAUUAAUUAUCAAUAUCGAAAAAUUUCAGGAAAAAAAAAGUUAUUUGCAACUUGCAAUUGCUUCGAGAAUCAAAAUGUUAACUUUACACUUUCCCAAGUUCUUUGCUUUAUGUAUAAAAUAAAUAAAAAUAAAGGAUUUGGAGAUAAAUCCCCAAAUUUUGUUAAAAUACCAUAAAAACACAAUUUAAAUUUUGCAAAUAAUCAAAUUUCAUCAAAUUUAGAAACUUUAGAACGAAACAAAUCUAAAAAGGUCCAUCUGCUGAAAUGGAAAUCUAAAAAAUAAAAAUUGUCAGAAUCCUAAUACAAAAUGUAAAAUUAAAGCCACAAUAAUUUUCAUUUUUCUUUUUUUGGAAAAAAAGAAAAUUAAGUAAAAUUAAAAAUACUAUAAUCUUCUUCAACUUGAAACGAUCUUGUGAGAUAUGUCGUCAUCUUCCUCCAUGGAUUGCUGAUGAGAUCGAAGUUGAAUUUCCAUAGCUGUUCCGAAUUCCGGGUCGAAAAAUGUUUCCGAAUAAUAUGAUUUUAAUAGGGUUUCAUAAAAAAUAUAUAUAUCAGACUUUAAUUAUCUUGGCCGCUUUAACAACCGGAUUUUCCCUAGCGAUGGCCUCACGACCGACCGUCUUGUAAUCAUAACUACAAUCGUGACGAUCCGAGUACCGAUGAUCGGCACAAAACAGUUCACCGCAUCGACACCUAAACCCGGUCAAACCGACACGUUUUCUACAUCCAGAACACCGGUUCACCACCUUCUUUUCCGUACCAGGCUCCGGAUCGUUCCUCGAACCAGAACUCCUAACAAACGUCGUCGUUUUAGGCGGAGAAAGAUCGGAUCGCUUGUUUAUAGAACGCGACGUGGUAGAUCUUUGGUUCAGGAUCGAAACACCAGCUGAACUAGCACCACCGGUUGAAGAGGAGACAACGGCAGCGGUUGAUUUAGGCGUUGUAGCGUUGAAACAAUUUUGACACAUGUUAUUGGUGGCCGGAUUUCCUAUAACACCACAAUCGUUGACGCAAAGCGUUAAGGUUUCCGGUACCUUGAACUCGGUUUCUUCUUUUUCGGUUCUUUGAGCCAUUUUUUGUUGCUUUUUUUUUUCUCCUUUGCCCUGCAAAAGGGAUGAAAUAGAAGAGAGAAAAAAAUGGAAAUGAAAAGAGAGACAAAGAGAGAUUUGGGGAUUUUUUGGCUUUAGGGGAAAAGAGAGGAGAUUGGGAGGGGGGAUUUGAAGGGAUUGAGAGGUCGGUAAUGGCGAUGGAAUAUGGGCCUCAUAGUAUUAGUCUUGUUUUAUUUUGUAUUUACCAAAAUAACCUUCCCUUACUUUUUUGUUUAAUUUCUUCUUUAGUCCUUGUACGUUUUGGAUUUUUUGAAAUUUAAUCUAUUUACUUUUUUCUGAUUAAUAUCAAUAUAGGUUCUGAUCAUAUCAAAUCAUUUUUUUGAUACAAUGCCUAAAACUAAUCGUAGCUCCUUUACAACCCAUAAGCAGGAGGUUAUUACGCUUUAGCACACUCAAACCCAUGUCCUCCUGCAUUGACAACUAUGCUUAUGCCCAUUGAGUUACGACUUAAUCGACAAUCCAUUUACUUUAAUUUUCAGAUAAAUAUGUUUAAUGAUCGAGCUACUUGCACCAUUUUUCAAAAGCAGAGCUAAACUAACCCUUAAUUCUUGUUUAGGCAAGCAAUUUGUAGGAAUGAUUUCAUUUGUAUCAACAUUUUUCAAAAUUCUAAAAAUAGUAUUACUUGUUUGGGUAAAUAUAUUAGAGAAUUUUAAAAUUUGUAAGGAAUUUUAAGAGGUGGUUUUAAUAACUUAGGGUGGGUUUGGAUAGGCAAUUAGGUGCGAUGCGGUGUGUUUAACUUAUUUUUUGUUUCAUUUAAUUUCACAGCUACCGUUGUUUUUACACUAAUCGCAGCUAGAUGCAUGCCCAUCCAAACCCAUCCUUAAUUUCCUUUUUCAAAUUUAAGUUAAAUAAGUUGUUUUUUUUUUCAAAUUUUAUUUGAUUUGAUACAUAUGGUCUUAGUAUAUGAUAAAAUACUUAAACUUCAAAAAUCAUUUUUAUUUAAUUACAAUAUAUAUUUUAAAAUUUUUAUUUUAUUAAAACUAUUUAUAAAAUUUUACAAAUAGAAUGAUAUUGAUAUUCAAUAUUUUUAUAUUAUUUAUUUUUAAUAUAAUUGUUCUGAUUUUAUAAAUAUUUUUUAAUUUGUAGAAUUUCAAUUACUUAAUUUUUCUUAAAUCAAUUAUUUAUCCAAACAAUGUAAUAACAAAUACUCUAAAAAUAGUUAAAAAAAGUUAAAAUACUUUUUCAAAAAUGGAAAUAAAAAAUAUGUAAAAAUUAGAAUAUAAUAAAAAAUUAUUAUAAAAGUUAAAAAAUAAAAUUAAUGAUUUUUUAAAUAUAAAUUUAAUUAAUAAUUUAACCCUAAUUCAACCACAUAUAAAUGUAAAGGUUUUUGUUUUAUGUUCUUCACGUCCGUUUUACGGUCCAUGUUCAAAAUUAAUGAUUGUCCCUUCCAAUAAUAUCGCCUCCAAAACUCGAGCCUAGAUCUUCCUUUUAAGAGUGCAAUGCGUUUAACCAUUACAGCCAACCACUUGUCCUCGUGUUUCCAUCAUAGUUAAAUAAGUAAACCAAACAUGUUUAUUGUGUUUUUAUUUAUGAAGCACAUUUUCCAAUUUAAAAAAAUAAAAUAUGAUAAGUAGAAUAGUCAUAUUUAUGAAAUUAAAAACAUGGGGACUAAAUUAAAAAAAUGAAGAGUACAAGGAUUGGGAAGGAGAAAUAAACAUUUAAAUACGUCUCCAAUUGCUUGCAUUAUCUUACUGUUCUUCUAUCAGUUUUAAACAAUGCUGACGUGUUAUUUGUUAAUCGUCAUUAUCGAGAUCAUUGUGAAAUGCGCUUACGCGUCUUUUACUAUCUCCAAUUCGUCAACCGCGCACCUUACAAAUUAAAAUUAAGUUGAAUCUUAUCUUCAUUAUUAUCAUUAUUAAUUUUAUAUACUUUAUAUCGAUUUUACGAUUUAUGUUCGAGAUUCAUGCUUAUUUCUUCUAAUAAUGUUGUCUCCAAAGUCAGUGGCGGAGCUAUAAAAUUUUUUAGGGGGACCGAAAUUAAUUUAUAAUUUUUACGAUAAAAAAAAAUAUAAUUUUAUCAUUUUAAUAGUUUAUAUAUUUAUAAUUUUUAAAUGAUUAAAUCAAAAUUUUAUCAUUUUUAGAGAGUUCAAAAUGUAGUUUUAUCUUUACUAAUUUAAAAUUUUAAAAUAUCUAAAUAAAAAAUUUUCCUUUUUAAAGGGUGGCUAGGCCAAUGUCAGUCCCCCACCUAUGCCUCUGUCCAAUGUUCAAACUUGAAUCCUCCCAUUGAGAGUGUAAUGUGUCUUACUAUUAUUAUCAUUAUUUCAUUAUUUAUUAUUACCAAAUUUUGUAUUCAAUUUUUUAGAACUAAGGUAUCUGAUUUUUUAUUGUUCAUGCAGAUUAAUUCUCUUGGGAUUUGUACAUGCUUUUCUUAAUAAUAUCAUUUUUAAUUUUCAAAUUCAUGUUUUCUUCGCCACAAUGUAAUGUGACUUAGUACUGUAGGCAUACAAAUAAUGUAGUCAAAUAUUGUUAUUAGUCUCUGUAUUAUACGUGAGCUAUCCAGUUAGCCUUAUACUUUAAUUUGGUAAGUUUUAGUCUCGUUAUUUUUUUUUAAUUGUUCAAUUUUAAUACAUAAUUUUUUUUUGAAAUUUCAAUCAUGACCUGAACGGUAACCAUUAAACUUGUUUGAUUAAAUUAUGCUAUUAGUCGUGUACUAUGCGUAAAAUUAUAGAUUUAAUCCACGUUCACUGGUUGGAUUAUUAAUAGUCCCUGUAUUUUUUAAUUUUAAAUUUUCAGUAUUGAUGCAAACAAUAACCUUUAUAUCUACCGAUCGACAUUUCUAUCAGUAAUAUGUGAAAACAACAAGGUAUGUGAUGUUACAAAUGUGAUAAUAUGUUUGGUGCACCAAAUCUUGAAAAAUAACAUAAUUUAACAAAUUUAACGGCUAUGAUUAGUUUAGGACUGAAAUUUAGUAUUUCAAAAAGUACAAGGGUUAAAUAAAAGAAAUCAAAGUACAUGGACUAUAAUUUAAUUUAACCCAAAUAAUGCGUUAUAUAGCUCACCAAACACGUCAUUAGGCAGGGGCGAAGCCAGAGGGGCUGGCAUGUGCCCUAGCCCCCCCAAAAUGUAAAUUUGCUCUUUUAGCUCUUAAAAUUUUUAAAAAAUUUUAAAUUAGUAAAGGUAAAAUUACACUUUACCCCCCCUAAAAUUAUAAAAGUUUGAUUUAAUCAUUUACAAAUUAUAAAUAUAUAAACUAUAAAAAAUUAAAAUUUUAUCUACCCUUAAAAAUUUGUUCUGACUUCGCCCCUAUCAUUAGGGAAGAGAAAUAGAUUGUUAUAGUAAUAUCCUUACCACAAAAUGACAAGUGUCAUUAUCAAAAUCAGAUUUAUGCUCCAAAAAAACCUAAACCCUAAUUGACCCGACCUGAUUUUACAUCUCGUUUUUUAAAAUCGAAUUUCAAAAUGAGUUGAGUUGGGCUUAAUUCUUUGAUUAAUUAAAUCGAGUUAGUGUUGAGUUUAGAAAAAACCCGCUAAGUCCUACCCUAACCUGUUAAUUACCAAAACAUCCUCCUAUAUAAUAUUAAUUUAAAGUAUAUAAUAAAAAUUACAUUAAUAUUUGCUCUAACAUAAUUAUACCUAAAAAACAAUUAACAAUAUCAUUAAAAAAUAAUAAAAUUAUUAAUUUAUUUUUAUUGGUAGUAAAAGACAACUUAAAGCGAAAAACUCAAAAAAUUUACAUUAGUGACUUAAAAGUAAAAACAUAAUCCGCCUCAACUAAACUUCUAGCUGAUUGUGUGAAUUCUUCAAACUAAUGAAUUUUUGUGGAAUUAGUCGCCAUACACUUGGCCAUAUGAUCAACUACUGUAUUUUGCGACCUCGGAAUAUGACGAACAAUGACCUUCAAAUUCCGACUCAAUAAAUAAUGGAUAAGACGAAUUUCAAUCAAAUGACUCAAUAAAAUUAUUAUUUUAUUUUGAUAAAUAAUAUAAAAAAUGAAAUUUGUGUUGUAUCGAGUCAGUUAGAAUUAAGUAUAGUUUUAAUUUUUAGAAAAGAUAAAUUAAAGUUUAAUUUUGAGUCAAAAUCGAGUUAAGUUAGAAAUAUCGGGUCCGACAAGGUGGGAGAAAGAAUACCCCUCCCAUUAGGGGUGUGCAAAAUUCGGGUAAAAUUGAAAAAAUUCGGUUAACCGAAUUAAUUUAGUCGGGGGUCAUUUAAUAAUUUUUUGAGUUUUCGAUUAACGGUUAAUUCGGUUCGAAACCGGUCGGUUAACUAAAUUUUUUUGGUUUAACUGAAAAAAUAAUAAAUAAAAUUAUAAUAUAUAAAUCGUCCACUAUUCACUCAAACCCAAUCCAACAUAAACCCAAAUACUCAAUCUAAUAUAUAUUAACCCAAGUACUCAACCCAAUUAUAAAAAAUACAAAUAAUUUAAUAAAUAAAAAAUCUAAAAAAAACAUAUAAUUUUAUACAAAUAAUUCGGUUAAUUCGGGUAAUUCAGUUAAUUCGAUAAAUUCGGUUAAUUUUAUACUUAUUUUAACCAAAAAAUAAAAAAAAAUAUAAUUUUCGGUUAAUUCGGUUAACCAACUGAAUUAACAGAAAAAAUUUCCGUUCAGUUAAUUUUUUUGAAAAAAUUUCAGUUCGAUUAACAGUUAAAAUUUUUGAAGAGUCAAUUAAUUCGGUUAAUGUUAUUUCGGGUCGGUUAAUCAACUGAACACCCCUACCUCCCAUAGCCACUUUAUUCAAGACAAGCGUGCGUGUGCUCCGAUGUUAAUGGGCUGACCCAACCCGUUUAUAAAGCAAACAAAAAGCCUUGCUUUGAAGACGAUACAAUUAUGUAUAAAUACACUUUAAGAUGACCCACUUGUUUUAAAUUUUUAAACGUGAUCGGCCCACUGAAUUCUCGUUCUUUGACAUGCCAAUCGGCCCAAUUUUUUAUACGUAUAAAGGUAUAAUUAUGGCUCAAGUCCCUAUACUUUUUGGAACUUUGAAUAAUGUGUUAUCAAUUAAAGGCUUUUGAAUUUUAAAUAACAUAUAUUCAAAUUUAACACAAGUCAUUAGGAUUAGGAGUGUUCAGACGGUUAACCAAACUGAACUAGUAUUAAUUGAAAUAAUCGAACUUUUUAAUCCUUUAACCGUUAAUCGAAAUGAAAAAAAAAACUAGUCAAAUCGAAAUAUUUCAGAUAAUUUGAGCGGUUAACUGAAUUAACCAAAAUUUAUAUAUUUUUGUUUUUUUUUUGUUUUUAUUAAAACGAGUAUAAAAAUAUAAAGAAAUUUGAUAAUGUUCAUUUGACCGAAUUAUCUGAAUUAUUUGAAUUAUGUCUUGAUACAUAUAAUAUAUAUUAUUAAUUAUUAAGUUCUGUUAAUUACCCGAUUUCAAACUGAAUUAUCGAUAACCAAACUUCUAAAAAAUAUUAACCGACUUUUGACCGAAUUAGAUUGAUUAAUUGACCAAUUAACCAAAAUAGAUCGUUUCGGUCAAUUAAUUUAAUUUUAACCAAAAUUUGAACAUCCCUAAUUAGGAGCAUUAUUAAGUGGAAUUCAUUUUCUUUGACGAGGAUAAAAAGUAAAAAUUAUUUAAGGAUUAAAUUCGAGAUGUAUGUUAAUUGUAGAAUUGAAUAUAAGUUUUUUGCCACGUGGUUUCAUGAACAAUUGAACUUUAAUUUUUAAAUAAACAAAUAUGAAAAUUAAGAGUAGGUUUGGUUUUGGAUCAAAACCUUAAAAUUAAAAGCAAAUUACAAAGUAGAUGUAUUCAUAGUCUGAGUUGGAUCAAAAAUCAAUUUUAAAAUUUUUCCAAACCCGGACACAUGCCCAACCUGCCUAAAUGACCUAUUUCAUUGUUCAAGACAGGCCUAGCCUUGGGGUUAUUUAUGAGUACAACCACUUGGAAGGGACCAAAAAACAUAUUUUUCAGCUUUUAAUGUGUGAAAAAAAUUUAAAUUAAAAUAAAUUAAUUAAAUAUUUGGGGCUUUUAAUUUUUCAUUAUAAAUGCUUCAUUUAAGCCUAUAAUUUUUUUUAAUUUUUAUUAUAUUAUAUAUUAUAUUUAUUUUUAAAAGGGAUCAAAUUUAUUAUUUCGCCUAUGACUCAAAAAUGUCUGAGACUGGUUCAAGAAAUAAUAAAAUAUUAUUUUAUUUAAAUUUAAUUAUAAAAAUGUAUAAAUUUAUUUUUAAUUAUUUCUAAAUAGUAAAACGGAGAAAAAUUUAAGCCCAAAAGCAGUCCCGACCAUGAACACCUCAAAAGCAGAGGGAUUAAGUAUAAAAUUUUAAAGAGUACAGGGACUAUUAAAUAAUUACACCAAAAGAAAAAAGAGAAAAAAAAAACGCCCCAUUGACAGUCGAUACAUAUAUAUGAAACGAAACGCACAUUUAUGUUUUUGCUUCAUCUCCCUUAUUUCGAUCCUCUCAAUACUAUUCUUUUUAUUUUUAUCUCUUUAACCCCCUCAAAGCCUCCUCUUACGAUCGUGGGGGAUUCCUAUGCCAUGAAACCCGAUUUUUUCCCACACUCUCUUGCAGGCAUCCCUAUCCUCUCACGCGCCACCGCGUUCCACCAAUUCGUUCGCUGCUUCUGUCUGUUCUCGAUGCUUGCAAACACCCGGAGUUAGGGUUUCUGGAAUAGCGGAUUAUCCAUUUUUUUGUUUUGCUUUUGGUUUUCUUUUAUAUCUGUUAGAGGUUAGGUUAGGGUUUUGAAAGGGAAAUCGCAUGAAGAUGGGCAGCGUGGAUCGAGUUGAUGAUUUGACAUUUAAAGUUAAUUUUAGCGGAGAUGGAGCAGCCAAGUUGAAAGAUAGAGUCAAGGAGAAACUCAAGGAGUUUAUGGGUGACUACACUGAUGAUACUCUUGUGGUACUUUAUUUUUCUCUCCCUUUUUAGCUAUUUAAUUUUCGAUUUAUAUGAUUUUAUGCAUUUUCGUUUGUUUAUAAAAAUCUGUGGAUGUUGUAAUUUUCUUUUAAUCUCUGAAUUGUUGCAUUGAUCAUAGCGUUGUUUCUGCAUUUUGGUUUAUUUCGAGAUUUAGCUUAUAUUGUAUUUGGGCUUUUGUAGUUGAGAAUUUGGAAUUUGCUUCGAUUCAAUUGGAUAAUGAUUGCAUGUUUUUAAGUGCUGGAAUUUGAAUUCUUAAAACUACUAUAGUUUGUUCCUUUUAUCUUCAUGUUCUCUGUCAUUAUCAAGGGCUUGUGGCACUGGUUAAAACAACGGAUUGAGGAGCACAGGCUGAAGUUUUCCUUUAGCUAGGGCUAAAACGUAAAAAUCUGAAUAGUAAUUGAAUUUAGCCUGGUGAUAAUUUUUGUACUGAACGUCUGAGGAAUUAAAAGGAUUCUUGUCCUAAUUUCUUUGCUUAAGAUUUCAUCGCUAUGUGGAUUUUGGGUGGCCCUAAAUAUCUGUCUUUAAUCUUUUCCAUGACAAUGUAUCUCUCGUUAGUUGUACUUUGUUUAUCAUUCUCUUAACCUUUAAGUAUUUUCUGUGGUGCUCUGAUGCAUGUUUUACUUCCAAUCUUUGAAAUCUGAUAUAGUCGGAAUGCACAAAUUUGCAAAUCUUGUAGAAAAUGUGAAAGAUCAGAUAUUUCUGUUGGUGUCUAAUCACAUUCUCUCAUUGUUUUGAAUGGCAGGAAUAUGUGAUUGUCUUAUUGAGAAAUGGAAGACGUAAAGACGAAGCAAUGAAUGAGUUGAAUGUUUUUCUUGGGGAUGACAGCGAUUCUUUUGUCUCCUGGUAUUUAUAUUAUUUUUCCAACUUUCUCUACUGGGGAAAGUCAGUGCUUUUAUAAUCAUAGUUGUUGGGAUUUAGCCCUAAGUUAUCCUUAUAUCUGAUACUUUUAGUUUUCUUAUAUGCAUGUGUUUUUGUAUAUAUAUAUUAUAUUCUAUGAACAGGUUGUGGGAUCAUCUGGCUUCAAAUUUGGAUCUAUAUGCUCCUUCUCGGGAACCUCACCUUGAUGAAGGAACCAGAACAACUGUUUUGGGGAACCAGUCUAUUGGUGCUGAGUCUCACCAGUUGGAUACUGAUUCUGAAAGAGGAAAGUCUACUAAGUUUCCCAGGAACCGGCACAACAGAGAUUGGAAGGGACUAGUUAGGGAUGCAGCUGAACCACCUCCUCUUCGGAGCUCUGAGGUUGAGAAUAUUCGUUUUGAAGAAAAAUCCAGUCGUAAAGUAAGCCGUGGACGAUCUACCUCUCCUCGACCUACUCAGAAGAAAAGGAGUAGGCCUGAUGACCGACAACCUAUAAAGGUUUCAAUUUCUAGGUUCCUUAUCCGUAAUUAGUUGAUUACCAUUUGCUAGAAUUAAGAAGAAUUGUUCUCCUUUCAUUGGACAAAAUAUAUCCUUAAAUGGAAAUGCUUUAGACGUUUAGAGUGGCUGUUGUAGCGAUAAAUUUCUUAAUUAUCCUGAGAGUGACAUGUCAGUCAUUAAAUACUUCUGUUUUCUGCUCUGAAAAUAAUUCAAAAGGUUUUUUUUCUUAAUGAAAUAUUUGUGUACAUUGUAUAGCUGUUUCAUGUUGUGCCAAAUGCCAAUAUAUGCCUUUUUCAUUCAUUUGGCUAGCUUCUGAUCCAUGGAUGAACUCCUUUUGCAGAGAGAAGCAGUUCCUCAGAUGAACAUUGAUGCCCCUAGGCGGUUGCUUCAGUUUGCUGUGCGAGAUGCAGUUGGAACUUCAAGGGCACCUAUUUCAGCAAAGGAGCCAUCUUCCAAGCGCCUUCGAUCUGUUGUGUCAACAUCUUCUGGAGAGUUGCCAGCUCGUCCUAAGAGAAUUCAGUCUGUUGCAAGAGUGCCAAAUCCAAUGGCGACAGUGAUCAAGGCUGUGGCAGAAGCUGCUGAAGAUGUGACAAAGGUAAAAAAUGCGGGAAGUGUGUUUGACAGGCUUGGUCCUGGAAUGGAUGUUUUGGAGACCCGUGACCUACAUCCAGAAUUCAGAGAGUCUCUUACUGAGGAUGAAGAAUAUGGAGAUCUUAACCAGCCUUUGGAGAAAACCCAUUCAGCAUAUUAUCAAAGAGAAGAGUAUGCUGGUCGACAUGUUGGUAACGUAACUGCUUUAGAAAGUCAGACUGGGUUGGCUUCAGAGUCUCUGUCUGACAAUGAAUGGUAUGGUGAUGUUGAUGUUGUUGGCCAUGGAGUUAUGGAUGAGUCUCAUACUGGCCAUACCGGUAGAUCAGGUGGAAACAAGGGUGAUAAUUCACUUAUGGUGCAGUACAAUGUAGCUAAGGAUGAUGAAAUCUUGCAAACGAGGAACAAAGAUCAAAAUCAAUCAACUAUAGCAACAAAUACUUCUCGUAAGAUAGUUAACAUCUCUGUCAAUGUAAAUACCUGGAAACCACCUCAUUAUCAAGAGGCAAGGGAAGUUUCAGAACUGGACGGCCGAAAAUCUCUUCCAGAGAGUGAAGCAGUUGCUAACAAAGCUAAUCAUAGGUUGAUGGAGAAUGGCAACCCAGUUAAUGUUGGUAAUGGAAAUGUAGGAUUUUCUAACCUAUAUUAUUUCCUCUCUCUUAUUCUUUGCACUGGGGCUGUUGAAAUUUACUUUUGUUGUUAAUUUUAGGUAAAAGGUGCUGCUUACGACCAAGAACUGUCUCAGAAAGCAGUGCAGCCUUCUUCUGGUGAGUUGUCUUCUAUUGUUAGGAUUGAUUAUUUGGAUAUUGCAUGUGUUGGAUAAGGAAUUCCCUUGUGUACUGCAACCUAUGUCUUUUUUGUUUUUUAAUUGCUGUGCUAAAGAACUUUAUUCUGUUCUGUUGGAUUUUUUUCCUUGCAUAUUUAACCUUUUUUAUUUAAAUUGCUACUUUCAUUUUGCAGCUUCUUAUGCUGCUGCUCGUCCUCUAGAGGAUGCUGAUUCUCGAACCAUCUUUGUAAGCAAUGUAAGAAACAGAAAUUCUCUCUUUAGUGUAGAAAGAAGAUAUGUCUCCCUUAGUUUUGACAAUAUAUUGUACUGUAACCAUUGAUAAGCAGGUUCAUUUUGCUGCUACCAAGGACAGUCUUUCUCGACAUUUUAACAAGUUUGGAGACGUGCUAAAAGUUAUUAUAGUUACAGAUGCGGCAACUGGGCAACCGAAAGGGUAAGGUGUUUGAAAUACUUGUUCUGGAUUUGCCUUCUCCUGGAAAACAUUUUAUUUUACCGAGGUACUAUGUGUACACAGGUCAGCUUAUGUGGAGUUCAUACGGAAGGAAGCAGCAGACAAUGCUUUGUCUCUGGAUGGUACCUCAUUCAUGUCACGGAUUCUUAAGGUAUUUAAUCCUUGUCUGUUGUUUUAUUAAACCUUUCAUCGAGUUUCUCUCUGUAACUGGCCAUGCAUAUUUUGAUAUUUCUCUAUUGUUAGCUUAUGUGGAGUUCAUGGGAGAGUCUUGUGUGUUAAAUAUUUUACUCUUAUCUGGAACUUUGUUUCGACUUAGAUGCCUAGUAAUGUAAAAUUUUAUCAUUAUGUAAUGUCUUGAACUUUUUCUGGGAAACUCUAUGUUAUUAUGGUUCGUGAUUUGGGUCAAUGGUUGCCAUAACGCUGUUAUUAUGACCUGGCUGUCACUGGAUGGUUAAUUAAAAAUACAAUAUAAUGUAAUGUUAGCGGGCCUGUAGCAAGUUGUCUAUAUUUCAAUAUAGCCAGCCUCUUGAAGUUUCUGCUUAUUGGAAGACCUGAUCCAUUGAUGUUAUGUUGGACCAAAACGUGUGUUGAGUCUUGGAUCCAUCGGCUCUGUGUGUUUUGAGGAAAUUACUCAUCUUGUCAGUGUGUAAAAAGUUCUAGGAAAUACUAUUAGAUAUGAGUGCUAGGAAAGGUUACCGAGACGGCAGAUGCAUCCAGUAUGAAUAUUCCAUCUUCUAUGUCCCACAUGACAGAACUUGUCUAUUUUCUAGAUGUUAAAAGCAAAAUUUCAUUUUGCUGGACUUAUAGGAAACUUGGACCGUGAGGUUGGUACCGUCCUAAAAUGAUUCGGGCUCGGUGUCUAUUGUAUUUCUACCAAUUUCAUAGCAUGCAUAUUGGUUUGUUGUUCCAAAACAUAAAGCGACUAAUUCAACCUGUUUGAUUUCCUUUGCCAAAGGUCGUGAAGAAAAGUUCAGCUCCUCAAGAAGCCGCUGCUCCUGUCAUGACAUGGCCUCGUGUAGCUCGGGGCUCUCCAUUUGUUGCAGCAAGGUUUGGUAGAGCUUCAUUUGCCAGAGGCAUGCCAGGUGCUUUUAGGCCUCACCUUCCAAUUAAACCCGGUGGCAGAAGCUUUCAAUGGAAGCGUGAUGCUCAGACGACCACCACCCCAACCGACGCCGUCACUGGGACAAACAUUUCUUCUCCCACUUUCCGCAGUCUCACCUAUGUCCGAACAGAACCUAAGUCAGAAGGGAAUGCUACUAGCUAGUCAAGAGGUUUGCUACCGCAGUCUCACAUUCCUUCUCUGGGGGGUCGCAUCAGUUUUCAAUUUUUAUGUUAAUUUUUCCUUCUGUUUUUUUUUCACCUUGAAAUGUUUGAAUGGAUUGAUUGCACAAAGAGAGUAUCAUAUGUGGAUCAAAGGGUGAGGAUAAAAUUGCAAACGCGAUGAUUCUUCAACACCUGGGAAGACAUGUCUACAAAUGGAGAUACAUAUAUAUAUACGUGCAUGUAAUAGAAGUGGCAAAACUGGUCUUCUCCAAAAGAAAAUUUUGCUAUUUCAGGCAUUGAUUUCUGGGUGUGGGAGGGGAGGGGAAAUUAUCUAUGUCUAGUUUUUAGAUUUGGGAUUGGGAGGAAGCUAUUUGACAUUGCUCUUUUUAUAUUUUUGUUAGACUUCUCAUUUUAUAUAUAUAUAUUAUAAAGAAAAAAGAAAAUAGAAAAAAAUGAUCUAAAAAAUGAAAAAAAAAUAUGGUCCUGAUAAUAUUUUGAAAUUUUUUAUGGCCAAAGGCCAUUUUCCUGUCAUGGGUUGAUUGUUCUUUCACUACUGUAAUUUUCAUCUAUGAAUCAAAACCUUGUUUAAAUUUACAUAUAUUUUUCAUAUUAUUGUUGAGCUAACAUUUACUUGAUUAGCAGAGUGAGUUUAAAUGCCUUUAUAUACUUUUUUUAAAAAAAAUAUAUAAAUAUAUUAUUAAUUGACACAAAAAAAAAUGUGAACUUGAACACAUUUAUGCCACAAGACUGAAAUAGAAGAAAAUUGCAAAUUUAUUCAGUCCAAGUUAUGACAAGAAAUGUUGAAAGAGGGUGACAAAUUAGCUAACGUUGUAUAUUUGAUUGUAUUCAUAUUCCAUAAUAAAGUCAAAUAUGUAAACAGUAUUACAUGUACAACAUCAAGCACACACACGAACUUCAGAUUAUUAAACUCUCAGCUACGCUUUUCAAUAUUAUGCAUUCUCGUCUACCGUCACCACCACCCACCUGAGCAUCAUAUCACAACACAGCAUAACCCCUACAUACGUAUAUAAUUCCUACAUGUAUAUCAAUGAUAUAUAUGUAUAUAUAUAUAGAGCGAGAAUACAGUUCCGAGUGUCCCACUGAUUUGAGGGAAGCAUGCACAAUAAAAAAACACUGCCACCCACACAUUGAUUUGAUUAUUCAAAUUAAUCACCAUUGGCUACUAAAAUUCCAAACCCUUCAACAAAACAUUUCUAUCCAUCAAUCAGCAUUUUCACCCCCAAAAUACUAUCUUUCUUUUUUUUUUUUUUACUACUUCAUUUAAUAUUUUAGAUGCAGUUUAUUGCAUAAAACCCCCUCAUGCUCCCAUGAUUCCAACCUUUGGUUUCUCCAAUCAGCAAAAUCCUGCAAUUUGGGUUUUUUUUUUUUAAAAAGAAAUGUUUAGAACUAUUAAUCACUCGAGCUAUACCGUACGCGGGAUUACCAGAAAUAAUGAACUAGUUAGAUGUUUACCUUUUUCAAAGAGAGUGCAACACUAGAAACCCAAGAAAGUUUUUCAUCAAAGCUGCAUAUAGGUCCUUUGCAUUAUUUAUAUAAUCCUGCAUGCAAAAAAAUCCAUACAAAAUAUAUAGAUACAUCUUGGAAACAAGAAAUUGGAGCUUUCAAAAUGGCUAUUAUAUGUAUAGUAAGAUCGUUGAAAUGAUUGGAAUUUCAAGGGUAAAAGCACCAUGAAGACCCCUGUACUAAGCAUCAGAUUGCACUCUGCCCCCUUUAAAAAAAAUAGGAAAAUUAAUCCCUGUACAAUAGAUUAAAAAGCAAACCGAUCCUUUUCAUCAAUUUCUACGGUUAAAAACUGGCAUAGCUGACAGAAUAAUCAAACAAUUACACCUAGCGUGCCAUGUAUAACUCAUGUUAAUAUAGAAGGACCAGUUUUUAACUGUGGAAAUGGAUGGAAUUUUUAACAAAAGGACUAAUUUGCCCAUUUGAGUAAAGGGAGCAAAAUGUAAUCCUGUUACUAAUACAAGGAACUCCAUGAUACUUUUACUGAAUUUCAAGAUCUUCAUAAAUGAUCAUCUUAUACAAAGGGAAGAGUGACUUGAAUGUACAAUUCGUCUAUGUAGGCAUCUGUAUCAGUUAUUAAAAUUCGGAAGUAGUUGAGAAGAAGAAAAACCAGUGUUGAAGAUAAAACUUACAUUGUAGUAGAUGUUGUGAACAUUCACCUAAUGUGCAAGUCACUGAGGAAGUCCAACAACCUGAAAAGGUAAUCAACAUAGUAAGAAAGAACGAAAAGAAAAUAACAUACAAAAACAAAUGAGAAGAUAUUGCUUUUGUUCUAUUAGCCAAGUCUAUACAAAUAAAGGAAAAAGAAUAGAAAUGGGGCAAAAAUACCUAAUAUUUUUAGCUAUAACGGUGUGCCCAUCUUCAGCUCCAAGAUGCCGUAGAGCAACUUCCUCCAACCGACCAUCUCGAUACGCAUGCUACAAAUACAUAGCAUCCAUGAAAAUAAACAAAAAAAUUCUGUGGGAAACCACAGCAUCAAGAGAAAUGAAAACAUAUAGUGGACAAGGAUGGUAACAGGUGAAAGAUAACACUUUUUUAAGCCCAUAAUUUGAAUGACAUGACUUCAUAAAUCCACAAUUUGCUUCUUUAUCGAGAAAAUAUUGGCUAACAUACGAAAACCAUUAGGUUUUUUAAAAUACACAUGCAGCAGAAGGCAUGGAAAGAACCAUCAAAAGAACAGUUAAUACGAAUCCCAUGAUUGCAAGGGAAUGCCUUUACGCAUUAAAACCAACCACAUUGAAGGCCUCAAACAAAUCUAACCAGUGAAGAAAAGUAAUCCAAACUCUAGUAACUUAAUCCAGAUUUCAAUCUAAUUAACAAUGUUUUAAGUCAUAACAAGACAGUCAGCAACAACCAAAACAAACUCCAAAUCAAUAUUCUCCAAAACGAAAACGGUGGUAGCCUACAUAAACACUAACACUACCAACAUUUCCAUAAUUCGAGCAAAAGGAGCAAAACUAAAUUUAGGAAUUUAAUAGUGAAAAUUCUCCUCAUCACUUGAGGAGUCACUUGAAUCAUAAUCUAGCUGCAUUAAAAAUAAGGCCAUCUCCAUAGAUAUAUCAUCGUUUUCCAAAUCUUCAGCAUCAAAAAUAUUCAUUUCAUCUUCUGCAAUUAAGUGCUCGAAGACAUCAAAAAUUGAGUCCAUAUCUAUAACAUUGGAUCUGCGAGGAGGUGGCCUGUGGUAUUUCCAUGCAUAAGAGCCUGGCUUGACCGUAUGCUGGAAGACAACACAAGCGUAUCCAUUAAACGAAUCGUAAAAGCUACACUCUCUAUGACUAAAGUAAAUGGCAUAUAAAUGUACAAAAUAGCAAGGAGAUAAUACGCUAAAAUUGAUUUUGGGUGUCUACAUAAACAUCACCAGAUCCUACACUACAAAGGAAGUGACACUGUGACAAGACAUCUAAAACCCAUUCUUUAUCUCCCACACCCCCAACCCUUUAUGGGGAAAUUAGAUAGAUAGAUAGAGAGAGAGAGAGAGAGGAAGUAAUGGCAGUAGCACAUACAUAAGAAAGCAGAAACACGGGAUAAAUAAAAUCUAUGAAUCCCAAUGCAUUACAUAUCACAAAAAUGGAAGCAAAAAAGGCACCACUGGCCUAAAAGGGUUUUUGAACUAAAAAGCAACAUAAAAUUGAGAAUAGAUUAAUAAUCAGUUGGGCUUGGCCAGAUGAAACUUGCAAUUUGACAUGAGAAUUAUUUUUCCUCACUUGCAGAAUGAUUUCAAGAGCAGCACUAUUAAUAGAACAAUAGAAGAGUAUUUUGGUAAAAAGGCACCAUAGAUAUCCUGAUUUUCCUAUUGGCUUACUAGCUUCAAGAUUAGUAACCAAAAUAUAUCACCAAGUACUACUUCGUAGACUUACGGGAUAUUCUGCUUAUGUUCUUUCGAUCCUCAAAAGUAAACUUUUUAUCAAUGACUAUCAAUUAAAAUUAAAGUCAACUUAGAGAUUAGAGAAUCAAAAUCUUAAAAGCAUUGUGAAAAUUGCAAGUGCUCCUGUGAUGCAUGUAUCUGUGGCAAAGGGAGUGAAAAAUAGAGCGGGCAGGAAUAAAGAACCCUUAUAAACAAAGCGAAAUGCCUCCAAAUUAUAACUAAAUUCUUAAAUUUAUCAUCAGUAGCCGUCUACUGACAAUUACUCCUCGUACAAAAGUUAUAAUUCCAUAAUUAUAAUCUUUGCUUUACCAAUUAGUUUUCCACCAAUCACCCACCAAUUCAUCCUUAUUCUUCUUACUGAAUAUUAACAGCAGUUUUAUUCAAGGAAAUUGAGAUCAAAGAUUGUUGUUGUCCAAUGAUGUUGAGAUAAAAACAUAUUUUUACUCCUAAACCAACCUCUUCAGAUAAAAGUCCAAACCGGUAGAUAUCUUGGUUGAGAUUUGGCUAAGAAGAAACAGCUCAUAGAUUGCACGACCAUAGUGACAAAGUGAGAAAAAAGGGUGAGGAACAACCAUAAAGAGGAAAGCGCACGCAGGAAAAUAGAGAAUUUUAACAUAAAAUCACAUUAAAAAGCUUAUAGUUGAUACUUGAUGGGAUAUUAAAGGAUGCAAAUUUGGAAAUACUAAGAAAGAGAAAUUCUCCAUUUUACAAAGCUGAAUAAAAUAGACAAUUUUUACCUUGUAGAAACAACUAGUACCAAAAGGGCAGUUCCCAUUUCCGAAGUUGAAGUGCUUGCAAUCUAUUGACCUGAAGAUUAAAAUAUUAUAUGUCUAAGAUAGAUAUUACGGAUCAUCUAAACAACCCUUCAAUUGUAGAAGUACAAUUAAGAAUUUAAACAAAAUUAUAAUUCAUGUGGUACAAGUAGGAAACAAAAGAAACAUUGAAACUGCAGAGGCAUUACCUCAGUUUUGCCUUGUAGCUAUCGAUGAUUUCCUGCUUUUCUUCUGGAGUUGAAUACCAAAUGACACUUGGAAUGACAAAGUACGAUAGCUUGCGACAGAUUGGGCAAGCCCUUAAUGCAGUAUUGACAUCCAUUCCAGAGGACGGGGAACUGCUGCGCCAAUUUCUAAUACAGGAUAUGCAAAACGGAUGAUCACAUUCCGAGAGCAACCCAAACUUCCGUUCAGCUGCUGUGGGCUUCGAGAGAACACGAUCCAGGCACACACUGCAUUCUAUUUCUUGACUAUAUUUCAAUGCCUCGAGGUGCUUUUGCUUUUUCUCACACAUUUUUAUAUGCUCCUCCCUUUCCUCAGCUCUGAAAGGAUGUAAACAAUGUUUUCCACAGGUGGGACACAAGUCUCCAUGAAUAUGGGGACAAUUAUCUCCACGGGGGCAAUUACCAGCUGCAGCAAAUGAGCAAAUAGGACGUUCGACUAGAUUAGCACUCCUAGGCUGCAAAACAUCACCAUCAUCCAAAAGAUCUUGUUGCCCAGAUUCCAAAUGCCAUGCUUGAUUCGUUGAGGGAGGUAGGAAGCCUCCAUUAGAACCAGGAAACUCGCCAGAAGUAGCUGGGAGUACAACGGAACCACGAUAUGUACUCGUUGAAGGACCUAAAGGAGCAGAACCAGAGACCCCAAAUUGACGAGGCUUUGUCGAUGAAGACGAAGCAGAUAAAUCCGUUUGAGAUGCCUUCACAUGUUCAUAUCUGCAUUGACUACCAUAAGAACAGAUUCCUUUCUGAUAGUAUGUGCAAAUCUACAAUGACCCAAGUAAGAAGCAACUAUUAAGGUUAAUCAGCAACAGGUAAAUAAAGAACAGAAAGGUCACAAAGAGCACUUCCUACAUUAUUUGGUGGAUCCUUCCAAUCAUGAGAAAACUCACAAUUCUCCCCUUUGAAGCAUGCUCCAUGAGCAAAGAACUUACAAAGAACCCUGAAUAAUAAGAAAAAAAAAUCAAUAAAAACCCACAAUCAAGAAUUCCAGAAAAUUAGUAUUUUCAUAAUUACCAAAAUUUAAGUUCCAAAAAGAACCAACUAAACAGUCAAAGCGUUCAAUUCAAAAUUGCUACCACGAAAAAAACAAAAAAAUACAGAAUCAUUAACAAAUAUAAAGCUAUCAUCACAAUCAUCAUCAAAUACCCGAUAAGAAAAAACGAUUAAAAAAACGAAAAUUUGCUGAAAUUGAAACAGAAAAUUUGGUAAUCAAUAAAAGGGGGAUUGAUUGGGGAAAAAAAGAAGAAUCACCUCUUAGUCUUAGGCAUGGACGAAAUAGCGAAUAACGAAUAGCGAAUGGAAAUGGAUUUUGAGGGAAAAUGAAAGGAGGCUAAAGGAUUUUUUUUAAAUUAAAAAUUUAAUUUAAUUUAUUACAAAAAUAUCAGUUUGAAUGAUAGGUGAGAAAAGAGGGAGGAGAAGCGAAAUUGAAGCCCCAAACACAACAUCGAAACAUUUUAAGAUUAAAGAAGCAGCUACCUAGGGUUUUUUUUUUUAAUUUUUUUUGGGUCUCUCCGUAUAGAAAGGGCCCAUGGAUUUGGCAUAAUUACUGGAAUGGCCCUUUCGAGCCGUAAUUAUAGUUAAGCAAACGAUUAUUUAUUUUAAUCAGGAUUUGAAAUUUAAUUAAUUAAUUAAUACUUCUUAUUCUAAACAAAUAAUGCAUUUACGGCCACCCAUCUCCAUUACCAACCUUAUCCUCUCCUCCACCUUCUCCACCGUCGGCAACUCCCCUCAGGCAAAGCCACCUCCGCCUGUAUUAGCUUGUCUUCUCAUGCUUUGACUCUUUUGUAGUGAUGGUUGAAUCAAUUAAUUCGUUAACUAGAUUGAUAAUUAAAUCAAUCAAAUCAUCAGUUUUUUUAUUCAAUAAGCUAAAUUAUUAGCUCGAUUUAUGUGAAAUAAAAAAAUCAUUAAAAAUAUAAAAAAUUGAUAAACACGAAUAAAUAAAAAAUGGAAACAUAAACCUUCAUUUUAUAAGUUGUAACAACAAAAUUGCAUAUUUAAACUAGCUUAAAAUUCGUGUUUUUAAUUAGUUACCAAUUUUCUAUUCAGUUCAAUCGAUUUUUUACUAGUUUAAUCUUUCUUCGGUUUUAUAACGCUGCUUGAUCCAUAUGAACCAUUGUUUCUUGAUUUAAUUAAUCAAUCUGUUUCUAACAAUCAUGACAUUAGUCACGCACAAAUUUUCAAAGAUACAUUUUAUUAACAAAGUAACAUCAUUCAUAUAUAUAAUUUAUAAUUAUAUAUGUAUAUGUAAAAGCACGAGUCUGGUAAAACUUUUGAACUGUUGAGAAUACUUUUUAUGUUACAAAUAUUAUUAAAUUCACGUUUAAAAAUAAUUAUAAUAUUAAUUAUUUGUUAAAAAGUUUAAAUGAAAUAAAAGUGGUGAUAAUUAUAUAUUUAAAAAUAAUUAUAAUUUACUAGAAAUUGUGAUAAAUACAUAAUUAAAAUUAGUUAGAAUUUAAAUUACAAUUAUUAGUUAAAAAGUUAUCUUAAUUUUAAAAUAGAAUUAUUAUUUGAAUAAAACUCUAAUUAUUAACUAUAAAGAAAAAAUUGUGAUAAUUAUAAUUUAUUUUUUUUAAAAUUUGACGAAAAAAAAAAGUUAUGCUAAUUUUAAUAUAGAUUUAUUAUUUGAAUAGAAAUCUAAGUAUAAACUAUAAGGAAAAAAUUGUGAUUUUAUUGAUCUAUUUUAUGGGUAUUUUUAUUCUUUUCACAAAUUGUGAUGGACAGAUGAAUGUGUCUGUCGUUCGUUAAAACUCCACCGGUCACCACUAGUUUUUUUUUGGAAAGUGGGUGGCUCUUCAUCAACUUCUUAAUUUGUUUAUGUUUUGAGAGUAUUUCCAAAUAAAUAAAUGAUUUCACGAGUCGAUUUGGACCCGUUUUAUCUUAAAUUUUAUAUGUUUUUACUGUGUUUUUCUAUUGUUUAAUAAAUCUUCAAUUUUAGAAGCUUUUAUUUCCUCUUAUAACACGUUUUCUAGUAUUGUUUAUGCAUGUAAUCUUAGUUUUACAAGUGAUUUUAAAGAUGAUUUUGCUGUCGUUCUCUCUAAUUUGGUGAAUGCUCGAUUUUUUUGUCUAUUUUUGCUCACCGCUUUGAACCAUUCAGGGUUGAUUUCCUUAUCAUAAUAACAAUCGUUCUUCGAUUAUAAAGUUUGAAUUGAAAAGUUAAUAUAUUUUUGUUAUAUUCAAUAAUUUAAAUAAAAAAUAUUAUUUUAUGUCAAUUACUAUAAUUAAAAAUACAAUAUUUAAAAAAACUAAUUAAAUAUUAAAUGCGUAAUUCACAUGCGAUAGAGGCUAUACUAGAAAUUUCCAAGUUGGUACCACAAAUUCAUAAUAAUAUUAAUUAUAAUUUAAAAAAUGAUAUUUGUAUAUUUCCAUAAUUGGGUUAGUGAUCCGCUUAAGGGUGACAGUAACCCAUUAAAGUGUUUAAAUAUAAGGUUAAAUUCUACAAUUAAUCCUUGUAUUUUGUGAAAGUUGUAAAUUUAGUCAUGUACUUUUAGUUGAUGAAUUUUUAGUCCUUAUAGUUUUGAAUUGGUCACUUUAAGUCUCUGUAUUUUUCAAAAUUUAAAAUUUUAAACAAUAGCAAUUAAAUUCAUUAGCUUAAAUUGAAUUACUAGUCUUGUACUAUGCUUACAGUCAUAUAUUUUGUCCAUUAUUUUUCCAAUUGGAUCAUUCUAAGUUAUUAUACUUUUCAAAUUUUGAAAUUUCAAUCUUGAUACAAAUGACAGUUGUUAACAUAUUCUUGGUGAGUAAUAUAUGUAAAUAAUGAGUUGACAUGACGUUACACAUAUGAUGAUAUAUUUGUCACAUCAGAUUUUAAAAAUAACAGAAUUUUACUUAAAGAAUUUAACCGUUAUUUUUUUGUGAGGACUAAAAUUUUAAAAUUUGAAAAGUAUAGUGACUAAAAAUAACCAAAUAAAAGUACAUGGAUUAAAACCAUAUUUUUCACAAAGUACAAGGACUAAUGACAGAAUUUAACUAAAUAUAAGUAUUAGAUAAGGACUAAUGGCAAAAUAAAAAUAGUUUUGAACUUUUUGUUAGGGGAAACUAUCAAAAUAGUCACUUUUGUUUCCCUCAGUUACAUUUUAGUCACUUAUGUUUGAAAUGUUACGUUUUAGUCACUUACGUUAUCGUGUUGUAACAUUUUAGUCACUAAGUAUUAAUUGUUGUUAACAGUGUAAUGGUAAGUUGACGUGGCACGUUAAAUCAUUAUUUUAAACAAAAAUUUUAGGUUUAAUUAUACAAUUGGUCCCUAUAAUUUUUUUAUUUUAAGCAAUUUAAUUUUUAUUUCUUUUACAUUAAAAUAGAUGAAGAAGGGAGAAAAAUAGAGGGAGAAGCAAAAGAGAAUGGAAAAAAGAAAGAAAGUUAAAAAAACAUGAAAGAAAAAAAUAAAUUGCUCAAAACAAAAAAACAUGAGGACGAAUUGUAUAAUUUAAUUUAAAAUUUUUCUUUGAAAUGAUAAUUGAACAUGUCAUGCCAGCUUACCGUUACACCGUUAAUGAUAAUUAAUGGCUCAAUGACUAAAAUGUUACAACACAUUAACGUAAGUGACUAAAACGUAAUAUUUCAAACAUAAGUGACUAAAAUAUAACAUGAGGGAAAUUAUAGUGACUAUUUUAGGAGUUUACCCCUUUUUGUUAUAAUUUUAUAUAGAUGAUAAGUAUAAUUAUGAAAGUCAGCAAAUUGAUACGUACAUGCAUGAAAGCUACCACUCCUCAUUUCUUUUUCUUAUCUUUUAUUUUCAAUGGAUAAAUAAGGCCACAAUUUGAAGUAAAUUUGGACCUUGUUUUAUAUAACUUCUUUUAUUUUCCUUUUAGUUGUAUAUAUUAAAAUAAAUUCGAAUAAAAUACAAAGUUUAAAUUAGUUGGUAUUAUUAUUUGCUACCUACUAAAUCAAGUUUCUUCUUUUAGUUAAAUUUUGUUAUUUUUUUCAGUUGAACUCUAAUAAUUUUGGGGAUAUUUUAAUUAGAUUAGCCUACAAAUUUCAACCUAUAAACAGGGCUUUCAGCAACCCUAGAGAGAUUGAUUGAACAACACAAUUAAGAGAGAGUUUCGUGAGAAAUUUGUGAGAACUUUGUAUUUUGGGUUCGAGUUUGUUUUUGUUUCUGCAUAUUACAAUCCUUCUUCGGUUAUUUGCCGCUUUAGUGAAGUUUUAUUUGCUCGUGAUUUUUUAUCCUCUUUAGAGAAGUUUUUUCACAUAAAUAUUUAUGUCCAAUUUUCUUUAUUCAUUAUUGUUCGUUGCUUAAUUCGAAUUUAUUCCAAUAUAAUUUAUGAAUAUAAUUUUUUUUUUAAAAAAGACAAAAAUAGAAAGAAAAAAAAACUAAGUUUAAUGGAUAUAAAUAAUUGGUUUAUAUUUGUUUGAGUUUGUAUUAGUGAAUACUAUUAUGUGAAUUUAUUAAAGGUUUUAAAAACAAAUAAAUAAAAUAAUUUUUUUUAAAUCAAGUGAUGUUAUUUUUAAGGAGGAGUGGAAAUUGGUUAUAAUUGAUUUAAUAAAUUAAAAUUUAAACCAAAUAAAUCAAUUUAUUAUAUAUUAUUUUUAUUUAUUUUAAAUAAAUUUAUAAUUAAUUAUUAUUUAAAGAAAUGGGUGUUGUUGGUAAUAUAAGAGGACAUGGGUUCAAGUACACUGAAGCGUAUUAUCCUUUUAUUUAUAGGUUGAAAAGGGACUAUGAGUAAUUCUAGGCAUUGUAUCAAAAAGAACAUAUAUGAUUAAAAUCUAUAAUGAGAUUCUAAAUUAUGUGAAAUUAAUAUAUACUAUAUUAAAUAAAAUAAAACUAUUUUUUAAUUCCAUUGUAGAAUAUCUAAUAAUAAGCUUAAAAAUAAUGAGAUACACUAGUAAUAAACAAAACUAACCCUUAAUCAGUGUUUUAAGAAUCGAAUAGGUAGUUGAACUAGUUAGAUCAUCGUUUCUAGUUUGACCAAUUCAACAAUAAUUAAAAUAUGCUCCAAAUCUUUGUACUCUUUAUAAAUACAGAAUUCAGUCCCUUUACUUUUUAUUCCCGAUACAUUUUAUUUUAAAAUUCAAGUCAAAUCGUUAAUGUCACCAUAAAAUUAUUCUAUAAAUUUCGCUAGUCUUGCUUUUCGAAUUUAACAAAUACUCAUUUGGUAGUCAUGUAAUAAAAAAAUAUCGAACUUGAAUCUAACAAAAAAAAGGUUUAACAGUGUUUACAAUUAGACUUACAUUUUUAAAUUUGAAAAGUAGAAGAACUAAAUUUCUUGAGAUAAAAGUAGUGGGACUAAAUUCAAAAUAUGAUAAAAAGUAUAUAACACAUUUUAACCUAAUUAAUUAAUUAAUUAAGAAAUUCAUUAAAAAUUUUAAAUUUUAUUAGAAAUAUAUAAAAUAAUUCAACCAUUUUCAAAACCAUUUUUAAAUAAAAAUUAGAUUGACAAUAUUUGAGAAAACAUGAAAUUUUAAUUUUUAAAAACACUAGUUUUUUAUUAAAAAAAUAUGAAAAUCUCUUCAAAAGAUAAUUUUUGGGUUUACAUUUUGGAUUUGCAUUAAAAAACUAAAGUAAAAUGAUGAGUCAGUUACGUAUAAAGAAGGUUAUAGCACACAAAAAAAUUGUAUGAACGACAUUUUAAAAUUAAGAAUAAUAAACGAGAUUGUAUCUAGUAAUUUUAGCAACGAUAAUGUUGCCUAAUUAUUUUUAUUUAAAAAAAAACACAACCCUUUCUAAAAAAUAAUUUUAAUGCCAAUUAAUCAUAAGCGAAUAAAUACUUAAAUAAUGCAGAUUGAGUCUUAACUCAAUUGGCAUUGGCAUUGUUGCCACUGUAGGAGCAUGAAUUUUAGUAGGCUGAAGCGCGUUAUCCUCCUAUUUAAGGGUUAAGGAGAGAUUAUAGAUAAUUCUAGGUAUUGUAUAAAAAAUAACAGAUAUAAUAAGAACCUAUAGUGAAACUAAUGUUAAAAAAAUAAAUACUUAAACCUCAUGUGAUGGUAAUAUCGUCAAGAGUGUUCAUCGCCCCAGGUAUGGCUUAGAUUCGAGUCGAACUAGUCGCGUUAAUUGUUUAGGCUUUGUCCUGUUAUUGUAAUUCACAAAAAAGUACUUAAAUAAUAUUGGGUUGAUACAUAUACAAAAUGCCAUGAUAGAAACAUGUCAAGUAUACAAUGAAACUUAAUAAUAUGAUAGCCUGAUAGUUAAGGGUGUUGACCAUCCUAAGUGCAGCCUGAAAUCAAGUCGGGAUAGUCGUAUUUCUCUCAAACUUAGAAUUUUCCACACUAGAUUUUCAAAAUAUAUAAUAAUGAUAAGAGAAUCAUGGCAGCAUACAUACAUAUGAUAAUAAGAAAAUAUGUAAAUGCUCAUAAUCUCAAACAAUUGAAGUAUACUAAAAUUACAUGUAAAAAGAGGAUGGAAGUAAAGCAAGAUUUUUACCGAGACCAUAAACUUUGAGCAGCAACUCUAGAUUUGAUUUUCACGAACCUGUAAGUUUGAAACCGUUUCUUGAUCUUGUUUUCACCUUAAUCUGGUUCAUUUGAGUUCGUAUUCUCUUUUCCUUUAAUCUAUCAUUGGCCACCCGUUGAAAUGUUGGCUCGAAUUAUAAUCCCUCCUCACCGACUUUGAUUCUCGAUGAAGGCUCGAUUUAGAGGAACUACAAAAUCCGAGAGAUGGGUGCUUGUAAUUUCUCUUUUUUUUUUUGGUAAACUAUUAAAAUAAUCACUUCUGUUUGUCUCAGGUUGCAUUUUAGUCACUUAUGUUUGAAAUAUUAUGUUUUAGUCACUUACGUUAUUGUGUUGUAACAUUUUAGGCACUGAUGCGUUAAUUGCCAUUAAUGGUGUAACGGUAAGCUGACGUGGCACAUUAAAUCAUCAUUUCAAACGAAAAUUUUAGGUUAAAUUAUACAAUUGGUCCCUAUAUUUUUUCAUUUUUAGCAAUUUAAAAAUUUUCUUUUAUGUUCUUUUAAUUUUCCUUUUUUCCAUUCUCUUCUACUUCUUUCUCUAUUUUCCUCCAUUCUUUAUUUAUUUUAACGUGGUUUUUCAAUGUUUUCCAUUUGUUAAAACUAGUCCAUAAGCUUGCUUCACUCGAAAAAAUUAAAUUGUUCAAAAAAUAAAACAUAGGAAAAUUACGUUAAAAGAAAUGGAGAAGGGAGGAAAACAGAGAGAGAAGCAGAAAAGAGUAGAAAAGAAAGAAAAAGAAAGGAAGUUAAGAAAACAUAAAAGAAAAAAAAAAUUACUCAAAACGAAAAACUACGGGGAUCGAUUGUAUAAAUUAACCUAAAAUUUUUGUUUGAAAUUAUGAUUUAACGUGCCACAUCAUCUUACCAUUAUACCGUUAAGGAAAACUAACGAGUCAGUGACUAAAAUGUUACAACACGAAAACUUAAGUGACUAAAACGUAACAUUUCAAACAUAAGUGACUAAAAUGUAAUUAGAGGGAAACAAAAGUAACUGUUUUAGUACUUUGAGCCCUUUUUUUUACUUCUAUCUUUCUUUCCCCUUUGUUUACAACGGACAAUCGACAACUCAAAUAUAGUAACUGACUUCGAAAUAUUGUAUCUGUUGCCGUUAUUGAUUAGUGAUGAGCGUUCAAUCGAAUCGAGUGAAAGUUUUUUGAGUUAAUCAAGUUGACGAGUCCUAUUUUAACAUCCUAAUUCGAUUUGAAAUUUUUUUCAAAUCAAGUCGAGUGAAAUGAAAUUCAAGUUGAGUCAAAUUGAAUCGAGUGAAAUUGUUCGAGUUAAAUUAAAAAAUUAAACAUGUUAAAUUAAAAUUGUUACAGUAUAACUAAUUUUAUGUUAUAACGCAUAAAUUUAAAGUCGUAUAUAUUUAAAAACUUUUUCAAAGCAAAAUAAUAAAAAAAUAAUUUAGUAUGGUAAACUUGAAUCAUUAAUUAACUUAUUUAGGUUCCUAAAAUUAUUAUUUCAGAAAAAUUUUAAAAUUUUAAUUUUAUUUAUAUAUUUUUAAAAUUUUAAAAUUUUUUAUAAUAUUUUAAAAAAUAUAAAAUUUAGAAUUUUUAUAAUAUUUUGAAUUUUAAAAAUUAUUUUUUAAUUCGUCCCCCCAAAAGCCUCACGUCGAACUGCGUCUUAUUGUAACUGCCCAUUAACUCGUCCUUUGGAAUUUUUUUCAAGUCAAAAUUUACUCCUCUCUCCCUUUUCGAACCGCCCUUAUAUCCACAUAUAAUAUAAUAUAUAACCACACAUAUAUAGAUAAUUUUGACUUUUAUGCUUAUCUUAUCUUUUUCAUUUUUAUUAUUUUUAAAGAUUAUAUGCUCUAAGUUCAGUCAUUUAUUAAAAAAAUAAAUACAGUGAAAAAAUAAGAAAAUUUGUAGGGGACGAAGGGGUAAAGCCAGAGCCUACCGCAAAUCCCUAUUAAGCAUAAAACUAGACUGAGAUUGUGACUUGAGUGUGAGGGCGGAGACUCCGCUGGACGAAUCAUACAACACAAGUUGAAUCCGCAUAGAACUAUUCUUCUUCUAUUUGACUUUGAUUAGAACAUGAUUUUUCAACCCUUAUAUAGAUGUAGUCGAAACUCCUCUUGUAUCAUUCGUUUUUCAACAUUAGUGAAUUUCUCCUCCUCUACCCGUGGUUUUUCCCGAAAGAAUUUUCCAUGUAAAAUCUAUGUGUUCUUAUUUUUUUUCCUUUCUUAUUAUUGCUUUAAGAUCGUUCUACCGUUAUUAUUGACAUUUAUUAUAAUAAUUAUGUUAAUAAAUCCUAAAUAAUUAAAACUGAAAAAAAACAAUAUAUCUAAUGCAAACUUAAUUUAAGCUUGACCUGGAUAUGAUUCAUGUUGUAGGCCAAUUUUAACCUAUUUACAUCAAAACCCAAUUUAAUCUUACCUAACCCACCAAAAUUAAACCCAAAACCCAAAAUCUUAACUAUCCAAUGCCCAAUUUACAUCAAAACUCCAAUGGCCCAAACACUAAGCCCAAAUUAAAAUAAAAAAACACCAACUCCACUAGCCACAUUUGCUCCACCACCAACUCUACUAGCCACACUCGCUCCACCACCUACUCCACUAGCCACACUUGCUCCACCACCUACUCCAUUAGCCACACUUGCUCCACCACCACUUGUACCUACAAAUGAAAACAUAAACAAUAAAAAAUAUUUUGUAAAUGACUAUAUAAGCCUUAUCAUAUUUUGUAUUUAGGGGAGGAAGAAGUUUUGGGAGAGAAAGUUAUUGUAAAGGAUUUUUGAGAGUAGUCAAGGAGAUGAGUUAUUGUAAAGGCUAGUUUUUGGAGAGGCUAGUUUUUUUUUUGGAGAUUAAUCAAAUAUCAAAGCAAAAGAGGUUUCUUGGUCUAUUCUCGUUUCAAAUUCUUUGUUUGCUUAUUGUUUUCCUUUCAGUUUUUUUUGUUUCUUUUAUACGAAAGUAAAAAUAAAAGGAGGAAGCUUUCCCAUUUUCACCAAAAAAGUUUUUUUUGAGGUCCGGCUGCCGUGUACGGUGGCACCGACGGUGGUCGGCGGCGGUCCGGUGACCGGACGGUGGCCGGCCUUGUGGCCGGAAAUCACCCACUCUCUCCCUCUCUUUUUUUGUUAUUAUUAUAUUUCUUAAUAUUAUAUUAUGUAUAUAUUUUUUUAAUAUAUUAGGUAUAUUCUAAAUUCUAUAUUACGUAUAUAUAUUAUACUAUUUUAUGUAUAUAUCUUUAAUACUAUAUUAUUUAUAUAUUUUUUUUUCUACAUGUUAUCUUAUGUAUAUAUUUUAAUUAUAUUAUGUAUGUAUUUUUUACACUAUAUUAUGUACAUAUUUUUUUUAUAUCUAUUUUAUACAUAUGUAUAUAUUAUAUAUAUCUUAACAUUACUAGUUAUAUUUUCACUAUUUUAUGUAUAUACUUCAAACACUAUAUAUAGUAUAUUUCUAAUACUAUUACUAUUUAUAAAUAUAUAUAUAUUUUACGUACAUACUCCUAAUAUCUUUAUUAUGUAUAUAUUCGUUGUUUUUAUUUCACAUUGGAUACUAUUAUUACGUUUAAUAUAUCGCAUGCAUUGUUAUUGUUUUAAUAUUGUUGUCAUAUUUAUUAUUUGUUUCAAUGUAUUUCCAACUCGUUUAUUUUUGUCUCCCGCCUAUUUUAUAUCAUUCUGUUGUUCAUUACUUUAAAUAUUUUUAUUCAUGUUUUUACUAAUUUCAAUAAAUAAGGCAAUGUUUCGCAUUUUUGAACAUCGAAGAAUUGUGCCCUAACUUACGGGGUUUCGGUUCUCUUGUUGGUUCUAAAUAGCUAAAUAUCCUUUUGAGUUUUGAAAUGCACGGAUUUCCAAUUUAAAUUAAAAGACGACCUUGUGCUCGGGAAUUCAUGGUAUUGUGUCCUAACUUACGGGAUGUGAUACUCCGAUAUCUCGAGAUAAGGAAAUCUUUAAACAAAUCGAUUUAAGCUGAUUCAAUAAUUUUAAAAUCAGUAUUAAUAGAAAAGAUCGUAUUUCAAGUCCCUUCCCGAUUUUUAAUUUUCGACAUUAAGACACUAACUAAUCAAUUCAAUACCAAUUUUUUAGGCGUGUCGAGGGUGCUAAUCCUUCCUCGCACGUAACCGACUCCCGAACUCAUUCUCUCAAGUUUCGUAGACCAAAGUCCCUGUUUUAGUAAACUAAAAUUGAUUUAUUAAAACAAAGGUGAUCCGAUCACACCUGAUAAAAGAUUGGUGGCGACUCCCGUUUUAAUUUUUACUUUCAAACAAAGUCGAUCCCCGUUUUCAAAAGAAUGAUUUCGAUAGCUUGGCAACUCCACUGGGGAAUUCGAGAGUCGAGCUUUAAAUUGAUUAUUUUUUUGUCUUUUGUCAAAUAUUGAAAAUCGAUUUUAAAUUUACUGCAUUGCAUGUUGUCUGUUAUUUUCGCGACUCUCUUCAUAAUAUGCUUGCUUUAAGUGGUUUAAUUCUUUGAGGUAUCUUUGCAUAUCGCAUCGCAUUAUUGGUCAAUUUCACCCUCUUAAGUGGAAGUGAAAAACUACUCCUUCGCGAGGUCUUUACCUCCGUAUAGGAUAGUGGAUCGCUUUCGGGAUACAUCCGUACCUGCGUCUUCGUGGGGUUUUCACCUCCGUAUAGCCGUAGGGAAAUGUAUUCCCCUGAAUCAAACUCGGUCUGUAUGAACCUAUAAUGGGUGAGGAUCGAGGAAUCUGCUGGUUCAGGUACCUUUACUUUAGAACCAAACGACAUGUAAUGAGCCCUAGGAGCCUACCCUAGGUAGAACCACACCAAACCCUAGUGGUUACCUGAUUAGGUGCUUAUUUACUCACUAUUUGCUUUGAAUUCUAUUCUUUGUAUAUAAUACUAACUUGUUAUAUUUUGAUCAUUUUCGCAUGACAUUUCAUCAUAAAAGGGUGUUGAUUUACGUUCGGUUACUAAUUAGAAGGGUUUAGCAUGGAAAAAGGAUUUCUUGAUAGAAUGGAGGAUAAUGCGGUCGUCCGAGUGUGGUCUGAGAGAACGCAAUAGGAGAAAUGAGAUAGUUUGACCGAGGGAUAUGAAUCAGAGUUGUGGGAUUUCACUCGCAUCAGUGUGACUCAGAACGACCUGCAAGAGUUAAGAGAUAUAUGGAAUAGUUGGAAUGGCGAAGUCAAACAACUCUUUUACUGUAACUACGGUGACCUACCCUAUUUGCUCGAUGUAAAGGUGGACAAGUACUUGUUCUGGGCCCUCGCGUAAUUUUGGAACCCCGCUUACAGUUGCUUCACUUUCGGAGGAGUUGAUUUAGUACCUACGGUGGAGGAAUACAUGGCGUUACUUAAUUGCCCGAAGAUUCAGGCUGAUAGGGCCUAUUCAAAACCUGUUAAUGUCCCUCCCUUUUUGAAGAAAUUGAUGAAUAUCACGGGGAUGAGCGAGCAAUGGGUUGCAGCCCGCAUCAAGCAAAAAGGGGAUAGUAAAUGUAUUCCUUGGAGGAAUUUGAGGGAUUUUAUUCUUGCGCACCUGGAUUCAAAGAAAAGGGUUGAUGUUUUUGCCUUAAGUCUCUACGGUUUGAUCGUCUUUCCUAAAGCACUUGGACACAUAGAUGAAGCCGUCUCAGAUUUAUUCGAUUGACUUGAUAAAGGUACCACACCCGUCCCGGCAAUCCUAGCAGAAACUUUUCGAUCCUUGAAUACAUGCCGGAGAGCGGGCGAAGGAAGAUUUAUUGGUUGCGCACAGCUUUUUUUGGCUUGGUUCCACAGUCAUUUUUGGAAGGUGGAGAAGGUCUCCUAUCGGGUAUUCUCUAAGGAUUAUUUCCCAUUAAGAGAAUUAGUGGCCACAUCGAGGCGGGACGACAUCUCCGAAGAGAGGUGGAUAACUAUUCUCCAAAAUUUACGGAUCGAAGACGUUGAAUGGAGGGCUCCGUGGUUGAUUCCUGACGAGAUCUUAUAUAAGUGCGGUAAUUUUGACUGGGUCCCUCUCGCUGGAAUAUGGGGAUCCAUUGGAUACGCUUCACUGAUGGUGUUAAGGCAGUAUCGAUCAAGGCAGUUUAUACCGGUGACACAAAGGUUGGCACAAUGUGAGUUCCCCUAUAAAGACAACAAUUAUAAAAAGAGGGUUCGCGAGAUAUCAAAUGUAUGGAACCAAACUCGAAGAAUGAAAAAAUUCACUGCAGGCCCGAUGACGACCCCCGAGUAUGAAUGGUGGUGGGGUAGGAGAGUCAACGACAACAUCCCUAGGCAGAAUCAAGGGAACACACAACCGAUAGAGGAGCAUUUACGGGUCAUCCCAUCCGAGUUAGAGAUCAUUAAGCAAGAUUUUGAGAAAAGAAACUCAGAGUUGGGGAAGAAGAUAGAGCAGCUAGAAGAAGAUAAAAUGAAGUUGGGGUUAGACGUCGAUAUCCACAAGCUAGAGGCCGAGAAGUUAAGGAAAGGAAAGAACAAGGCCGAGGAAGAUUUAGAUAGUCUGAAAAUCGAUUACAAGAAACUUCGUAUAACGAUAAAAACUGCCGGAUUAGGUAAAACGUCAGAGCAAUGGCGUCAAGAGAUUAAAGAGGAAAAGACUAGAGCCGACCAUUGGGAUAAAAGAUUUCAAGAUGCCCGAGUACGAGAGGACAUUCUGAAGAAGAGUUUGUUAGAAACCCAAAACGAAAAGGAGAAGUUACGACCUCGGGUGGCUGAAUUGGAAAGAUUACUUCAGCAACAUCGUAGCCAUAAUUCGAUAAUUACGCUAAAGGCUAGUCUGAGCAGGAUCAAAGAGUUGAAAGGGAAAAUAGAAGAACUCGAGACCGCACUGCGAGAUAGAAAAAUUCGAGUAGAACUUCUUGAGACAAACAACGACCAUUACAGAGAACAGCUUCACCACUCUCAAAACCAGAUUAGAGAUAGAGACUAUGUCAUGGGCGAAGUUAUAACUCAGGUUCGGGAGAUAGCUGAUCACUUGCAAACCUUGACAGUUCAGGCUGAUAUAUUAAGCUUAAAGUACGAGUCGGAAUCAGACCGAGGCCGAAGCUUAGCUUGGCUUCUUAGGAAAGUUAAGACUUUGGGCAUUAGGGCGAAGUCGUAUAUGUAAUCAUCCAUUCUAUGUAAAGAAAUUUUUCUUCUAGUGAAGUUCUUCUAAUGAUAUUGAAUUGGAAUCAACGCCUCUUUUUACAUCCAUUCAUCCAUUCAUUGCAUAUACAUAUCCCAUAAUCAUUCGCUAAGGUUAGAAUCAUAUAAUUCGCAAUUGCAACACUUCAAAUCUGGAACCACGCCAUUCGUAUAAAACGCGUCGACAAGCUAAAGCAAUGGAAGCUGAGUUCAAUGAAAGAAUCGAAAGGAUGGAAAGAGUCCAGAAGGAAUUACAGGAACAACUGGCUAAGUCACAGUAAGAAACGAGGGAUUUGAUAGUAAGAUCUCGAGAGGAAUCACUUGAACAAAAGGAUCAAAUGGCUAGAAUGAUGAAGAUGAUAUCAGUUUUAGUCAAAGGAAAAGGACCCAUGCAGAACCCCGACAGUAUGGAACCUCAAUCAAGAAUUAAUCAUAACCAGCAUCCACUCUAUCCCUCAGGAUUUACUCCACCACAUGCCCACGUAGCACAAAGAUGUUAUACUCAAGGGGAAUCCACUGGCUUGGAACAACGACCUAUGCCAUUUGCUCAUCUAGGGAAAGGAACAUUUAUGUCAAAUCCCAGAGCAACCCCUGUUAAUCUUGUAGUUCUAGAUUUAGAUGAUCCAGUCGAAAUAGCCAAGUUGAAAAUAGAUGAUCACGAGGCUCAAGAGAAGUAUAGGAAUUUAGAAGAAUGACUCAAGGUAAUAGAAGGCAGUCAAGUAUUCUCGGUACUAGGUGCUAAAGAACUCAGUUUGGUACCUGACCUAAUCCUGCCUCCGAAGUUCAAGGUGCCUGAUUUCGAAAAGUACGAUGGGACAAGAUGUCCAAAAGCACAUCUUGUCAUGUUUUGCCGAAAAAUGACCGGUUACGUGAACGAAGAUAAGCUACUUGUACAUUGUUUUCAAGACAGUCUAGUAGGAUCGGCUCUUCGGUGGUACAACCAGCUCAGUAAGGAAAGGAUCCGAUCUUGGAAAGCCUUGGCGUCGGCACUCUGUGAGCAGUACAAGCAUGUAUCAGAUAUGGUGCCUGAUCGGAUGACUUUACAAAUGAUAGAGAAAAAGCCGUCAGAAACUUUUAGACAGUACGCGCAGAGAUGAAGGGACGUCUCAGCCCAAGUGGAACCCCCACUAACGAAAACGGAGAUAACCGUCCUUUUUAUCAACACCUUAAAAACGUCGUUUUAUGACAAACUAGUGGAAAGCGCCACGAAAGACUUCGCGGAUAUUGUAAUAUCCGGUGAGCUUAUAGAGAACGCCGUCAAAAUGGUAAAAUGGAAGGUCAAGAAAGUUCAAGAAGGGUAGCACCCAUGAAGAAGAAAGAACCAAAAGCCCACAUGGUGGGAAUGGGAAGCCGUUAUGCCCCUAAUCCAUAUCCAAACCAACCCCGACCUCGAAGUUAUCCACCUCCAAAUUUCUAUUAUCCCCCUCAAACCCCUUACUACCAAGCACCACCUUCUUCCUACCCCGUAUACGCCACGAACAACCAAAGACCCGUCACCACAUUCCCACAAAACACGGUACCCGCUCAAAGCCAGCCCAGAAACGAACCAAGGCCAGUAAGGCCUAAUCUCGAGAGACCGUAAUUUACUCCUAUCCCAAAACUUUUGGAGAAACAACUGAUUUCUCCCUAUUACAUGGCACCCUUAAACCUCCAUACCCAAAGUGGUACGAUCCAAACGCUAGUUGUGCAUACCACGCGAGGAACCAGGGGCAUUCCACGGAGAAUUGCCUAGCCUUUUAGAGGAGAGUUCAAGGACUCAUUGACGCGGGUAUCCUACGGUUCGAUAGUGCCAGUAACGCAAUUGGGAACCUGUUCCCUAACCAUACUGAAGGGAAUGUGAGCACAGUGGGGAAAGAAGACGAAUGGAAAGUCAGAAGAUGUGUUUCGGAAAUAAGGACGCCUCUGCAGAAAAUCUGGGAGGUACUGGUUAAGAAAGGAUUACUUUGUCACCUCGAUAGAAUUCUCUGAGAAGAAGGUCAAAGUUUUUGCAAUUUUCAUGGAAUUGUAGGACAUGACUGAAUGCCGUGUGAGGAAUUUAAAAGGUUACUUCAAGACCGGAUGGAUGAUAAGGAGAUUAAGGUCCUUAACAAGAGGGAAGAGACCAAUGAAAGAGAAGUAUGCACCUCUGACAACCAGUCAUCAGGUCUCCCUUAUAGCGCGGAUCGAUCGUUAGUAAUUUAUUACGACGCGACGAAAGAGCCGGUAAAACCAAAAAUGAUAAUCGAAGUACCGUCUCCUUUCCUGUACAAGGACGACAAAGCCGUACCAUGGAAAUAUGACAUCAAUAUCGUCACACCGGAAGAUGAAAAGCUCAAAGCCAUAACUGGAGAUGUUGGAGAGGUAGGUCGUUUUACCCGAAGUGGAAGAUGUUAUUCGAAAGAGGUCAAACCAAUGAAGAAUAACAGUGACUGAAAGCAAAAAGGGAAAGCAGUGAUGCAUGAGGCCGAAGUCGAGCAAAAAAUUCCACCCGUGUUAGAAACUAAAAAGCCUGUGGAUGAGGAGGAAGCAUGGGAGUUCUUGAAAUUUAUCAAACACAGUGAAUAUAAUGUGGUGGAAUAAUUGAAGAAGCAACCAGCACGAAUCUCGGUUUUAUCUCUGCUGCUAAAUUCGGAGCCACACCGGAACGCUUUGUUGAAGGUGUUAAAUCAAGCUUACGUGGCAAACAAUAUAUCCGUGGAGAAGCUGGACAGAUGGGUGAACAACUUGAAUGCGGAUAAUUUCAUUUCUUUUAGUAAUGACGAAAUACCACCCAAUAGUAGAGGCUCCGUAAAAGCACUACAUGUUACGACUCGUUGCAAGGGCUACAUAAUACCGAAUGUGCUUAUCGAUAAUGGCUCGGCACUCAAUGUCAUGUCUUUGGCCACGCUUUCCAGAAUUCCGAUAGAUCUGUCCUAUUUAAGGCCCUGUCAUUCCACAGUAAUGGUAUUCGAUGGGAUAAGGCGUGAAGUUGUGGGAAAGAUUGAUAUCCCUUUAGAAGUGGGCCCUUACAUUUACAAUGUCGAGUUCCAAGUCAUGUACAUCACACCCUCGUAUAACUGCCUUCUAGGAAGGCCCUGGAUCCAUUCUGCUAGAGCAGUCCCAUCAUCUCUCCAUCAAAAAGUAAAGUUCAUCAUGGAUGGUUGUUUAGUCACUGUCGAGGGAGAAGAAGAUAUUAUCGCAUCUAUCUCUGCUGAUGCGCCAUAUCUUGAAGUAAGCAAAGACGCAGUGGAAUGUUCCUUCCGAUCCCUUGAAUUUGUCAAUGCCACUUUUGUCGCUGAGGGAAAUAGAAUUUCGGUGCCAAAACUGUCAAGAAAUACCAGAAUGGGUGUCAAGUUGACUGUAGGAAGGGGAGCUCAAGCGAGAAGUGGUUUAGGGAGAUAUCUACAAGGAAUAGUCAGGGCUCUAAAACUAGUACACCACAAGGCCCGAUACGGUUUAGGGUUCCAGCCGGACAUGCGUCAAAAAGGAAAGCAGUGGAAGAAAGAUCAAGAAAGAAGGAUCGCGAGAACAUUAGGCCGAGAACCAGAAUAGGAGCCCAUGGAAUUCCCUCAUUUGUCAAGAACAUUUACGUCUGCGGGAAUGAUAUACCCAGGGCAGUAUAGUGCACAAAGCACAAUGUUAAUGGUCGAAGAGGGUUUUCAAAAUAUCAGUAUAAAUGUCAUUGACAAAGGAGCUGACGCGAGUAAAGACGUCUCAAAGAUACGCUCUUGUCCCCCGGGUUUCAUGUUGAACAAUUGGACUGUCGAGGAUCUUCUUGUAGUUUAUAAGUCUUUAGAGUAAUGCUCAAACGUUAACAUUCUGUUAUGUCCUUAGAUAUAAUAGAAUUCUUUUGUAAGAGCUUGCAUUCGUUAUUUAUCAUUUAAAUGAAUAUCAAUGAAGAUGCAUUUUGUCACAAUUUUUCGCAUUAUCACUAAUUCCAUAAUCAUUUCAUAUCCUCUCUUUACAUUUGCCUCAUGCCAUACCAUAACAUUCAAUUUGUUGGUUUCAAUACUUAGAUUCCCCUCUAUAGUUUCCUUUUCCAUUCAAUUUUCAGGUGCUCAGAUAUCAAUUGCAUGAACAAACCCGUUACGAGUCCUGAAAUCGAUUUUGAGAAGGCUGUUUGUUUAGGAGAAUUCGAAGCCGAAGAAAAUGCUGAAGACUAUGUCUCAUCUCCUGACUUGCUAGGAAUGGUGGAACAAGAGGAUAAACAGAUUUUGCCCCAUCAAGAAUCUGUUGAAACAAUAAACUUGGGAGCUGAAAAAAGGAAGCAAGAAGUGAAGAUUGGGACCUCUAUUUCAGGGGGCACCAGACAUAAUUUGAUUACUUUACUCCGUGAGUACAAAGAUGUAUUCGUAUGGUCAUAUCAGGAUAUACCAGGAUUGGAUGAAGAUGUAGUGGUCCAUAAGCUCCCAUUGAAGCCAUAAUGCAAACCAUUCAACAAAAGCUAAGACGGAUGAGACCUGAGAUGUUGUUGAAAAUAAAAGAGGAAGUCAAGAAGCAAUUUGAUGCUGGCUUCCUACAAACCUCCAAAUAUCCAGAGUGGGUGGCCAACAUAGUUCCGGUACCAAAGAAAGAUGGCAAAGUACGAAUGUGCGUGGAUUAUCGUGACCUGAAUCGAGCAAGUCCCAAAAAUAAUUUUCCCUUACCACACAUUGAUACGUUGGUGAAUAACACAGCAAAACAUUCAUUGUUUUCUUUCAUGGAUGGAUUCUCGGGGUAUAAUCAGAUCAAGAUGGCCACUGAGGAUAUUGAGAAAACUACCUUCGUAACAAUGUGGGGAAUAUUCUGCUACAAGGUGAUGCCAUUUGGGUUAAAGAAUGCUGAGGCAACAUAUCAGAGGGCUAUGGUGACGUUAUUCCAUGACAUGAUGUAUAAAGAAAUAGAGGUCUAUGUCGACGAUAUGAUUACUAAAUCCCGAGGGGAAGAAGAGCAUGUAGUGAACCUGAAGAAAUUGUUCUACAGACUAAGAAAGUUCUAGCUAAAGCUCAAUCCGGCCAAAUGUACGUUUGGGGCUACCUCAGGAAAAUUGCUUGGCUUCAUUGUCAGCGAGAGAGGCAUUGAAGUUGAUCCAGAUAAAAUAAAAGCCAUUCAAGAGUUACCACCUCCGCACACGCAAAAGGAAUUCAGAGGAUUUUUAGGGAGAUUAAACUACAUCGCCCGAUUUAUCGCUCAACUUACCAACCAAUGCGACCCAAUCUUUCGACUCAUUCGAAAACAUAAUCCCGAAGAAUGGAACGAGGAGUGCCAAGUGGCUUUUAACAAGAUAAAACAGUAUUUAUCUAGUCCUCCAGUGCUAGUACCACCAAUGCCGGGAAGACCAUUGAUAUUGUAUUUGAUUGUAUUCGAGAAUUCAAUGGGUUGCGUACUGGGGCAACAUGACGAGUCCGGAAAGAAAAAAAAGACGAUUUACUACCUCAGCAAAAAGUUCACUGAAUAUAAGGCAAAGUAUUCGUCCAUAGAAAAAUACUGUUGCGCUCUGGUUUUGGUAGCUCGGAGACUCAGGCAAUAUAUGCUGUAUCAUACGACAUGGCUAAUUUCAAAGUUAGACCCAAUAAAGUACAUGAUGGAAUCACCUGCACUCCCAAGAAGAAUGGCACGAUGGCAGAUCUUACUAUCAGAAUAUGAUAUCGUCUAUGUGAGCCAAAAUUCGAUAAAAAGGAGCGCAAUAGCUAACUUCUUAGCAACUCGAACAACGGAGGAAUACGAGCCAUUGAGAUUUGAUUUCCCAGAUGAAAACUUGAUGUGCAUUACAGAAAAAGAAUGUGAGUUAUCAAAAGAAAAGUCAUGAAAGAUGAGCUUUGAUGGUGCAUCGAAUGCAUUGGGGCAUGGGAUUGGAGCAGUCUUAGUAUCACCAGAAGGAAACCAUUACCCACUCACUGCCAGGCUGAACUUUUUCUGUACCAAUAACAUAGCAGAAUAUGAGGCUUGUAUCAUGGGACUUCGUGCAACAAUUGGACGAAACAUCAAAACUUUAGAGGUAUACGGAGACUCAACCUUGGUGAUAUACCAAAUCCGUAGAGAUUAGGAAGUGAGAGAUUCGAAACUGGUCAAAUACAGUGAUCUAGUGGCAGAGCUGAUUAAAGAAUUCGAAGAAAUAACUUUUAAUUACCUCCCACGAGAAGAAAACCAAUUGGCUGAUGCCCUGGCCACUUUGGCUUCAAUGUUCAAAGCAAACAGAGAAACAGAAAUAAUGCCUCUUCAAAUGAGCAUAUAUGAAGUCCCUGCAUAUUGUUUCAGCAUUGAAAAAGAGCCAGAUGGACGGCCAUGGUUCCAUGAUAUCUUAGAAUAUGUCAAGAACCAAAAGUAUCCCGAACAAGCAAAUGAGAAUGACAAACGAACAAUCAGAAGAAUGGCAGCAGGAUUUGUUCUUGAUGGGAACAUUCUAUACAAAAGAGGAAAAGAUCAAGUGCUCUUGAGAUGCGUAGAUGCUGUUGAAACCAAAAAAAUACUUGAAGAUGUCCACGAGGGAAUUUGUAGGACACAUGUCAAUGGUUUCACUAUGGCCAGGAAGAUUAUGAGACUCGGUUACUACUGACUGAUGAUGGAAAGCGACUGCAUUAGUUUUGCAAGAAAAUACCACAAAUGUCAAAUUUAUGGCGAUAAGAUUCAUGUAGCCCCUUCGCCCCUUCAUGUCAUGACUUCUCCGUGACCCUUUUCUAUGUGGGGUAUGGAUGUUAUAGGGCCAAUUUCCCCAAAAGCUUCUAAUGGACACCAGUUCAUUUUGUGGUUAUUGAUUACUUCACAAAAUGGAUAGAAGCUGCUUCGUUUGCCAAUGUGACAAAGACUGCAGUUUGCAGGUUUUUGAAAAAGAAAAUUAUUUGUCGAUAUAGUUUGCCUGAGAGAAUCAUUUCGGAUAACGUCUUGAAUCUGAACAACAAAAUGAUGAAGGAAGUGUGUGAGCAGUUUCAAAUAAAACAUCAUAACUCGUCACCCUAUCGCCCGAAAAUGAACGGAGCUGUUGAAGCAGCCAACAAGAAUAUUAAGAAGAUUAUUGGGAAAAUGACCGAGACAUAUAAAGAUUGGCACGAGAAGCUACCAUUUGUUUUGUAUGCAUAUCGUACAUCUGUGCGGACAUUUACGGGAGCAACUCCUUUCUCUCUAGUAUAUGGAAUGGAAGCUGUGCUACCUAUCGAGGUUGAGAUCCCCUCUCUAUGAGUCUUAAUGGAAUCGAAACUAUAAGAAGCAGAAUGGGUUCGAGCUCGAUAUGAUCAAUUAAACCUCAUCGAAGAAAAACGUCUAAAGGCAAUUUGUCACGGACAGAUGUACCAGAAGAGAAUAAUCGCGGCCCAUGACAAGAAAGUACGGCCAAGAGAAUUCCACGAAUGAGAACUUGUGCUGAGAAAGAUUCUCCCAAUACAAAAGGACUUCCGAGGAAAAUGGGCCCCAAAUUGGGAAGGACCAUACGCCGUAAAGAAAGCAUUCUCGAGUGGAGCUUUGAUUCUCACUGAGAUGGAUGGGAAGGAGUUACCGAAUCCAGUGAAUUCAGAUGCUGUGAAGAAAUAUUAUGCUUAAAAAAAGGAAAAUCAAGAUGAAAACCCGAAAAAGGGCAUCUUAAAAAAAAGAGAAAAGAAAAGAAAAAAGAAAAAGAGAGAGGGGUCAAGGUGAAAACCUGAAAAGGGUGUCUUGAUUAACACAAAAGAUUAGGAUGAAAACCCUAAAGGGCGUUCUAAUGAAGCAAGCACUGGCUUAAAAAGCAAUGUGUUUUGAACGGUGGGUCAAACAGAGAGACUACAGUAUUUGAAGCAUUUCUGAAAACUCGAAAUCUCUUACACAAGAAAGCCAUGCUCGAAAAGAUUCUUGAUUGAGGAACGUGGAAGAGUUCAUGCGUUGAAUAUCUAGAGCAUUUGUAUUUGUUGAAAUGCGAUCCCCUUUCUCUUUAUGACACUUUUUUUAACUAUCAUUGAUUAACUUUCUUUGUUUGCUACAUUUGAAAUGAAUAAAUGUGAGGUAUCCUUUUGUCCCUACCUGACCAUUUUCAUGCAUCUCAUUAUGUGGUUCAUUUACAUGAUAAAUAGUGAAAUGACAUACUCUAAACAAAAGAAGUGCUAAGCAUUACCCGGAUAAGAAUUUGAUAAGUACAAGAGCCUCAAAGCAAGGACAAAGUUCAACCAAGGGCAAAAGAGUGAUAUCUGAGAAACGCAGAUUAGUCGUGAAGCUAGAGGAUGGGUACAGGGCCUGAAGAGAAAGUCAAGAGUCAAAGUAAUGAACGCAGAUCAUCAAAAAUCAUGACGGAAAGGGACAUAUGACAAGCAAGCCCAAGGCACAUAGCAUGAUCAUGUAGGCAUAAAGGCAUUUAAGGCAAACAUGUGCAUUUCAUGAUAACAUCAUGCAUGACAUAUACAUUUAUUUCAGCAGAACAAGAGAUUUCGAUAAUAGCUGUACUGAAUCAAAAGAAAAGACACCUGAGUUCCGCCAGAUGACAUCUUUUGGUAUUUUGAUGUUUUUAUUUCUAUCUUUCAAAAAAAUCAACUCAUAUUGCGAGAGGUGAGUUGGGCCUCAGGUUACACGCUGAGGUAUUUUCAAUUUCCAUUUUUUCAAUUUAUGCUUUUCAAAAAUCAACUCAUAUUGCGAGAGGUGAGCUGAGCCUCGGGGCACGCCGAUGUAUUUUUAAUUUCUGUUUUUCAAUUUCUGCUUUUAAUUUAUGUUUUUCAAAAAUCAACUCAUAUUGCGAGAGGUGAGUUGAGCCUCAGGGCACGCUGAGGUAUUUUUAAUUUCUGUUUUUCAAUUUUUGCCUUACAAAUUCUGCUUUUCAAAUCAACUCAUAUUGCAAGAGGUGAGUUGAGCCUCAGGACACACUGAGGUAUUUUCAAUUUUCGUUUUUUUAAUUUAUGUUUCUAAAAAAAUCAACUCAUAUUGCGAGAAGUGAGUUGAGCCUCAGGACACGCUGAGGUAAUUUCAAUUUUUGUUUGUCAAAACUCAACUCAUAUUGCAAGAGGUGAGUUGAGCCUCAAGACACGUUGAGGUGUUUUCAAUUUCUGUUUUUCAAAAAAAUCAACUCAUAUUGUGAUAGGUGAGUUGAGCCUCAAGACACGCUGAGGUAAUUUCAAUUUUUGUUUGUCAAAAAUCAACUCAUAUUGCGAGAGGUGAGUUGAGCCUCAAGACACGUUGAGGUAUUUUUAAUUUCUGUCUUUAAAAAAAAUCAGCUCAUAUUGCGAGAGGUGAGUUGAGCCUCAAGACACGUUGAGGUAUUUUUAAUUUCUGUCUUUAAAAAAAAUCAGCUCAUAUUGCGAGAGGUGAGUUGAACUUCAAGACACAUUGAGGUAUUUUCAAUUUCUGUUUUUCAAAAAAAUCAACUCAUAUUUCGAUAGGUGAGUUGAACCUCAAGACACUGAGGUAAUUUCAAUUUUUGUUUGUCAAAAAUCAACUCAUAUUGCGAGAUGUGAGUUGAGCCUCAAGACACGUUGAGGUAUUUUCAAUUUUUGUCUUUUAAAAAAAAUCAGCUCAUAUUGCGAGAGGUGAGUUGAACCUCAAGACGCUGAAGUGUUUUCCAUUUCUGUUCUUCAAUUUCUGUGUUUCAAAAAAAUCAGCUCAUAUUGCGAGUGGUGAGUUGAGCCUUGACUCACACACUGAGGUAUUUUCAAAUUCUGUUUUUCCAAAAAAUCAACUCAUAUUGCGAGAGGUGAGUUCAGCCUCAGGACACGCUGAGAUAUUUUCAAUUUCUUUUUUUUUUCAAUUUAUGUUUGUCAAAAAAAUCAACUCAUAUUGUGAGAGGUGAGUUGAGCCUCAGAUCACACGCCGAGGUAUUUUUAAUUGAUUUUUUUUUCAAUUCAUGCUUUGCAAAAAUCAACUCAUAUUACGAGAGGUGAGUUGAGCCUCGGGUCACAUACCGAGGUAUUUUCAAAAUUUGUUUUACAAAUUUUGUUUUAAAAAUCAACUCAUAUUGCGAGAAGUGAGUUGAGCCUUGGCUCACGUGCUGAGCUAUUUUCAAUUUCUGUUUUUAAUGUCUAGUUUUAAAGAGUCAAUUCAUAUUGCGAGAAAUGAGUUAAGCUCAGGAGCUAAUUGAAGUUGCAGUGGAGCUGAUCGAUGAUAUCAGAUCUUACCUUUCUAAAAGUUGCAGAAGAGAAGACCACAAAUUUUAUAUGACUAAAGCGAUGGAAGAGCAGAUUGAAGCUGUAGAUCUUAUCUUUUUGAAGUCACCUUGGAGUAAAUCGAAGCUACAAGGCAUAUAUCAGAAGAUGCACUGGAUUUGAUCAAUACAACAAGAUACAGUGGUUUGGAAAGAGACUACCUAGAUAAGAAGAGCACUAAAGAAGUCCAUACUUAGUAAGACCGGGCAAAAUUGGCCUUUCUUUGUGUCUUUGCUUUAUUCCCGUUACACGAUAAUAAGCAAAGAGGGGCAGCUGUUGUAGGCCAAUUUUAACCCAUUUACAUUAAAGCCCAAUUUAACCUUACCUAACCCACCAAAAUUAAACCCAAAACCCAAAAUUUUAACUACCCAAAGCCCAAUUUACAUCAAAACCCCAAUGGCCCAAACCCUAAGCCCAAAUUAAAAUAAAAAAACCCUAGCCCACAACCUAAACUUUUCUCAACUAAAUCCUAGCCUUUGCCACCACCAACUCCACUAGCCACACUUGCUCCACCACCAACUCCACUAGCCACACUUGCUCCACCACCUACUCUACUAGCCACAUUUGCUCUACCACCUACUCCAUUAGCCACACUUGCUCCACCACCACUUGUACCUACAAAUGAAGACAUAAACAAUAAAAAAUAUUUUGUAAAUGACUAUAUAAGCCUUCUCAUAUUUUGUAUUUAGGGGAGGAAGAAGUUUUGGGGGAGAAAGUUAUUGUAAAGGAUUUUUGAGAGGUUUUUUGAGAGUAAUCAAGGAGAAGAGUUAUUGUAAAGGCUAGUUUUUGGAGAGGCUAGUUUUUUUUUUUUGGAGAUUAAUCAAAUAUCAAAGCAAAAGAGGUUUCUUGGUCUAUUCUCGUUUCAAGUUCUUUGUUUGCUUAUUGUUUUCCUUUCAGUUUUAUUUUGUUUCUUUUAUACGAAAGUAAAAAUAAAAGGAGGAAGCUUUCCCAUUUUUACCGAAAAAGUUUUUUUUGAGGUCCGGCUGCCGUGUACGGUGGCACCGAUGGUGGCCGGCGGCGGUCCGGUGACCGAACGGUGGCCGGCCUUGUGGCCGGAAAUCACCCACUCUCUCCCUCUCUUUUUUUGGUUAUUAUUAUAUUUCUUAAUAUUAUAUUAUGUAUAUAUUCUUUUAAUAUAUUAGGUAUAUUCUAAAUUCUAUAUUACGUAUAUAUAUUAUACUAUUUUAUGUAUAUAUCUUUAAUACUAUAUUAUUUAUAUAUAUUUUUUUCUACAUGUUAUCUUAUGUAUAUAUUUUAAUUAUAUUAUGUAUGUAUUUUUUACACUAUAUUAUGUACAUAUUUUUUUAUAUCUAUUUUAUACAUAUGUAUAUAUUAUAUAUAUCUUAACAUUACUAGUUAUAUUUUCACUAUUUUAUGUAUAUACUUCAAACACUAUAUAUAGUAUAUUUCUAACACUAUUACUAUUUAUAAAUAUAUAUAUAUUUUACGUACAUACUUUUAAUAUCUUUAUUAUGUAUAUAUUCGUUGUUUUAUUUCACAUUGGAUACUAUUAUUACGUUUAAUAUAUCGCAUGCAUUGUUAUUGUUUUAAUAUUGUUGUCAUAUUUAUUAUUUGUUUCAAUGUAUUUCCAACUCGUUUAUUUUUUUCUCCCGCCUAUUUUAUAUCAUUCUGUUGUUCAUUACUUUAAAUAUUUUUAUUCAUGUUUUUACUAAUUUCAAUAAAUAAGACAAUGUUUCGCAUUUUUGAACAUCGAAGAAUUGUGCCCUAACUUACGGGGUUUCGGUUCUCUUAUUGGUUCUAAAUAGCUAAAUAUCCUUUUGAGUUUUGAAAUGCACGGAUUUCCAAUUUAAAUUAAAAGACGACCUUGUGCUCGGGAAUUCAUGGUAUUGUGUCCUAACUUACGGGAUGUGAUACUCCGAUAUCUCGAGAUAAGGAAAUCUUUAAACAAAUCGAUUUAAGCUAAUUCAAGAAUUUUAAAAUCAGUAUUAAUAGAAAAGAUCGUAUUUCAAGUCCCUUCCCGAUUUUUAAUUUUCGACAUUAAGACACUAACUAAUCAAUUCGGUACCAAUUUUUUGGGCGUGUCGAAGGUGCUAAUCCUUCCUCGCACGUAACUGACUCCCGAACUCAUUCUCUCAAGUUUCGUAGACCAAAAGCCCUGUUUUAGUAAACUAAAAUUGAUUUAUUAAAACAAAGGUGAUCCGAUCACACCUGAUAAAAGAUUGGUGGCGACUCCCGUUUUAAUUUUCACUUUCAAACAAAGUCGAUCCCCGUUUUCAAAAGAAUGGUUUCGACAAUUCAGAUAAAAAUAUGAUUACUAUAACUAUCAGUUUUUUUUUUCAUUUUGAACAGCUUAUUUAAAAGUCGAUUUAACUUUUUUUAUUUAGAUGGAUAUAGACUGAUUUUCAAUCUAAUUGGUUCCAUCAAUUAAUCUAAUCCGAUCCCAAAAUCACGACCCUUGACAAAACAUAACUCACCCCACUCCAACAGGCAGUUUUAAACAUUCACGAAAUCAUCGAUGCUAAUUAAACUAAUAUUGGUAAGAGAUAAAUUAAUUAGACUACUAUUGCAUGGAUUAAUUAAAACCCAUUCAUUUCUUUAUUAAUUUACACAUACAAAGCACACACGCACAUAUAUAGAACAAUUCGACAUGGCUGUUUACGUUUAUCCAUAUUUAUUUUUGUGGGGACAAUAGAAGAGAAAAAACUAAUUUAACCCGAAUUUGAUCUUUGAAUAAUCUCUAUUCGAUUCAUAUCGGUUCAACUUCUGAUCCAGGUUCAUCGUCUUCGUCUAAAGAAUCGACACCACCCACCGCACCAUGACCGGUCGGACCGAAAGCCUUGGUAUGAUCUUUCAAAGACCGUUUGUGCUUGAAAUCGGAGCCGCAUAUACAAUACCAAACCUUGCCGCAGUUCUUCUCGUGGGUUCGCCAAUCACCUUUGACGGCAAAAGCUUUCUCACAUUUCCUACAUACGAAGGGCUUAAUGCCAUGUUUUCUUUUAUAGUGCGUUUGAAGGGUUUUGAAAUCUUUUAAGGGCUUGGCUCUUGGGUUGUCGAUGUUGUGCUUGCAACCAGGUGAACAACAAUAGCAUGGUAGCCUUAGCAUGGCGGUUGGUUGGGUUCCUUUUAGAGAGUCUGGUCCUUUUCUGUAUUGAGAUCCAUGUCCCCACAUAUGCAUCUGCACAAUCCAUAUAUACAUACAUACAUGUAUGCAUGUAUGUAUGUAUGCAUGAUGAAGAUACAAAUCUAUGAUGGGGUAUAGAUAGAUGAGAUGAAAAGCAUAUGAACGAAGUACUAGAAAUAAGAAUGAAAAAGGUCCAUAACAUGUAUGUAUGUAUGUAUGUAUGUAUGUAUGUAUGAUGAAGUCAAAAAUUUAUGAUGGGAUUGAGAGAGAUACUAUAUUUUCGUAUCUUGGUAAUGUUGGUAAUCUUAUAUUUUGUUGAGUAAAAAAAAAAUCUACAGCCCAUCCAUGAACCAAGAUAUAUCUGCAAAAUGUAUGUACGUGUGAUGGAGACAUAAAUCUAUGCUGGGGUUGAGAGAGAGAUGAGAUGAAAAGCAUAUAAACCAAGUAUUAGAGAUCGGAGUGAAAGAGAGCCAUAUACAUGCAUGUGUGCAUCUAUGAUGAAGACAAAAAUCUAUGAUGGGACUGAGAGAGACAAUAUAUUACAAUAUCUUUAUACUAUUAAUAAUAUUUUUCAUCCAUACUUGAUAAUAUGAUUUCGAAGUAAUUACAAUUCGUGAACCAAACACCUCAUAAUCGAUACUUACAUCCCAAUAACAUCAUGACUUGUACAUUUCAAUCAAAAGCUUUUUAUAUAAAAUUUUUCAUGAAUUUUUUCACCCCAUAUAUAUUAAUUACUUGUAUAUGAUGAAUAACCAUUAGAUAUUUUAACUUGUAAUGGAAUCCAACAUGCAUUGCAACGAAUUAUAUAUACUUAGCUCAAGCCAAUGAUCAUCACUACAAAAAUAUCAACGACACAGCACAUUUUGUAUAUUCUUCUAGGUUAUAAUUGUUGAAUAUUGGCAAUAUCCCACAUUAGGAAAAGAUAGAAAGGGAGGGGGUUUGGUUUGUUAUAUAUAGAACCCCUCCCCCUUUGGUUGUAUCAUCCCAAAAUCUUCUCCUUUGUAAUAUUUCUAGAAGAAAUAUUAAUUUGGUAGUGUCCGAGGACGUAAGCUAAAUUGGCCGAACCUCGUUAAAUCUCUGGUAUUUUAUUUCUUAUUUGUUUGCUUAUAUUUAAUAGCUUUAUGUUGGUUAUAUUUAUUUAGUUAUUAUUGCUAUAAAUAUCUAAGUGAGUUCUGUCUAGUUGUUGGGUUUUAAGCGGGACCAUUUGUGACCCCUCCAAUUUAAUUGGGAAUUUUCUUAGUAUAAUUGUUGGCAUAAUAAUUAUCUAAAUAUUUCUGAUAAUAUUGUUAUUAAUAUUAUCGUCGCUUCCGCAACAAUUGGUAUCCGAGCCAAGGUUUUGUAGUAUGCUCUGUGUUUGCAGCUUAGUCUGAUCUUACACAUCAGAAACAUUUCCUAAAGCUUGUGGGUAUUCUGCAUUUGGUGGCUAUUAAGUAGAAGCUAUGGCAAAAAUGACAGAAGAAAAACCAUCCAUAUCAACAACUUCCACUUCGUACAUUUUGCCGAGGAUUGUAACUGCAAAUACGAGAUUUGUAGUGAAAAUUUUUGAUGGAACAGGUCAUUUUAGCAUGUGGCAAAGUGAGCUUCUAGAUGCCCUCUUUCAACAGGGUCUAGAUAUUGCCAUUGAGGAAGAAAAACCAGAAGGGGUUGAUGAUAAAGAAUGGAAGACCAUCAACCGAUUGGCAUGUGGUACAAUUCGAUCAUGUCUUUCCAGAGAGCAGAAGUAUACAUUCAGUAAAGAGACUUCUGCAAGUAAAUUGUGGAAAGCAUUGGAGGAGAAAUUCUUGAAGAAGAACAGUCAAAAUAAGUUGCAUAUGAAGAAAAGACUGUUUCGUUUCAAUUAUGUUCCUGGUACCACGAUGAACGAGCACAUUACCAAUUUUAAUCAGCUGGUGGCUGAUUUGUUGAAUUUGGAUGUGACUUUUGAAGACGAAGACUUGGCGUUAAUGUUGUUGGGAUCGCUUCCUGAGGAGUUUGAGUACCUUGAAACUACUCUACUUCAUGGAAAAUCAGAAGUAACUUUCAAUGAAGUAACUGCUGCAUUGUAUAGCUAUGAACUACGCCGAAAGGAUAAGUUGAAAGGUUCAGGUGAAGCAGCAGUGGAAGCAUUGGUAACAAGAGGUCGUCAGCAAAGUCAGUCUAAUGGGAAGAGAAGAAAGUCCAAAGGUCGAGCUGUUGCCAAAGAUGAAUGUUCCUUUUGCAAAGAAAAAGGACAUUGGAAGAAAGAUUGUCCAAAAUUGAAGAAAAAAGGGAAGACUCCGCAAGAUGCAAAUGUUGCAGAAUGCAAUAGUGAAGCAGAGUCAGACUUUUCUCUUAGUAUGACAUCUUCAACAUUAUAUGCAGAUGAGUGGAUCAUGGAUUCUGGUUGUUCCUAUCAUAUGUGUCCCAUUCGGGAAUGGUUCUUUGAAUUUCAAAAACUAGAUGAAGGGGUUGUUUACAUGGGUAAUGAUAACACAUGUAAAAUAGCCGGGAUAGGUUCAAUUAAACUGAGGAGUCAUGAUGGAUCUACUAGAAUUUUGCGGGAUGUACGAUAUGUCCCAAAGUUGAAGAAGAAUCUCAUCUCUUUGGGGUUGUUAGAAUCUAAAGGCCUAGUUGUGACAAUACGAGAUGGAGUUCUUAAAGCAACUUCAGGAGCAUUGGUGAUGUUGAAAGGCAUAAGAAAGAACAAUCUGUAUUACUACCAAGGUAGUACAGUGGUCGGGACAACAGCAGCAGCAAUUUCGAGUACCAAGAAGGACGCUGAGGCAACACAGCUGUGGCAUAUGCGUUUGGGCCAUGCUGGUGAAAAAUCCUUGCAAACUCUAGCCAAGCAAGGAUUAUUGAAAGGUACAAAGACUUGCAAACUUGAAUUUUGCGAGCAUUGUGUUCUGGGAAAACAACGAAGGGUGAAAUUUGGCACUGGGAUUCACAAUACUAAAGGUAUUCUGGAUUAUGUGCAUUCUGAUGUAUGGGGACCGUCCAAGACUCCAUCACUUGGAGGAAGACGUUAUUUUGUCACCUUUAUUGAUGAUUUUUCCAGACGAGUUUGGGUGUUUCCUAUGAAGAACAAAGAUGAGGUGCUUGAAGUUUUCCUUAAGUGGAAAACUAAAGUUGAAAAUCAGACAGGAAGGAAGAUUAAGGUUCUCCGAUCAGACAACGGUGGAGAAUAUAAAAGCGAUCCUUUCCUGAAGAUAUGCCAAGAUUGUGGCAUAGUAAGGCACUUCACCGUAGGUGGAACACCGCAACAGAAUGGGGUGGCAGAGCGUAUGAAUCGAACGCUUGUGGAGAAAGUUCGAUGUAUGUUAUCUAAUACUGGAUUAGAUAGAAAGUUUUGGACUGAGGCUGUGACGUACGCUCAACAUCUCAUCAAUCAUUUGCCAUCAUCUGUUAUAAAUGGCAAGACUCCUUUGGAGAAAUGGUAUGGAAAACCUGCUACUGAUUAUGACACCUUGCGCAUUUUUGGUUCUAUUGCAUAUUAUCAUGUGAAAGAAUCAAAGUUAGAUCCAAGAGCAAAGAAGGCUCUAUUCAUGGGCUUCAAUGCUGGUGUUAAGUGAUAUCGUUUGUGGUGUCUAGAGGCAAAGAAGACGAUAAUCAGUAGGGAUGUUACCUUUCAUGAAUCUGCCAUGUUGAAUAAGGUAAAUCCAGAAGGAGUGAGUAGUACUUCGCAGCAGGUGGAGUGUACUCCGCAGCAGGUGGAGUUUGAGCAGAGUGUGGUAAUUCCAGCAGAAGGUACCAUUAGUGAUUCUUCAUUGGCAGAUGCAGAGUCAGAUGAGGAAGAGGUUUCUACCCAAGAACCUCAACAGCAAUCAGAGCCAAUUGCAGUCAGAAGGCAGAGACGAGAAAUUCAGAAACCUGCUCGUUUCACUGACAUGGUAGCUUAUGCACUUCCAGUUGUUGAUAAUAUUCCAUCCACUUACACCAAAGCCAUUCAGAGUUUAGAGAAUAAUAGAUGGUUAGGUGCAAUGGAAGAGGAAAUGCAAUCUCUAGAGAAAAACAAGACGUGGAAGCUGGCACAACUACCAAAAGGGAAGAAGGCGAUUGGUUGCAAAUUUGAAGACACUAUUGAAGUUAGUGUUAUGAGAAGAUGUUCGAAGAUGUGGAAUAUCGCCAAGGUGGAGAUUUGUUGAAUAUUGGCAAUAUCCCACAUUAGGAAAAGAUAGAAAGGGAGGGGGUUUGGUUUGUUAUAUAUAGAACCCCUCCCCCUUUGGUUGUAUCAUCCCAAAAUCUUCUCCUUUGUAAUAUUUCUAGAAGAAAUAUUAAUUUGGUAGUGUCCGAGGACGUAAGCUAAAUUGGCCGAACCUCGUUAAAUCUCUGGUAUUUUAUUUCUUAUUUGUUUGCUUAUAUUUAAUAGCUUUAUGUUGGUUUUAUUUAUUUAGUUAUUAUUGCUAUAAAUAUCUAAGUGAGUUCUGUCUAGUUGUUGGGUUUUAAGCGGGACCAUUUGUGACCCCUCCAAUUUAACUGGGAAUUUUCUUAGUAUAAUUGUUGGCAUAAUAAUUAUCUAAAUAUUUUUGAUAAUAUUGUUAUUAAUAUUAUCGUCGCUUCCGCAACAAUAAUGAGGAUUCCAUAGGUGCCCUAUACGAAGGUUUAUCUCUAAAUAAGGGCCACUAAUUUAGGGGCUGGAGUGUCAGUUUAUAUAUAUAUUUGUCUGACUGCCUGUUGCAAAAAAGCAUCUGAAUCCAGGGUGUUUCCUUUUUAAGUCAUGAGAAAUAACAAAAACUAUAUAUAUAUAUGUAUAUGCAUAUAUAUAGCUGUAGCAAACAGUUCUCUAAAGACUGGAAACACUUAAAAGAUCCAAUUGAUACCAGUCUGAAACACUGAACUUAAACACUGAAAUCUCAUUAUCAGUCUUGCAAUUCACCAUGCACUUUAGCACACUCUUCAAAGUUCCAAUAAUCAGAAAGAACAUCUUCAAAGACAUAUACAUAUACAUACAUAUAUAUAUAUAUAUAUGCAAAAUGAUAUUUAAGAAAAACCCAAAGAGGUGAUUAAUUUAAAACUUAAGACAGAUCACAAAUAUCACUUAAUAAUUAAGAUGGCAGAAAGGAAUAUCAAAGUAAAAAGGGUUAUCAAUGGCUGUCAUGCAAUGUGAGGCACAUAUUAAGGCCAUACCUGCAAAUACAUACACACAUAUAUAUAUAUCUAAGCAAAAUGAUAUUUAAGGAAAACCCAAAGCUCUGGUUAAUGUAAACCUUAAGACAGAUCACAAAUAUCACUUAAUAAUUAAGAUUGCAGAAAGGAAUAUCAAAGUAAAAAGGGUUAUCAAUGGCUGUCAUGCAAUGUGAGACACAUAUUAAGGCCAUACCUGCAAAUACAUACAUAUAUAUAUAUGCAAAUAUAUAUGCAAAAUGAUAUUUAAGGAAAACCCAAAGAGCUGGUUAAUGUAAACCUUAAGACAGAUCACAAAUAUCACUUAAUAAUUAAGAUGGAAGCAAGGUAGAUCAAGUAUCAAUGGCUGCCAUGCAAUAAGAUGCGCACACACACAUAUAUAUUAAUAUGCAAAAUGUUCUUUAAGAAAAACCCAAAGAGCUGAUCAGUGUAAAACUUAAGACGGAUCACAGAUAUCACUUAAUUAAGAUGACAACAAGGUAUAUCAAAGUAAAAAGGGUUAUGAAUGGCUGUCAUGCAAUGAGAGGCGUAUUCAUAAGGGCAUACCUGCAAGUUGUUGUAUCUAUUAAAGGUUUUACAGCAAAGAGGGCAUGAAAACUGUGUAGGACCAACGAGAAUCUGGGAAGGUGUAGGAAUCCAAUACUGUCCUUUGCUUAAUGGAGUAGUACUAUUCCCAGAAGCUGCACCAGCAGUAACAGGAUUCCAUUGUAAUUUAUCUGCUGUCAAAUCUUUUGAUGGGGAAGAAGCCCUAGACUUCAGAUCGGAGCUAGGGUUAGGUAACCCUAUGUGUAGCUCCACAGUUACACCUCCAUUAUCAUCAUCAUCCUCAUCAUAAUCAUAACCAUCAUCACCGUCAUCAACUAUGGUGGGAAACAGGCUAAUAAUGCUCUUGUCCUCUUCUUCCAUGAAACUGCUUGAGGGUUCCUUAAUGCUCUCCUGUUGUUGUUGACUUGUAAGAGAGAGAUAAUUGAUGAAUGGAAGAGCUUCUUUGAGAGGAUGAUGAUGAGGAAUUUGAGAUUUGUUGAAGAUGGUGCGAGGUUGAGAAGAAGGGUUUGGGUGAUUUUGUGUUGGAACAGUACUUGGAGAAGAAGAAGAAGUGUAGUUGGGACUUAGAGGCAUGAAGUUGAACCAUGGAUCUGUCAUCGUUCAAAGCAAAGGAAAAAAAAAUAGAGUAACAUAUAAAUUUAGCAUCAAUUUUGCUUGUACUUUGGCAACUAAGAUGGUAAGAAACACAUUAUAUACAUAUAUAAAUACAUGCAUUUAUUUAGUGAUAUUAGGAUUCAACUAAAUUGUUUUUUAUUCAUAAGACUCGAAUUUAAUGCGUGCUUUACUUAAGUAGCAUCAAGUUCAAUUAAAUAAAUAGAUUUAAUUCCUAUACUAUUAAAAAGAAUUAAAUAAAUAUAAAUUGUAAUAGAGUUAACAUUUAUCUACUGUAUAAAAAAUGUCUUUGGAAUUUUUUUUCAAUUGUAGUUAAUUCUAAAUAAGAGAUUUUAUUUACAAUACCAUAAAAACUUAAAAAUAUUAACUCCAUCAAAUCGUAAAUGAUUUUUUAAACAGUAAAGUUAACUCAAUUUUAAAUUAGCAUUAUUUGAUUCAUUUUAAUAGUAUAGGGACUAAAUAUAUCUAUUUAAUGAUAGAUGGAUUAAUUUGAUCAGGUCCUUAAAAUAGAGAGACCUCUAAGGUACAUUCACCCAUCAAGUUCGUAGUAUAUGUAGGGGUUAAUAACUUUUAAUAUCUGAAUUUAACAAUUAAGCCUACUUUGAUAUCUAUAUAUUUGUCUAUUUUGGUACUUGAACUUGUAACUAGGUCUAUUUUGAUCCUUGAAUUUAGAUUUCAUUAAGAUUUGAUAACGCGACACAAUCUCAGAGUAUCACGUUAUCAAGUUUUUAUAUUUAUCAAGUUCAAGGACCAAAAUAAAUCUAACUGUCAAGUUCAGGUAUUAAAAUUGACUAAAAAAAUAUAGGUACUAAAAUGAACAAAAUUGCAAAAUUCAAGAACUAAAAGUUAAAUUAAUUCAUAUAUGUAUAUAUAUAUAUGCAUGAGUACUGUGAAGAAAGGGAGUAAGUAGGGUAAUUGUUUGUAAGGUGAAAAACAGAAAAAGUUGGUGGGUAAAAUAUAAUUGUAUGUAAAGUCAAGAAAUUACCCCCUGCAACUGCAGAAAGGGUCAAAAUUAAUGUGAGAGACGAUGGUGGAAAGCAGUAAAAAAUAAUAAUAAAGUAGAAAAAAGGCAGACAGAAAAGUGAGAAAUUAGGGUUCCACGUUGCCUUGCCUCCUUCUAUGAGAGGCAAGAGAGAGUGGCAGUUGUAGUCGUUCAUUAAUUUUUUUUUUGUUGGCUUAUUAAGUUUUCUCUUUUUUUUAAUUAAUUGAAAAUUCUUUAUGUGAAACUUGAGCUCCAACAUAAAAAUAGAUUUUUAAAAUUAAGGUUGAGAAUCAGAUUAAAUUAGGGUUUUAUGUCUAAAAAAAAUUUGAUUAAAUAAGUGUUUUUCUUUAAAUUUAGAAAAAUAUGUUGAUUUUGGAGACAGUAUAAAAGCGUGUGUUUUAUAUAUUCUUAGCAAAAAAGUGUGCUUAAUUAGAUGCGUUUUUACAUACUCUUUCCAUAAUUAGCCUAUUUCUUUAAAUUAAAAAAUUGACUUAUUUUUCCAAAUAACUUUUUCCGGCAUAUAUGCCUAAUUCAACUUGGGAAUCAAGCUUAGUCAAGUAAGUUUAAUUAGCUUAAUCUUUAUUUUAAAAUAAGAACGGGUUUUAAAAGUGAUGAAUCAAUCAAAGUUAAGCUUUAAAAGUGAAAUUUGAUUGAAAUUGAGUUUUGAUUUUUGAGAUAAUGACUAAAACUACCCAUAGUCCCUCAACCCAUAAGUAAGAGGAUAAUGCGCUUCAGCGCACUCGAACCUACGCCCUCUUAUAUUAACAAUAAUACUCAUGUUAAUUGAGUUAAGACUCAAUCAACAUAAAUUGAUUGUUAUUAUUCAAUAACAUACUUAUUUAUAUAUUCAUGAACGUAUAUGGGAUGAUAUUGUCCUCUUUUGUGAGACUAGUGAAAUACAAGUACAAAAAAAUAUAUAUAUAUAUAUCAAAAGGUUCUUCAUCGCUUUGAGUUGAUUUCAAAGUUUGAAAAACAUUGAUUGGGUUAAAUGAGGGAUGUUUCCCUGCCUAAGCAUUUAGUUUGGUUGAAACUUGAUUCGGUAAUCAUUGAGUCGAGUUGUUCGAGCUAUUAAUCGAAUCAAAUUCGAGCUUAAUAAUACUUGACCCAGAUGAUUCACGAGUCUUAUCAAGGUUUUCAUAUUUUUAUAUUAUUAAAUUGCAUUAUUCCUAUUAAGAUAUAUUAUUAACUUUAAGUUUAAUUGUUGAGUCAAGCUUAAAGAGUACAAAAAUUGGUAAACAAACUUAAUUGAGGUUGAGCUCAAAAUUUGACACUCGAUUGAGCUCAAAUUGAGUAUCAAGCUUGACAAUAUUCAAGUUUGGUUUGAUUACACCCCUAACUCUAAGUGUUUCAUAUUAUAUAAACUUACAAUUGAAAGUUUAGAAACCAGUUUUCAAUAAAAUAAUAUAUAUAUUCUUAAACAAGGUGUGGCGGAUUUUUGCAUGACCAGAAACUUGAUCAAUCCAUCUCACCUCGAGCUCGACUCUUAAAAGAAAAAAAAUACUCAAACCCAAAAUUUAAUAGGAGACUUGACUUCGAUUCCAACUAAACUUGAAUUUAAUUUAAUAUUUACUUUAAAAAAAUAACAACUGUUAAAAGUUGAACUUAAAUUUUAAAAGUUUAGUUGGAAUCGAAGUCAAGUCUCCUAUUAAAUUUUGGGUUCGAGUGUUUUUUUUUGCUAUUAAAGUUUAGUUGAUCAAUUGGUAUGGGCUUUGAUUUCAAUGCAGAAGGAUGUGGUUUCGAGUGCGCUGAAGCGCAUUAUCUUUGUCGAAACUAUUUUUUUGAAAACGGGGAUCGACUUUUUGAAAACAAAACAUGAAGUCGCCACCAAUAUUUUAUUUAGGUGUGAUUGGGUCACCUAAUAAAAUAUUUUGUUUUAUUAAAAUCAAUUUUGGCCUACGUAAAUAUGAGAAAACAGGUUCGGGAGCCGAUUACAUAUGAGGAAGGAUUAACACCCUCACUACGCCCAAAAUUGGUACCAAAUUGAUUAAGUACUGUCUUUAUGUCUGAAAUUUGAAACUAUUUUUGAAAAAUGAUUCUUUUAAAAAUUUGAAUAGCUCAAGUUGAUCGUCAAAAUUUUCUUGUUUCAAAAGAAUGCAGUAUCAUAUCCAACACAAUAGGACACGACAUUUUAUUCCCUUGAGAAUAUGAUAAAUCUUUGUUUCCAAAAAUUUAAACCCCGAAAAUUACAAAAAGAUGUCCAAUUAUUUAGUCCAACGAAAAACCGAAACCCAGCACGGUAGGGCACGAUUCUUCGAACUUCUAAACGUUGAACAUUGCUUUGCUUUAGGAUUGAGAAAAUAUGAGUGAAAUUCAAAAGGGACGUUCGAUUACUUUGAACAAACGAAAAAUUGCAACCCAGCACGAUAGGACACAAUUCUCCAAAUUGCCAAGCAUCGAACAUUUCCUUUGCUCUAAAGAAAAAUUUUUAAAGACAUGGGUGAAAUACCGAAGGAAUAUUCAAUUGUUUCGAAAAAACAGGAAAUUGCAACCCGGCACGGUAGGACACGAUUCCCCGAAUUGCCAAACAUCGAAUAUUACCAUCGUUUUAAGGAAUUUUUAAAUAAAUAAUUAUAAAACCAGCUUGAAAUACACUAAUUUAACUUGAAAUAAAAGGGAAUAAUUAGUUUUAAAAAAUUAAAAAUUAUAAAGUGAUAUUUGUAAACCGGAAAGGAAAUAAAAAAAAAGGGAUAAUAUACAUGUAUGAAAUAUUAUGAUGAAUGAAUGGAGAUAAUAUAAUUCGUUUAAUCAACUAACAAUAUAACAAUCAAAUUCAGCCAAUCUAAAAAAUAUUAUCAAUUUCCUAAGCAUGAAUGAAGAAUAAUCAAUAUAAUGAUAAUACGAAACGAAAAUAAUUUACAACAACAAUAUGCAUAACCUAAUACAACACAAUCAAGCGCAAAAUAUGCAAAGCAAAAUGACAAUUAAAAUAUAUAAAAGAUAAAUUUAAAAGGAUGAACACAUCAUAUAUGAAUUGUUGAAUUUUGAAACUAUUUGUAAAAAAAAUGAACUAGAGAUAUAUAUGCAAUCAUUAAAACAUGUGUUAUGGAAUGAAUAUUUUUAAGUUGGGUAAUAUACAAAGUGUUAAAAAGUGUUAGUUUUAAGAUUGACAAUUUAUAAAGGAGAAUUUAAUUUAUGUAUAAAAUAUGCAAAGAUGGUAAAAAUAUAUAAUAAAAUAUAAUUUGAAGUACAUAUUAGAUUUACAAAUCGUAUAAAUUUAGAAUAAAGUAAAAGGGAAAUGCAUACAUAACCAAAUUAAUUUUGUCAUAUACACAUAUAUAAAAGUGUAUGAAUGAGAUGCUAUAUAAUGUAUAUUAAAAUAAUACAAUAUGAAGAAUUUCAAUACAAUAAUUUUAAAAGCAUAAAAACGAAUUUUAAAACAACAAUUUAGUCAUUAAAAUAAUAUUAAAAUAACAAAUUUUAAAAUAAUUAUACACAUGAAAAUAAAUUAAAUAAUAUACCUAGAUUAAUUUUUAAAAUACAAGUAUUUCCAAGUAGAAAGCCCAACUAAAUAUAUUUAUAUACACAAAUGUAUAAAAAUAUAUAAACGAAAUGCUAUAUAAAGCGUCAAAAUAAUACGAUAUAAAAGAAUUUUAAAAUGGUGAUUUCAUAUAAAAAAAAAAUGGAAUUAUAAGCAUAUAACAACAUAUAUCAAUAAUAUAUUAUAUUCCACAAAGGAUAAUAGCAUACACAUAAAAAUGAAUUAACUAAUGCACUAAAAACAUAUCAAAAUGAAUUACAGUAAGCUUACAAACAUACAAAAAAGAAAGUAACAACAAAAACUAAUUUUAUAAUAGUAUACACGAUACUGGAAGGAAAUUUUAUAUAUAAUAAAAGAAGGGUAAAAUCAUCAUGGUAGCUAAAAAAGAGUACAUAUUAAGUAAAUAAAAAAAAAGGAGUUAUACUACUCAAAAGGACUCUAUUAAAACAAAAUUAAACUAAAGGGAUAUUUAAAACAAAAUAAACCACUGAGAUUAAAGGAAGGACUAAAACGCAAUGCGCUUCAACACAAGAAAUAAACCCAGCUCUAUGCUUUAGGUUAAGAUACCCUAAAACCUUUUAUUUGGCCACUCAAGACAUAUAAAAAACAACAGCCCCUUUUUCAUUCAUUCGGCAGAAAUAAAGAAUGCAGCCCCUGCCUCUCCAUUCUCUUUUGCUCUCAAAAUCCGGCCAUAGGGACUGUCGGGCUCAUCGAACACCAACGACGGCGUAACCGUCCGUGGUGAUCUUAAAACGCCCAUUUUCGAGCCCUCUUGGAGAUGAAAUCUUCGGCCUUUACGAGGAGAGUGAGGAAGGGGGGUUUUCUUUGAAAACCGUCGUAUCAUCAAGCCCCGAAUCGGACCCCACAGUGUUUUGGGUCUCGGCGCCGGAAAGGUAGACCGACGGAGGAAGACGAAACGCUUCCGGUGAGUGUGCUUCUUCCCUUUCUGUUAUUCUUUAUUAAUAUAUUCAGAUCUUUUUUUUUUGUUUACGAGUUUGGAAGAAAAAUCGAAUAAAAGUGAAGGGAAAUCACCUUUUUCUUUCAACUUGAUUUUGAUUUCUGUUUUGUAUUUCAGUGUCUGUGUAAUACAAAUUUUUGUGUUGCCAAAAGAGGGAUAAAAAACCGACCCCUGCUUUCCAUCUCUUAGGCUUUUAUAUAGCCAAUUUUUACAACAUUCCUUGCUUUCUUCACUGUUUUCGCAUUUAAUACUUGUCUUUUCUUUGCAGGAGUAGUUGGCGGUGGAGCAGGUGGCCACCAGUGGCGGUGACAGAGUCUCGGGGCUAGGUUCGACGCCGAAUAGGCAAUAGGGGCUAGGUUUUUUUGUUUUCUGAAAAUGUUGGGAAUGGGCUUGUAAUUGGGUAGUGGGCUAUAGAACGGGCCUUGUAUUUUGGACUUUAGACUGUUAAUAUUAGACUGAUUAUUGUUUUGGGCCCGGGCUUGGCAAAUUUGGGUAUUUACAAUCUUUUUAUUUAAUUAUGGGUUGAGGAGAAACUAUAAAUAAUUUUUAAGUAUUGUGUCAAAAAAAGCAGAUAUUAUCAGAACUUAUAAUUACUUUUAUAUAACAUUUAAUCAGCAAGCCCAAAUGGAAGUUGACCUAGAUUAUGAAUGGAAAAGAAAAUGGGCCUGCUCUAACAGAUUUAACCCAAGCCCAGUAGAGAAAUUCCCACUAAUUAUGAUGUUUAAUAAUAGCAAAUUUUUAUUUUUAAAAGUUAUUUAUUUGAUAAUUUCAAUAUUAGUAAUAUAAGGCUUAAAUUAUGAUUUAGUCCUUUAACUGUAUUAUUUUUGCACUUCAAUAUUUAAACUAUAAUUUUUGUUUAAUUUUAUCCUAAAAAUUACUAACGUAAAUAAGAAUGUGUUAAGUCUUUUUUUUUUUUUAACUUUUGGUAUAAAAUGGGACUAAAAUGAUAUUUUAAUUACUAUAAUAUGAGAUAAAAUUUAAGUAUUAAAGUGAGAAAAAAUAUAUAAUUCAAUAUGUAAAUCGUAACUUAAUACGUAAUAAAAUAUUUUAUAAAAUUUUGGGCAGUAAUCAACAUUAAUUUUUUUUUCUUUUAUCCACCACCAGCGGCUAUGACUAAUCUCUUUGUUGUAGGUGCUCUUCGAAUAAGUAAACGGUUGGUCACAAAAUGCAACCCGUUUUCAUAACUACUUGGUUAAGAGAUGACGUAAGCAAUCACCACACCACACUUCAUGAUUAAUAUUUUUCUUCUUUAAAAACAAAGAAAUCAUUUUAUUUAACUAUGAUUUUUAAAAUAAAAUUAAUUUAAUAUUUUUCAUAAGAAGAUAUUUACAUGCUUAUUAUAUUUAAAAAAAUUAUCAAAAAAAUUACAUUCAGUAAAAAUUUAAUAUAAUUAUCAAACAUAUUUAUAAAAAAAAUUAAAUAUUGAAAAAAAGUCAACACUUUAUCAAAUAUUUUUUUUAUUAAGGAGGGUAAAAUCUUCAUGCAACACAUCAAAGCAAAAUUAGGAGGUUGAGACUAAAAGUAAAAGCUAAUAACCAUUCCUUUUGUAGCCUUUGCUAAGCAAUCAACCAUCCUACUGCAUUCUCGAUGCACAUACUUAAUACCAAUAUCCUCAGAUGGCAUGAAUGACAUAUGAAUCUGACUGUUGUGUCAUUAGAGUAUCCUUAACAUGAUGCAACAUUUCCAAACAAUUUCUUUCUAACAACACAUCACGACAAUCAUGCUCCCAAGCUUACUCAGGACUAUUAAGAAUACCCCAAAGUUUCACCUCAUAAGCACUACAUAGAUCGAUAUUCCUUGCAAUUCCCAAGCACUACAAGCUAGAUGUGUUAGAAUUAAGUGACCCGAAUUCUUAUUUAAAUAAAAUACGAUGGAAAAUAAAAUAAAAGUAAAAUCCAUAUAGAACUAGACUUCUUUUAUUUUAUUUUAGAAUAAGGUUUUUUUAAACCUUAUUAAACUCCAUCUAUUUUAUAUUUAUUAGGAUAAAGUGUUUCAAUCCUACUAGAAUAUGGCUUUACAAGCCUAUAAAUAGACAUAGUCUAUUCCUCUUGUAUUGAUUCAAAUUUUCGACAUAGUGAAUUUUCUUCUCCUCUGACCGUGGUUUUUUCUCGAAAGGGUUUCCACGUAAAAUUUGUGUGUUAUUUUAUUUUAUUUUAUUUUUCACAAAUUGGUAUCAGAGCUUUCGGGUUGUUCAUCUUAAUCAUAGUAAUUGCAUCUUUGAAGUAUGAAAUUUCGCUGUUGGAUCGCAACACCAGAUUUGCAUCGUGGCAUAUUAAGAUACAAGCAGUUCUUACGCAGAUGGAUCUGGAGGAUGCCCUGCUAGGGAUAGAUAAGAUGCCUUCGAUAUUAACAGAUGAAGAGAAAAAGCGUAAGGAUCGAAAGACGUUAACACAAUUUCAUCUGCAUUUAUCCAACGAAAUUUUGCAGGAUGUGAUGAAAGAGAAGAUUGCUGCUGCAUUAUGGAAAAGGCUAGAACAAAUAUGUAUGUCGAAAACUCUAACAAGCAAGUUGCAUAUGAAGCAACAUCUUUAUGCUCAUCGUUUGGAGGAAGGUGUGUCUGUACACAAACACUUAACAGUGUUUAAAUAAAUUCUCUCAAACUUGGAGGCCAUAGAGGUUCAGUAUGAUAAGGAAGAUCUAGGGUUGAUUCUACUUUGUUCGUUGCCCCCGUCUUAUUCCACCUUUAGAGACACGAUUUUAUAUAGCCGCGAGUCUCUCACAGUUGAUGAGGUUUAUGAUUCUUUAACCUCGUAUGAUAAUAUGAAGCAUCUUGUGGUUAAACCUAACUCUCAGGGAGAGGGUCUCAUUGUUCGUGGGAGACAAGAUCGGAAUGCUGAUGAUGAUCGUGGUAGGACACAGAAACAGAAUCCUCAUGGUAAAUCUAAGGGUAGAUCGAAGUCUUCAAAUAGAGGUAAAACUUGUAACUUCUGCAAGAAGAAAGGGCACAUUAAAUCUGAGUGUUAUAAGCUACAAAAUAAAAUUAAAAGGAGGCUGCGAAUCAAAAGGGAAAAUAACCAGAAAAUUUCGGUGAAGCUGAUGUUGUAGAAGACUACAGCGAUGGUGAACUUCUAGUCGCUUUUGUCAAUGAUUCUAAAGUAAGUGAGGAGUGGAUACUUGAUUCAGGCUGCACCUUCCACAUGAGUCUCAAUCAGGAUUGGUUUACAACUUACGAAACAGUGUCUGAAGGUGUUGUUUUGAUGGGAAAUAAUGCUUCAUGUAAAAUUGCAGGUGUUGGAAUAAUUAAAGUUAAGAUGUUUGAUAAAGUUGUCAGAACACUUAGUGACGUAUGGCAUGUUCCAGAAUUGAAAAGAAAUUUAAUUUCGUUGAGUACUCUUGAUUCAAAAGGGUACAGAUACACAGCUGAAAGUGAGGUUUUAAAGAUUUCCAAAGGGUCCCUUGUUAUGAUGAAAGGGCAGAGAAAAAUUGCCAAGUUAUAUGUUUUGCAGGGUUCUACUGUUACUGGUGAUGUAGUUGUCGCUUCCUCUUCCUUGUCAGGUGAUGAUAUUACUAACCUUUGGCAUAUGCGCCUAGGGCAUAUGAGUGAGAAUGACAUGGCAGAAUUGAGUAAAAGAGGACUUCUUGAUGGGCAAGGAAUUUGCAAACUAAAUUUCUGUGAGCACUGUGUUUUUGGGAAGCAAAAGAGAGUUCGAUUCACUAGAGGAAUCCAUAACACGAAGGGAACGUUGGAGUAUAUUCAUUCUGAUCUAUGGGGGCCAUCCAGAGUGCCUUCGAGAGGUGGAGCUAAUUAUAUGCUAACCUUUAUUGAUGAUUUUUCCAGAAAAGUUUGGGCGUUCUUCCUGAAGCAGAAAAGCGAUGUGUUUUCUGCAUUUAAGUCUUGAAAAAUUAUGAUUGAAAAACAGACGGGAAAACAGAUAAAAUACCUCCGUACAGACAAUGGCUUAGAGUUCUAUUCUGAUGAGUUUAAUAGAUUGUGCAAGUCAGAAGGGAUUAUGAGACACUUGACAGUUCGUCAUACUCCACAGCAAAAUGGCGUUGCAGAAUGAAUGAACAGAACGAUCAUGGAGAAGGUUCGAUGUAUGUUGUCAAAUGCCAACUUACCGAAGUCAUUUUGGGCAGAAGCAGCCUCUACUGCAUGUUUUUUGAUCAACCGGUCUCCAUCCGUUGCCAUUGAGAAAAAGACUCCACAACAGGUAUGGUCUGGUAAUCCUGCUAAUUAUUCUGAUUUAAAAAUUUUUGGGUGUCCUGCGUAUGCUCAUAUUGAUAAUGGAAAAUUGGAACCAAGAUCCAUUAAAUGCGUUUUUCUUGGUUAUAAAGUUAGUGUAAAAGGGUAUAAGUUAUGGUGUCCUGAAAAUAGAAAAGUUGUGAUUAGCAGAGAUGUUGUUUUUGAUGAAACUGCUAUGCUACCUAAUUUAUCUCUUAAAGACUCUUCCAAUAAAGAAAACCAAAAGCAGGUAGAGCAUCAGAUUAAUACAGAGUCAACUCCUCAAGCCAUAGCAAAAAUUGAAAAUAGAGUUGCUUCUUCACUGCAAUACUUUAUCGCCAAAAACAGAACUAGAAGAGAAAUUAAACUUCCAAAUAAGUAUGCCGAAGCUGAUUUAGUUGCUUAUGCUUUAAAUGUGGCUGAAGAUAUAGAUGCGAAUCAAGAGCCAUCUAAUUAUUCUAAGGCGGUUAGCUGUGAAGACUCAGAAAAGUGGAUGUUUGCUAUGCAAUAAGAGAUGGAAUCACUCCACAAAAACAGAACAUGGGACCUUGUGAAACUUCUUAAAGGUAAAAAGGUUUUCGUUGUAAAUGGGUGUUUAAAAAGAAAGAAGGGACUCCAGGAGUUGAAGAACCCAGAUAUAAAGCAAGGCUUGUUGCAAAGGGUUAUAGUCAAAUUCCAGAAGUAGACUUCACAUAUGUGUUCUCUCCAGUUGUUAAGUAUAGUUCGAUUCGAGCUUUGCUUGAUAUUGUGGCCAUGCAUGAUUUGGAGCUUGAGCAGUUAGAUGUAAAAACUGCAUUUCUGCAUGGAGAACUUGAGGAGGAUAUUUACAUGCAACAACCAGAGGGUUUUAUAGUCUCAGAAAAAGAGGACUAUGUUUGCUUGCUGAGAAAGUCCCUUUACGGUUUAAAACAGUCACCAAGACAGUGGUACAGGAGGUUUGAUUCCUUUAUGACUUCUCAUGAUUUCAUGAGAAGUAGUUUAGACAGUUGUGUUUACUUUAAGAAAAACAGUGAUGGUUCUUUUGUGUAUCUACUUCUUUAUGUUGAUGACAUGUCGAUAACAACAAAAGAUAAAUGAGAGAUAAGAAAGGUCAAAGCCCACUAAGUGAAGAAUUUGAGAUGAAAGAUUUAGGACCAGCAAAGAAGAUGCUUGGUAUGGAGAUUCUCAGAGAUUGAAAAGCAAGUAAAUUGUACCUAAGUCAAAAGGGGUACAUUGAGAAAGUUCUUUGUAGGUUCAGUAUGCAGAGUGCUAAGCCUGUUAGUACUCCUUUAGCAGCCCAUUUCAGGCUUUCAUCGGCUUUGUCUCCACAAUCAGAUGAUGAGAUUGAGUAUAUGUCACAUGUUCCAUACUCUAGUGCAGUGGGAUCUCUCAUGUAUGCUAUAGUUUGUUCACAUCCAGAUUUGUCAUAUGCAGUCGUGCAGUUAGCAGAUAUAUGGCAAAUCCCGGUAAAGAACAUUAGAAAGCAGUUCAGUGGAUUUUAAGAUACUUACGAGGCACUACUGAUGUUUGCUUACAGUUUGGAAGAACUAAAGAUGGAGUCAUAGGGUAUGUUGAUGCUGAUUUUGCUGGAGACCUUGAUAGAAGAAGAUCUCUCAUAGGUUAUGUCUUUACAAUCGGAGGUUGUGUAAUUAGUUGGAAAGCCACUUUGCAAACUACAGUCGCUUUGUCUACCACUGAAGCUGAGUACAUUACGAUUACUGAGGCUUGUAAAGAAGCUAUUUGGUUGAAGGGACUAUUUAGUGAACUCAAUGAAGACCUUCAAAUCAGUACAGUAUUUUGUGACAGUCAGAGUGCCAUCUUCCUUACAAAAGAUCAAAUGUUUCAUGAGAGAACAAAACAUAUUGAUGUUUGGUAUCAUUUUGUUCGUGAUAUUAUUGCUCGUGGUGAUAUUGUUGUGAGCAAAAUUAAUACUCAUGAAAAUCCUACAGAUAUGAUGAUUAAGUCACUUCCUAUAACCAAGUUUGAGCAUUGCUUAGACUUGGUUGGUGUUCAUUGUUGAAGUUAAACCCUUAAGGGGUUUUAUAGAAGAGGUGGAGAACUUGUUCGCGAUGAAGAACUUGUUCAUUGAGAGUUUGUGUCAAAGUGGAGAUUGUUAGAAUUAAGUGACCCGAAUUCUUAUUUAAAUAAAAUACGAUGGAAAAUAAAAUAAAAGUAAAUUCUAUAUAGAACUAAACUUCUUUUAUUUUAUUUUAGAAUAAGGUUUUUUAAACCUUAUUAAACUCCAUCUAUUUUAUAUUUAUUAGGAUAAGGUGUUUCAAUCCUACUAGAAUAUGGCUUUACAAGCCUAUAAAUAGACAUAGUCUAUUCCUCUUGUAUUGAUUCAAAUUUUCGACAUAGUGAAUUUUCUUCUGCUCUACCCGUGGUUUUUUCCCGAAAGGGUUUCCACGUAAAAUUUGUGUGUUAUUUUAUUUUAUUUUUCACAAAAUGCAUCUCGGAUCACACCGUUCGACAUACUUAUUCCGUUUCCAAGUUUUUUUUCCUCAUAUUUUUAAUAUUUUUAAUUUAGCUUUAUUUAACACAAAUUAUAUUAUAUGACGUGUUAAUUAAAAGUCAAGGCAUGUCAUUAGCAAUUUACAGUAUUUCCACAUAAUACAAAGAAAAUACCACAUGAUAUUAUUCAACAAUUUUAACACAUUGGUGUCGAUAUUUUAAAUUUUGAAAAAUACAAGCAAUUUAAAAUAUAAAAAAAAAUAUUAAACGUGCAAUUAUCACAGGACGAAUUGCAGAAUUAGACCAAUAAUAAAAAAAAUGAAGUGAAGAAUUUUAUAAAAGAAAUAGCUAUUUAUUAGAUGUCACGGAAAAUGCCCAUUAAACGACACACAUCAAAUCAACAAUGCUUGUUGAACAAAUUUGAAAGAGAAGUUUCCUCUUUGUUUUUUUCAAAGUUGCCAACUUUUAAGAGAUGGACCAAGUUGCCAUUUCUGACUAAAAUUGUGGAGUGAUGAAUAAAUUUAAUCACGUUUUAAAGCUGACAAUUAACUGUAAUUAUUUGAUAAAACCGAUUAUUUAAUAAGUGGAUUUAAUUAAUGGAGCCAACCCUUUUUAUAACCGUGUUUCCUUAUAAAUCGAAUUUUUAUGUUUUAUUUAGUCAUUUAUAAUUACAAUGUCUAUAGUUAUGAAGUUUGAACAAUCUCAUUACAGGUUGUGAUCAUAUUUACUCUUUUUGAUAUAAUGUCUAGAACUAUUCAUAGUCCAUCCUAACCCAUAAAUAGGAGGAUAAUGUGCUUCAGCGUACUCGAACCCACGUUUUCUAGCAAAAAUGUAUAUGUCAAUCGAGUUAAGACUUAAUCGGCACAUUCUUUAUUAAAUUAGUUCUCUAUAACAACAUAUUGUCUAAAUUUUUAAGUAAAAUUAUAGCUAUUUCAUAUAAGCAAGUCUAUUUGUUAUCAUUUAUUAAAUGAAAAUAAGUUUAAUUAAAAUAUUAUUUUAAUAAAAUGAUUAAAUUCCAUGUAAAGAAAUUUAUUAAUAAUAUUUUAUUAAAUAAAAAUAAUCUUCAUAAAUGGAAUUAAACAUAUCAAUUGAAGAAACUAUUAAGUUCCCUGAUUAAAUAUUUUAUUAUGAAUUUAGACCGUUAUAAACUUAUAAAUUGAUUACUUGAAUUUAAUAACUAAUGAUAAAUUAAUUAAUUAAUUUGAUAACUUAUAUUUAUUAAUUGAACUUGUUCGAUUUAUUAAUUUUAUAAUUAAUCAUGUGAAAAAAUCUAAAAUAAGAGAUGCAUAAGAGCAAUAACACAAGCACAUGUUAUACGUCUUUUAAUUUUGUUAAUUUGAUUCCCAAUUUCUUUUUUUAAAAAAAAAAACAUAUUUCUCACUUUAUUGUAAACUUACAACAAUUAUCUCUUUAUAACAGCAUGUCACCUCUUUAUAACAGAUAAAAACUGAAUAAAUAAGUGAGACUGUUAUAGAGAUGGUUGACUGUAUCUAAAAAAUUAAAUGCUGAAUAAAUUAUACACAUGAUUAAUUUUUAAUUUGCUUUCAAAAUUAUAAAACCUCUACCACUUUUUUAUUUUCUAUCAAAUAAUGCUCUAUUAAUUUAUACUUUAUACUAAAUUAUGUCACACUCAUGUUAAAAGGUAAUAAUUAUAUAUAUAAUCUAACACCAAAUAUCAAAUCCACAUUUUAAAAAGUUUAAUUUUGUCUUUACUAUCAAUCCAAUUUGAGAAUUUUUUAAAAUUAACAUUAUAUAAUAUUAAAAAUAAAAAAAAUAUUAAAAAUAGUUUAUGAUAUAAACCUUAUAGUAAUAGAUAUAGGUCAACACACUCAUGGGUAAAAGUAUUGUAGAAGCUUUUGUACUAGGAGUCGAAUUAUAUUUUGUUCCCUUUACUAAAAAAUAAGUAAAUUAGUUCAUAUAUGUUAAAUUAAAGAGCAAAUUUGUCCAUUCUGUUAAAAAAUCAUCAUUUUGUAUGGUUAAAAAUUGAUGUGUGAUCUGCCGUAAUUUGACAUGUCAAAUUAGGCUCCUUAUUACACUUAACGAGCUUAUUUCCGAGCAAUUUAUAUAUUUUUUUCAUGUUUUUACUUAUUUUUUAUUUCUGGCUUUAAUAAAUGAAAUGUUGUGUUUUUACUACUUUUGAGACCCGAAAUGGCCAAAUGUGCCAUCUAGGAUCUAAUGGUUGGUUGAGGGUUGUAAAGAGUCAUCAGAGGACUGAACGUGAGUGAAAACAUCGCCUAAAAGAAGGGUAUCGUGACAUCCAAGAAUAGAAGUCGUGAUACCUCAGGCAAUGCUGAAUUAAAGAUGACUGAAGCCCUUCACAAUGAUAUCACAAUAUCCAAGUAUAUGUAUUGCAAUAUCCAACUCUCAAGGGAUCUCCCAAGUCAAGGCUAACGAGGAUAUCGCGAUAUUGUUGACGAGGCAAACAAAAAUGACUACAGGGACAGUCAUUGUCUAACAUGUUCCCUAACUAAAAUUAGAUGUCUAGGGGCAAAUUGGUCCAAAAUUUUGCGUUGUAAUCAAAUAUUAAAAAGCCACUUUUGGUAGAGAACAAGAGUAUAGUGUGUAGUGUAGGCAGAGAGAGCUUUUUAGUUUAGGGCAGAGAGAGCUUUUUAGUUUAGGCUUAGGGUAUUUCCUUCUCCAUAGCUGUAGGAUUUAGUUUCUCUACAACUUCUUUAUUUUCCUUGCAUUUUCUUAGUGAGUUAAGUUAGUUUUUACUGUAGCUUAGGUUCAUUUAUAUGUUCAGCACCUUAAACUUGCUUGUAAUCAUAUUUUAAUCUUUCGUUUAAUGUUAUUCCAGUUGUUUUCUUUUCCUCUGCCAAAAAUCUUAACUUAGGUGUUCUUGGUUAUUUAUUUUACUUAUAGUUGUUUGCCUUCAUCUUUUUCAAAGUAAAAACCCAAGCUUUCAUCUUUUUAUUGAGUUUUGCAUCAAUACCUCCUCGCUCAAAUCGAAAAUUUGGAGUAUGAGUUCGUUGAACUCUCACACAUACUUCCUAACUAUGCCUUGUUGCGUAAAUUGACGUAACUUUGUUUGACCCUUGUUCUCAGCAUAUUCGAGGUAAAACUAUGCCUUGAAUUCCUUUUGGAACUCCUCUAAAGUCUUAAUUGUGGUUCCACCACGUUUCUCACUUGUGGACUUAUGAUGCCACUAUAAAAGAGUAACAUCACUAAAAUACAUAGCAGCAAUAUUUACCUUAAUAGCAUCGUCAAUGAUGCUUUUGGGAUGCAAGUAUUGCUCUAUUCCCCACAAGAAGUUAUCCAUAUUAUUUGCGGACCUUGUCCCUGUAAACUCUUUUGACUUUGGGACAUUUAUAUUGUGGUUGAGUAUUGCACCCAACACUCUUUUACCACGGUGACUCGACACACAAGCUCCCAAAUCUUUCGAGAACCAAUUUAUUUCUUUCUUGAAACAGAAAAUCCAUAUCCAAAAAUGGCAUCAACAACCACCACUUAUGGCACCAUCAUCUCCAACCCAACCACCUUUUCCUCAUAUGCCAAACGCAUGCGUUGCUUGUGGCCAGAGCUAGUCUCCCUCUCUUCUUUUUGUGUCCCCAUCUCUCCAUUUCCUGUUUCUACCUCCCCAUCUUUGCUUAACUCUUCUUUGGCAUCCAUUAUUUUGUGAAUUACAUCCCUUUGUUUUCUCUAUAAAAAACUAAGAUUUUUGGGGUUUAUUAUUUUGUCCAGUUACCAUAUGCUACCCACUUUGAUUUUUAAUAAUAAUUUCUUUAGCCAAUAGCUUAUUUAUAAUUUUUAAAAUAGGGUUGGGCAUAUUUCGUCAUGUUAGGAAUAAGUCAAAGAAGCAAAACAAAACAUUUCAAUAAUCCCAUGACCCAACUAUUGCUUCUUUUUAAUCAGGAGAAAAUUGGAAUUUUAGGCAUAAUUUUGAAUUCUAUUUCAUAAAAAAAUUAAAAACCUAUUCUCAUCCUAGUUGGACAUCUAAAUUGGCAUUUAAAACUCAUUUGGACUGCCACAUACGACUAUCGUUAAGGAAGUAAUGGAGCUUAACAACAGAGUGAUCACUUCGUAACAAAACACUAACGUAAGUGACGAAAACGUAACAUUUCAAACAUAAAUGACUAACAUGUAAUUUGAGAAAAACAAAAGUGAUUUUUUUAUAGUUUACCCUAUAUUAUAGCAUAUUUUUAUUUUUAUUUUACAAAAUAAGAUAAAAAAAUAUACUAUUUAUUAAGUCUUUUACUAAGUUGAUCUUACCAACUCGAUUAGAAAAUUAUAGAAAUACCUUUUUGUAAUUAAAAUAGGUUAUACUAUUUGAAGGUAAUUUAAUCUUUUCAUUUUAACAAAAAACAAUUAAAAUUUACAUAUGGUAAGAUUUGCACGCACACCAAUCAAAUUAAUAAAACCUUAAAUUUACCUAUAAACCAAAGCUUAAUUUUGAUAUAUUUUAUACAAUUUUAUUUUAAUAUAUACAAAUUAUUAUCUUCAUUAAUUGUAAUUAUAGUGCAUUUAGUAUUACUAAUCUGAUAUAUUUAUGUAUUUAAACUUCGUUUCACUCAUAAUUUAAAUUAUUUUUUAUUUUAAUAUUGUAAAAAAAUUAAUGUGUUAUUAUGAUUAAUUAGUUCUAAAUUAUAUGUUUUAUUAUUUAUUAUAUUUUUUAAACAUGCAUUUAUGUUCUAAAUAUGUUAUUUUUACAUAUAUACGUAUGAUAGGAUUUUUAGUAUUAAUAAAAAAGAUUGAAGUAUGGGACGAAAGAAAUACAAAUAUACCAUAGAUCAUAUUCAACAUUUAAAUAAAUUAAAUAAUGUUAUAUGACAUCACACACAUCAAAAAAAAUUAAAUAUUAAUAAUAAUAUUUUAAAAUAAAUUUUAGUUAAGUGUAUUUGAUAAAUUGAAAAUUUAAUUAAUGCUGAAAAAUUGGGAUUGAAUUUUAUAAAUGUUGAAUUUGUAUUAAAAAAUUAUUUGAUAAAAGUAAAUAUUGAUUUUUAAAAGAUGAUGUACCUAUCUAGUUAUCUUAUUCAAUAUUUUUUUUAUUAAAAAUUUUUAUAUUAAGUAAAAAAUUAAAAUAAAAUGGUUUAUCAAACACACCCUAAAUAUCAUGAUUCAAUGAAACUAAAACUGAAUUAGAGGUAUUACGUAAGUGCAUGUUUGAUAAACUGAAAAAUUAAAUAUUGAAAAAUUAAGAAUUAAAUUUUUAUUGAUAAAUUUUAUAAGUGUUGAAUUUAUGUACUUAUUUUAAUUAUAUAAUAUUUUUUUUCAAAUAAAAAGAAAUAAUAAUAUUUUUAUAUUUUAAAAAAUUACAUAAAUAUCUCCAAUAAUAAUACUAUGCUUUAUAAUUUCACUCUCAUAGUUUUUUCUCCCAAGAUUUUGUUGAGUGGAAUAAAAUCAGUGAAUCAAAAUUAUUAUAAUUAUAAUUAUAAUUAUAAAAAUAAAACACAAAAUUCUGAUCAAGGCGAACGAAGAAGAGAUAAAAGGAUUUUAUCAAAAAAAAUAAUAAUAAAAAGAGAUAAAAGGAACAUUUAGCUAAUUUGACAAUUUUUCUUAAUCUGGUGAUCGAUUUUUUCAUAUUAGUAUCGAAAUUUAGUAAUUUUUCUUAAUUUAAUCUUUAAACUUGAAUUUUGUUAAAGUAUAAUAAAUUAAAAAUUUGAAAUUAUGUCAUAUAAUCAUGUUAAUUUUUAAAAUUUUUUUAUCACUCGGCAUAAUCUCAAAAUAUGAUAUCCUUAUAUCUCAGAAAUUCAAGUUCAGGAGCCAAAUGGAGAAAAACUAUCAAAUUCAGGGACUAAAAUGAUAAAAUUUACCGAAUCCAGGGACCAAACGUGUACUUUAUUCCAAACAAAUUAUCGCACGCUGCUUUUGUUACCGUCCAUAUCGGCACGUGACGUAAGCGGCGUGCCCUCCUUGCCCUAGUCUCUCCCACUUGCACUGUAGUUUUUAUCAACCCAAUAAAAAGGGAAGUGCGGCCAGCAGACUUGCGCUCUUUUCAAAGCCUCUCGUCUCCUCUCCAUAAAUCUCUCUCUCAACGCAGAGCGAAUAGGCGGAGACUUCCAAGAAUCUAUCGCAUCAGCUAAUCACGCUCCAAAGGUAACAAUUUCUCUAAAUUUUCAAUAAUAAACUUUUUAAGCAAAUAUCAGAUCUGAAUCUGAUGUUCUACUUUUUAGCUUCAAUCUGUUCUAGUUCAUCACUAUUUCAUUCUUUUUUUUUAUCUAUAUUAUAGCUGCACUUUUAGUUUUUCUUCAUUGUUUGUUAUUAGAUCUGAUUAUGUUUGAAAUGGUUUUGCCUACGUUCGAUCUGAUCUAUCGUGUAUAUAUUGUUUUUUUCUUGAAAUUUACGCUUGAUUCGUUAGAUCUAUUGGUGUUUACUGCUUUUGGUUGCAAAUCGGUAGUGUGAGAAUCUGUUUGGUUUGUAUCCAACUCUCACUUGUUGAAAUUUUAGAUCCACUGAUUUCCGUCACUUUUAGAGAGUCUCCUUUUUCACUCAAGAAAAUUGAUCAUUUUUCACUACCUUCAGAUCAGCUUCUGUUUUCUGCCUUUUCAAACUUCAAUACGAGGCAAGAUAUAUAUGUAUUUAUUUGUAAUAUUCCUUACUGAAAUUACUUGCAUAAAUUCAAAAAAGUUGAUAUGCUUAUACAUGCAGUGCAUUUUAGAUUAUUGUUUACUGUUCUAUAUGGUAUUUAUUUUAUGGUUUCUGCUUAAAAUUGCCGCGUUGAUUAUGUUAUUGUAUCUGUGUUUCAAUUUUGUAUGUCCUUUUGUUUUUACUUCUAGUAAUAUGUUGUUCUUGAUGAGAUGUUCCAAUCUUGCGGCAUAUCCCCUUAGUAUGCCUUUUUGCACGGUUUACUCUUUCUUGUUAAAAUAAAACCGAGCUUCGACUUGAUGUCUUCUAUAUUUUGUUUUUCUUGGCUAUAACAUUUUUGUAUCCAUGAUCUUACAUCUGGCUUUGUUUCAUUGUUGACAAUUAAUAUGCAUUUCUUUUCAUUCUAUUCUGUGUGUUCAUGUGCUCAUUUUCUUUCUUUCAAUGAAGUCAGAAUGGAUCAGGUUCAACACCCAUCUGUCAUGCAGAAGGUAGCAGGCCAGCUCCUUCGUUCUAGCCAUUCUCAAGAUUUUCAAGGUUAUAAUGGGUCUUUCAGGAGUCCUGCUCUAUACCAAAGGCGUGCUGCAUAUGGCAAUUACUCCAAUGCUGCACUGCAGUAUCCUGUCCGGGCUUGUGGAGACCUGUCUAUGGUUCCAUCAACAGCUUCAGCUAUUUGCGUUCAAGCCCCUGCUGAGAAAGGAUUUGCCAGCUUUGCCAUUGAUUUCCUCAUGGGUGGAGUUUCUGCUGCUGUAUCAAAAACAGCUGCUGCACCAAUUGAGCGUGUUAAGCUUUUGAUUCAGAACCAAGAUGAAAUGAUCAAAAGUGGAAGGCUCUCUGAACCUUACAAUGGUAUUGGUGAUUGUUUCAAGCGAACAAUCAAGGAUGAAGGAUUUGGUUCUUUGUGGAGAGGAAACACUGCCAAUGUUAUUCGUUAUUUCCCCACUCAGGUUAGCAAUUCUAACUUUUUAUAUAUUACAUUUUCUUUCGAUUAUAUUUAUUGAUCUUGUUUCAUACUUAUUCCUUUGUUCAUUUUUCUACAGGCCUUGAACUUUGCCUUCAAGGAUUACUUCAAGAGGCUUUUCAACUUCAAGAAAGACAGAGAUGGUUACUGGAAAUGGUUUGCUGGGAACUUGGCAUCUGGUGGUGCAGCUGGUGCUUCUUCCCUUCUCUUUGUCUACUCCUUGGAUUAUGCUCGAACUCGUCUUGCAAAUGAUGCAAAGGCUGCAAAGAAGGGAGGAGAGAGACAAUUCAACGGGCUUGUUGAUGUCUACAGGAAAACCCUAAAAUCUGAUGGUAUUGCCGGGCUUUACCGUGGUUUCAACAUUUCAUGUGUUGGAAUCAUUGUUUACCGUGGUCUAUAUUUUGGAAUGUACGACUCUCUGAAGCCGGUGCUUUUGACUGGAAGCAUGCAGGUUAGUAUGCAGGAUGUUAUUUGAUACAACUAUAUAUAUUGUCUUGUUACUUAAGCUAUAUUUUUUUUGUUGUAAUGACAUCUUGCUCUCUGUUACCCUUUCGAUAAUUACAGGAUAGUUUCUUCGCUAGCUUUGCUCUUGGUUGGCUCAUCACAAAUGGUGCUGGCCUUGCAUCUUACCCAAUUGACACUGUUCGUAGAAGAAUGAUGAUGACUUCUGGUGAAGCUGUCAAAUACAAGAGCUCGCUUGAUGCCUUCUCUCAGAUCUUGAAAAACGAAGGUGGCAAGUCUCUAUUCAAGGGUGCUGGAGCUAACAUCCUUCGUGCCAUUGCCGGUGCUGGUGUGCUCGCUGGAUACGACAAGUUGCAGCUCAUUGUUUUCGGAAAGAAGUACGGAUCCGGUGGUGCUUAAAUAUAGGGUGGUACUAUCUCCCUUCUUUUGUUAUGUUUUAGGUUUUAAAGAUGGCGACACAUUGAGAAAUUUAUUUCGGCAAAAAAAAAAUCAUUAAUAAUUCAGAUUUAGGGGGGGAAGUUACUCCCUAAACGAUUUUUACAUUUGGGAUGUGAAAUUUUGAUUUACCCAUCUCGGAUUUUUGGUUUGGUUUUAAGAAAUGAAGUGAUGGAUGUUUUAUUUAUAUCUGAAGUUUCAGGUUGAAAUUUGGUUAACCAUCCAUGGAAGUUAAUUUUAUGCUUUUGGCUGGCUACUGAAAUGAAUUUAUAUGAUGAUAUUUGUUGUCUUGAUGCACAAUGUAAACUGAUUUGAUAGAGAAUUUAUAGUAUGAAAUAGGAAUAAAAUAAAGUAGUGUGAAAUUAGUAUUUUAUAUUAUGAAAAGAAUAAAGUAGUGAUAUUAGAGAAUGUAUAUUUUUGUUAUAUUAAAUUUAACUUAUCAUCCACGCUGAAAACGAUGGUUUCAUUUUGGGUUAACUAACUAAUCUUUGCUUUUGCUUUUAAAUAUUAUAUAUAUAAAACUCAGUUGGAAUAUUUUAACUGUUGUGCGCUUUUGUCAAAUGUGACUUCAACCGGAUUAGACAACCUUACGUUUCAUGGAGAUUUUUAUUUGUAGGAGUUAAAUUGCAUAUUUUUAUUUUAUUUUAAUAAAUUAGUAAAUUAAUCUUUAUAAGUUAGAUUAAAAAGAAAAUUAUUAUUCUAUUAAAAAUUUUGUUCGUUUUUGUUAUUAAAAAUUAAUCUAUAUAUGUUAACAUGAGUUAUUACGUUACACCACAUGUUAGUGUUUAAAGAUUAAUUUUUUUUAUAAUCUAACGUAUAAAGAUUAAUUUAUUUAUUUUUUAAGUAAAAUCCUUAAAAUAUAAUUUGGCUCUUAAUACUAUGCUGCUUUUACCAUUAUGAUAUGAUCUCUCUUUACUCUUUUAGCUUCCAUUGGUUAGUUUUUGACAUGGCACUUUUUUGAGGAUUUAGAUUUAACUUCAUACAAGUAUUAUUCCUUUUAUUUAUAGUUGUUUACUUUUUCUCCUUUCUGGUUUGUCUUUGGGUCAAAAAUAUCAGUCGUUUUGGUACAACUAAAUUUAGGACUCUAAGCUGCUUGUACUGUUGGUGGAAAUAGUUUUAGCCAAAGGCAAGUGUAUAACCGUAAAAUCUCCUCUAAUUACAAAUUUAGCCUUUAAAUCAUAUUUAAUGUUUUUUAAAUAAAAAAAAGGUAAUUAAACAAUCCAUUUUAUUUCAUUUUAUCUAAAAAAAAUAUAGCUACUAAAAACGUAAAUUAUCAUAGCGUAUGAUAACAGUUUAAUGACCGGUGAGUGAGAUAAAUUGUAUGAAAAAGCAAAAAGAAUAAGGGAUAAAUAUUAAAAUUAUACAUAGAAUGUAAUUUUGUUUAAAUAUACUGUAGAAGUAUCAUUGAAGCUGUUGUAUUAGGAGCCAAAUUGUAUUUUGCCCCUCUCUAGUAAAAAAAAGGCAAAUUAGCCUAUGUAUGUAAGAUAAAAAAGCAAAUCGGUCUUUUUUAUUAAAAAAUUCAUCAUUCGUAUUGCUAAAAACUAGUGUGACUGAGGGGACAAUUGAAUAGUGACACGUGGUAUGCCACAAGUACCUAUAUAGACCAAUUUACUUUUUGAUCUAAUUUGUAGGGACUUAUUUGUCUAUUUUUUCAAUAGAAAGAGUAAAAUGUAAUUUGACUCAUAAUACAGAGGCUUUCACGGUUCUUUUACCAUAAUUACACAUAUUAAACUUUGAUUUUGGUUUAAAUGUAUACAUAAAACUUUGAUUUGAUUCAGUUGUAUACAUUUAUACAUUUAUUGAAAUGAAUAUAUCAAUUUAUUUUUACAUUGGAUAAGUAUAAUUAUUUGUGUAUGUAAUAUGUAAAUGUAAAAUGAUAUUAUAUUGAUAAUGAUGUUAAUUAUUUAUGAUGGUAAUGAUAAUAUUCAAAUUAAUUAGAUAAAAAGUUACUAAGCCAAAAAAAAAAAAAGAGUUAAUAGUUUUAGCCUAUAUCAAAUUUAUCAAUGGUUUGAAAUUCAUUUAUUUUAAUUUUGAAAUAUAGGAGAAAAAUACUAUGACAAUUUUUACUAUAAAAAGUAAUUAUUAAAUUUUAUUGGAUUGAAUGAUAAAAAAAUUGAAAUUAUUUUUAAUAAAAUCUUAGUUUAAAUUUUGUAAAUAAAAAUGAUAAUAUUGAGAGAAUUUGUCUAAACUUGACAUUAAAUAUAGUCGAGAUUCAAUAUAAUUUUAAUAUUGUAGAUAUUAGAAUAGAAAAUUAAUAUAAAAAUAAUAAUAAUAAUUUAGAGAUGGAUUCGCAACUUUAAGCUUGUCAAAAUCAGAUUAGAUUGGUUGAGAUAUUGGUUCAAAGAGAAAGGUUAGAUCGAUUGAUUCUUGAAUUGCUCAGAAUCAAGCUAAAAAAGUUUGAAUCGAUGAUUGAAUUGAUUUUCUUUAUUUUUUAAUAUUUUUUAUGAUUUUUAAUAAUUUAUUUAAUUAAACUAGAUGGACCGAUUGAAUUGAUGAUCUAACUAGUUCGACCACCAUUCUGAUUCUAAAAACUUUGUUAUUACAAGAAAUAAAAAAAAAGUUUAUUUAAUCAUAAAAAAACUAAAAAAAGGGUAAACUACACCUAAGGUUACUAAACUAUUGGUAAGUUUACAUUUUAGUCACUUAACUUUAAAAAGUUACAAAAUGAUCACAAACUAUUUGAAAGCUUUCAUUUAAGUUACUAAAUUAUUCAAAAGUUUUUAUUUAUCUCACUAGCUCCAAGCAACAAAUCGACAAUUGGUACGAUGGAUCAGUAUUGAUUGACAAGAAUGGUACCACUUGAACAUAGAUGCCCUAGGCACAAUACUUUCACCUUUGAGGUUUCUCCUAAAACGAACCCAACCUCUCCUCAACAAUGUUCAUUCUUCUCAUGAACGGUGGAUUUCUAGUUUUGAAAUGAAUUUGGGUCAUUAAUGUUUGUUAGAUCGAGUGGUAAAGAGCUCAAUUUCUCUUUUUUGUGAAUGGAGAAUAUAGUAUUAGGAGAGUUUUGUUUUACCUCUUGUUUAGAGGUUGGACUUGGCUUCACUUUGGAUUUAUUUCAACCUCUGAAGAAAAAAAAACUCGGGUCUUCCCAUUUAUGUGCUAAAACAAAGCAUAAUUAGAUAUAGUCCUUUCAAUAAAAAAUGGAAGCUUUAGUCUAUCAACACAUGCUUAAUUAAUCUACUAACAUUACUUGGUUGCUUGAUGUUGGAUUCACAUGCAUGAAUGUGAUAAGAUGGUGGUUUUUUUCUCUGUUCAGGAAAAUGUAAACUAGUCGAUGAGUAUGAAUGCAUACAAAUUCGGGUUUGGACAAUACUGUUUACGGUCCAUAUGAGGUAAAUGAUCAUUUGACAAGAAUGGAUGGAUGUCUCGAGGACUUGGGACUACCGGUGGACACCGAGUUCUGACCAGCCUGCGGUUUUAGAUAUGCUGCCCGGAGUUGAUGCAGUUGUGGAGAUGCAUUGUACACCCGAAGACUGUUAGUUGAGAAAUACGUUUUAAUCUACGUUUACAGGCACUCCGAAUCAUCAAAGCAAUAGUAGUUCUCCGGUAUGUUUCAAAUUCCGAGUUGAACGGAAUAGUUGUCGAGAAUGAAACAAAGUUCAACUAUUGGAGCUGAUCAAAAUUUCCGUCUUUAUUAUGAAUUUAUUGCCUUAGAAAGUAGAAAGCGGAAGCUUACUGUUAUGAUCACGAAUGAGCAAUGAAAAUGCAACCAUUGGCAUGGAUGCUAAUGUGGGGAAAAUAUGUCUGUAUUUAUUGACCUUGUCCGAGCCGUAGCACUCGUAUAUAGGCUUGAGUAAAAUUCAAUUCGACUUGAAAAGAUAAAAAGAAAUUCAAAAUUUUGAGUUAAUCGAAUCGAAUUAUUCAAUUUUUUAAAAUAAAUUUUAUAAUUCAAAUAAUUCAAAUAACUUAAAUACUUCAAAUAAUUCAAAUAAUAGAUUGAUGUAAAUACACCUUUAGUCUCUAUCAAUUUUGGAAAUGAGUAAAUUAGUCUAUUUUUCAACAAAAAUUACGAUUCUUUUAAAUAUUGAUAAAAAUUUCAAAAUUUAUUAUUCGGAUAUGCAUGAAAGCCCUACUCCAUUGCGUUGUUAGAAUCCAUGUUGUAUAUUUGAAAGAGGUUGACCUCCUUGCUUCUCAUGGUACAAUCUUCUUACCCUUGAGCUCCCUUUCUUCUUGGUCCAUAGAGAUAAAAUGUAAUGUAGGACUGGUGCCAACAGUUAAUCACGGAAGAAAGGACUCACUGAGCAGGGAUUACUAGCUAAUACUAAUAUAAUACUAAUUUUCCUCUUAUUUUGCUUUGAAAUAUUUUCAAAAAUUUAUUGUUUUAAAUUUAUGUACUCUAAUAUAAAAUUAAUUAUAUUGUAAGAAGAUUUUAAUUUGAAAUGUUUAAUUUUUUACAUUUAACUCAAACAAUUCUAUUUGAUUCAACUCGACUCGAAUUUCAUUUUACUCGACUUUGAUUCAAAAAAAUUCGAAUCGAGUUAGGAUGAUAAAAUAAGACCCGUCAACUUGAUUAACUCGAAAUUUUUUCACUUGAUUCGAUCAAACACUCACCCCUACUCGUAGUGCUUGUAAAAUUGAUUCAUUUUAACUGAGAAUAUUAAGUUUGCCAAAAUGAAAUUAGGAUAUAAUCGAGUUGAGGCGCUAUGGCUUUUUUGGGCAGACUGAAUAGUGGGUCUAAUGAAAUUAGGCAUUAAGACAUCAAAAUUCAAUGGGUUCGCAUUAGAGGUGCUCAUGGGCAAGGGCGUAGCUAGGAGGCUGACAGGGGCCCUGACUUCAAUAAAAUGGAAAAAAUUUCAUUUAGGCCUUUUAGAAAUUUUUAAAUUCUAAAUUAGUAAAGGUAAAAUUAUACUUUGGCCCCCUAAAAAUAAUAAAAAAUUGAUUUAAUCCUUUAUAAUUUAUAAAAAUAUAAACUAUUAAAAAUUACAAUUUAAUUUUGUCCCCCAAAAUUUUCUAGCUUCACCCCUACUCAUGGGCCGGGUUAGGUCGGACCUAAGUAUGAUAUUAACAUACUUUAUGCUUGACCAAACUUGGCCCAACUAGAAAUAUGGGCUUAAAAUUUUGUCCAAGCUCAUUCAUAUUUGCAAAAGACUAAUCUAAGCCUAUAUUAAGCUCGCUCAUAUUAUUUUUUAAAAUUUUUUAACAAAUAUUUAUAUUAUAUUAUUUUAAUGUUUAAUAAUUUUAUACAUUUUUUAUUUAUUAAAUUUUUUAUAUAACCAUCUUAAUAUUAUUUUAAUGUUUACAUUAGGCUAGUAUUAUAUAUUUAAUAAAAGUUUAUUUUUUAAUAUAUUCUAAGUUACAUAAUAUAUAAAAAUAACAUAAUAUAAAAUAUUAAAAACUUAAAAACGAGUUAAAUCAAGCUGAAUUUGAUCCUUGAAUAUUAAAAUUUAAUCCUAACCUCUCUCUAUAUAUAUUUACCUAAACCUAAAUUUCAGAUUUAACAAUUUUUCCUAAAUUCUCACAAAUUUCGGAACCUAAACAAACAUCCCGAACCUUUUAACAGUUGUAGUCGGCACCAUUGCUUACUUUGAAACUUUUGUUGAUUAGCUGCAUUUCUUUAAUUUUAAUUUUACAGGACAGCUGUUUUUGAGUUGUUUGAGAAUUUUCCACUUACUUUUUUUUUUUUUUGCCAGCAAAAUUGUGGCAAUCACUGUCCAUAUUUUGGAUUGACGAAUUUGAUUAUGGAUUUGGGAAGGGCCACGUUUAGGAUUUGUUGGUGAUUUUUGGUUUUUGACUAAGUGAAAAUGAAACCUCACUAAUAAAACACUUCCUUUGUCUGGGGUCAAUAUCUUUUAUAUAUAUAUAUCAAUUCUGACACAUAAUUUAGGUGUGAAAAAUUAUUAUCGGAAAAAACUACAAAUAGAAGAAAAAAAAUUUACUAAUGUUAAAAAAUUAAUAGUUAAGAAAAAUUUGAUUACUCUUAUUUUAAGGGUUAAAUAAUCUUGUUAUAAUUAAUGCCUAAUAGAAAAAUUAUAGAGUUUUUUGAAGAGCCCUCGAUCCUUCCCUGUAAAUCCCUUAUUUUAUCUCUAUUUUAUAUAUUUAACAAGUAUUAAUAUAUAUAGAAAUAGUAGCGAAUGCUGUAGAGUGUCAAUGUUCCCAAAACAGCUUCUCAAUUCUUGCGUCCUUAUUAUUUGUAAACCUUCGAAUGGUACCAUUAAUGUUGACGCUGUAAUCUUUGAGGGGUUGUGAGAUGAAGAAUAAUAGGAUGGUUCCCUUCAUUACAAGACAUGAACAGCCCAGAAAACCCAACAAAACAUCGACCAUAUUCAAGCUCCAGAUGAAGAAUAAUAGGAAGGUCCCCAAAACAGUGUUAUAACCCGAGUAGAACUUCCGUAAAACGAGACACAACACGUAAACCACAUAACAGAUUCAAGAGCAUUCCUGUUUUACGAGACAGUGUGUAUUAAGGGAAGCUACAGUGGGUGUGUGCUCAGUGGUGGCAAUUGGCGACUGGUGAACGAUGAUGGUGGUGACUGGUGGGUGUUGGAGGAGUGGAGAAGGCAAAUGUGUUUUCUUUGUUAGUUGAUUUGAAUGGAGAAAGUGGAGGAGAGGAGAGGGCUAAUUGGACUGUGGGAAAAAAGAGUAUAGGUUGGUUAUCCAGGGUGGGUUGGGUUCGAGAAAAAAAAAAAACUUACUUGAUGAUGAACCCGUUUUUGUAGAUAGACAUCAUUUUUUUAGGCGGAUUGACUCAUGAUUAAGUCUAAAUAGAAGACCUGUGAUAAUAAUAUAGAGAUAUAAAUUGUAUAAUUAAUUUCUUUCAAUUAUUUUCUGUAAAAAAAAGAAUUCUUUCAAUUAUUCUUAUAUUUUUAAAUUAAAUAGUUCAAGUUAUUCGGAUCAACUCGAAUAAAAAAUUAAAAUUUUCGGUUUAACUCGAAUAUAAAUUACACAAUUCGAGCUAUUCCAAAAUCCGAAUAAGAAAAAAUAAAACAACGUUAUUUUGAUAAAUGUUUACCCAUCAACCUUACUUAUGUAGUUAAAAAAUCUUAUACUUUGUCUACUAGUUAAAUAAUCAGUCAAUGUAAACGUAACAUUGAGUAUAAAUAAUAAGAUUCAUUAACUCGACUCGAAUCGAAAAAAAAUUUAAAUUAAGUUUUGUUUGUUAAAAUAGUAUUUGUCAACUUCACUAACUCGAAAAUUUUUUAUUUGACUCGGUCGAAUACUCACCCCUAAUUCUUAUUGGAUAUAUUAUAAUAAUUACUAUUAUAAAUUGUUGUUACACAAAAAAAAAACAAUAUAUUUGAGUAAUGAAUUAGACUCUAACAGAAUGUUGCCUUUAAGGAAAAGAAUGCUUUAAAAAACAAGGCUUACUUUACUGUACUGCACUUUACUGUGUUACCGGCCAUGGCCAUGGCCAUGUCGAAUAGUCGAUGGCGACAGUGUCGUAGUUUGCGUACGUAACAGUCAAAUUAGUCGAGGCCUAUGCUUAGGUUCUUUUUCUUGUCUUCCUUUGAAUAAAAAUAGUGUCUGUCUGCAGGUGUGUGUUAGUUGGUGUCUUAAAUCUUAAUUAAUUAAUGUUUUGCAGUCUAAUUAACCAUGCAAAUCCCAUGCAUUGGGGGCGCAUGCUGCCGCCUACAAAUUUUAAUAUUAUUCACGUUUCGUUACAUUAAUUAAUUGUUUUUGUAUACCCAUAAUAAGGAAACGUGUAUUGCACAGUAAAAGUAGCUCCUUACGCUUAGUCGUAAUGGUAAGGUAUAUUAUAUUCUUAGAGGGAACUCAAUUUUAAAUAUUAGAAAUAUUAUUAUUGAGAGGGGUAACUAUAAACUCCGAAAGAAGUAGUAUUUAUGAACCAUAAAAUGGAGAUAAAUGACACUUUAUUGUUGGGAGUGCGGGCAAAGCUAGAAAAAUGUUUUGGGGAUUGAAAUUAAGUUGUAUAUUUUUAUGAGAGCUAAAAUGCAAUUUCAUCAUUUUAAUAACUUAUAUCUUGAUAAUCUUUUAAAGGACUAAAUCAGAAUUUUAUCAUUUUAGGAGUUCAAAGUGCAAGUUUACCAUGCACUGAAUUAAAAUUUUAUAAAUUAUAAAAGCUCAAAAGUUGGAAUUUGCCAUUUUAGGAGGGGUGAGGCCCUUUUCUAGUCUCCUACCUUCACUAGAGAGACAACCAUGAACCCUAAAAGAAUUAAUUUUCAUGGACUAUAAACGGACAUGAAUAAUACCUUAUUGUUAGAAGGAGUAGUCACAAACUCCAUAACUAUUAAUCUUCAUAGACUGUAAAACAGAUAUAAGAAAUAACUUAUUAUUACGAGAGGUAACCAUAAAUCCGAGAAGAACUAAUCUUCAUGAAACAUAAAAUGAACAUAAAAAACACAUUUGGUCAUACCUAAAAAGAAAAAAGAGAAAGGGAGUUGUUUAUGGAUUUGAACCGGACCAAAUAUUAACAAACAUUUUUACCACUACACCAAUGGUUUGGUAUAUAUUGUCACUACACUCUAUUGAAAUUUGAUGAUUAAUCAUUCUAAUGUAAUUUGGCAUAAUAUAUCACGAUGAAAGUAGAGGCACCAAAAACGAAAUUAAACCCUUCUAUAUGUGAGAUCAAUCCCUUUUGUCUCUUAUAUAUAUAUAACCUAAUAUACUAUAAUAUAAAUAGGGGUUAUGCUUCAAGAACACGUGUGGGGUGUUAUGUGAAAUGGAAGCAAACAGGUAAAUUUGUGUCUCCGACACAUAUGAUGAUUACCUUGUGAGUGAAGAAAAAAAGCAUAAAAAAAAAAUCGAAAAAGACAAUAAUUAAUUGAGUCAAACACAAGACGACCCUUUGUUGUGUAAUGUAUAGUGUAUGUAUAUGUUAUGUGGUUCCACUCCAACCCUAGGAGGUCCCCCUCCAAUCCGUUUUCCACUCUAUCCCCAUCAACCAACAAACACCCCCUCCCUAUAUAUAUAUUUGGUUAAAUUUUAAUAUUAGUCCCUAUGUUAUAUAGAAGUUCUACAUUUAGUUCCUAUACUUUAGUUUGGUUUUUUUAGUUUGUGUACUUUUUGAAUUUUAGAAUUUCAAUUUUGAUUGAGCAGUAGUUGUUAACUUCAUUAAAUUAAGUUCUGUUGUUUCUCAAAUCUUAAGCAAAAAAUAUAUUAGGUGUGUAAUGCCAUGUUAACUUAUAAUUUUCAUAUUUUACACACACAAAAAAGGCUAGCUAAUAGGCUUAAUUGGAGUCGUAUAAGUCAAAACUGAAAUUUUAAAUUUUGAAAAAUAUGGGGAUUAAGAAUGACCAAAUUAGAAAAAAAUGGACUAAAGUUAUUACAGCUUAUGUAUAGUAGAAAAUUAAUAGCAGAAUUUAACCAAACGAACUUAAUUGCUACCAUUUGGGUUAUGGCUUAAAUUUUAAAAAUUUAAAAGUACAAGGACUAAAAUUGGCCAAUGUACAUGGACUGCAUAGAUAACUUAUGCACAUGGACUGCAUACAUAACUUAUGCAUAGUGUAGGGACUAAUAAUAGAAUUUGACCUAUAAAUCUCUCUCUUUCUCAUAUAUAACAUAUUGGUCUAAUUGUAGUUUUCACCCUUCUUCUACACUUUUAAUUUAGGAUUUAAUCCCUCUAUUUUGAUUUAGUAUAGUUUGAUUUCUCCACUUUUAUUUUAGGAAAAAUAAAUUUUUAAGCAUUCGUCUUUAUUACGAGUUAAACAUUGUUUGAUUAGAUUUUUACCUGGCUUGAUUAUGUGACUAAAUAACAAUAAAGAAAAAAAUACAGUCACCAUUUUUAAUGACAACAACCAAAUGGUGUUAACGAUUUGCACUUACUAAUAACAUUAUUAAAAGUAGAAAAAUAAAUUUAUGUCAAAUUAAAGUAAAGAGAUGAAAUAUCAAAUAUUAACAUAGUAUAAGGGCUAAAACCAUAAUUAACCAUCAUAUAUUUAUUUAUACAUUAUUCAUAUUCAAAGUUUAAAGCAAACUCCAAACCAUCACUAUCAUCAUCACCAUUACCACCCCAUGAAGCCUUCUCUCUUUGAUCUUUCUCUCUCUCUUUCUUAUAUUCAACCCAUCAUUCCACACCAGUCCAUUCCCCCUUACAUAGCUUUUCUCUUUAUUAUCACAACCCACAUAAUUCACCCUCUUAAUUAGAAAAACUUAAAGGGGCUCACCAGCAAUGAGGAAACCUGUUCCAGAUCCACCAAACAUGGGAAAAGACAACAACAAGGUGAAGCUGAGGAAGGGACUUUGGUCGCCUGAAGAAGACGAGAAGCUGAUGAAGUACAUGUUGAGCAACGGACAAGGGUGUUGGAGUGACAUUGCUAGGAAUGCUGGUUUGCAGAGGUGUGGUAAGAGCUGUCGUCUUCGUUGGAUUAAUUAUUUGAGACCUGAUCUCAAGCGUGGUGCAUUUUGUCCUCAAGAGGAAGAUCUUAUUAUACAUUUGCAUUCCAUCCUUGGCAACAGGUUCUAAUGCUUUCUCUUUCUAUGUGUGUGUGUGCGUGUGAUGAUACAUGUAUGUGUGUGUAUCAUAGGGAUUAAGGAAUUGAUCAUAUCAUGUUGAAAUGCCAAUAUCAUGCAUGCAUAUAUAUCAUAAUGUACAAAACACUGAGAUCCAUUGGUUUGAAAAAUUUCAGGUGGUCUCAAAUCGCAGCUCGUCUUCCAGGAAGAACAGAUAAUGAAAUAAAGAAUUUCUGGAACUCCACACUAAAGAAACGAUUGAAAACCACCACCACCACUCCCACAUGUUCGUCGCUAAACAACAGUGAUUCAAUAUCAGAGCAGCCAAGAACAGAUGGUGUAGGAGCCAUUUUUCCGGUGAACGAACACGACAUUGACAUCGUGGGUGCUUCUUUAUCGUCGCCUUCUUCGUCGCCAACGUCCAUGCCCUACACAUCAAUGGUCACAUUAAACCAGUUCGACCCAUUCCCUCACGUCAAUAACUCAUAUGACAUGAAGGGUUCAUUCAAUGCGCCAACAUGGUUAACAACAGCACAAGGUGGUGUGGGAGAGGGAUUAUUUUAUGGUGAUUAUGGGAAAAUAGGGUUAGAAGGGGAGUUUUCUCUUCCUCCACUUGAGACCACUGCUGCCAUUGCCAAUAACAACAAUAAUAGUUGCUUAAACAACACAGCUGGUGAGAAGAAUCACGGUCAAAGCUUCAAAGUAGAGGUGGACAAUAUGUUUGGGUUAGAAAAUAAUCAUCAUCAUUGGCAUGGAGAAAGCUUGAGAAUGGGAGAAUGGGAUUUUGAGGAAUUGAUGGAUAACAUAUCUUCUUUUCCUAAUUUCCUCGAUAAUUUCCAUUGCUGAAUAUAUUAUUUUCUUUUCCUCUUUUGGUUCAAAUUCAGGUUUUAGUCCCUUUACUAUGCUCAAAGUUCGAGGUUUAAUCACUAUAAUUUGCAAUAAUUUGAUUAUUUGCUUUUAUAAUAUUCCAUUAGUUAAUCCAAAUAAUCAAUUAUUCCGAUUAUUCCGAUUAUAAAGUUGAUGUGGAUUUUUUCACUUUAAAAACACCUCUUACAACUCAUAUUGACACAGACAUUUUUUUUUGUGUUGGAAGAGGUGAAUUUAAGAAAAAUCUACAUUAGCAUUUUAACACGGAAUAGUUAACUGUGUUAAUUAUUUGGAUAACUAAUUAUGACAUUAUAAAAGUAGAUGAUCCAAUUAUGUCAAAUUAAAGUCAAAGGAUUAAAUCUUAAAAUUAAGUAUCAUAGAGGGACUAAGACCAACAUUUGACCAUUCAUUUUAGACUCGGCAAAUUUUGAGCUUCUGGAAAUUAUAAACAUAAAACAGUGGAGAUUAGCAGAGAGACGGUGGGAGACAUGAAUAUUGUAGCUAUGUAUUUUAAUUGUAGUUUGAAAUUCAUGUACAAAUUAGGGGAAUAAUUUGAACUAUAUUUUGCAUGAAUGUACAUGUAAAAACAUAAUCAAGCAAUAAAAAGGUAAUAAACACAUUAAUUGUAAGAAAAUUACUAAUGCUGUCUGUUUUCUGAAGUUAAAAUUAAUGAAAUGUUCUUACAUAAAUUAAACUUUUUUUAAUUAUUGAUUAUAUUAGUGUUUGUGUUUACCACAAUUUUCUCAAAUGGUAUCGUACUCUACAAUAUGGUGCAAGAAAAUCUUUUUCUAUUUGUAUAAUUAGCAUCGGCCUUAUAAUAUUUGGGUUUCACGGUCUAAAUAGUUUGUAGCUUUAAUUAUAAAAACUUAUAUAAACUUAAUUUAAAGAAAGACUUAUAUUAAGUUAUAUCCGUUUUUAUAAUAAGUAAAUUAAGUAAAAAAUAACAUAAAUUUAUAAGAUAUAACUUUUAUAAAUAAAUAUUUUAUAAAUUGUUCAAACCUUUCGUAACAUUUUUUAUAAAUAAAAUUUUUUGUCAUAACUUUAGAAAAUUAUUAUUUUUAUAAGUACGUAAUGGUAAAAAAAAUUACAACAUUUUCUUAUGAAGAAGUAUAUUAUUUUUAUAAUACGUGGCAUGGAUAAAUAAGUUAUGCUCACAUUUUUUUGCUGUAAUUUUUUAUAAAUAAAUUUAUUGUAACACUUUUAUAACAUGUAAAUUAUUUUUUAUUGUAAUUUUAUAAAAUACAAAAAAUAUUUUUAUAAUAUAUUUUUUUAGGAUUUCUAAUAUAAGAAAUUUUUGGUCAUAACUAUCCAAAUGCUCAUACAUAUUUAUUCUUAUAAUAUAAUUUUUUUAUAACUUGUAUAAAAAUAAUUUUUUAAAAUUAGAUUUGGGUGUAAUUAUUCCAAUUCUCACUCUGCCUCUAAGAAUUGGAAAAUGUGAUUGAAGUGCUGUAAUUACACCCAAUUCGAUGGAAUCUGUCAAUUAUAAUAGUUAUCCAAACAUGUCACUAGUGUAAUUAUAAAUAAUUACACACAAAUCUAAUUAUUAGGUGGAUUUCUAAACAUUACUUUAAUAAUCAUUAAAUUUUGAUUAAAUAAAUUCUUGUUAGUAGUGUAAUACUUGGAGUAGUAGAUCAUCUCUACCAUUUUCAAAUGAGACGGUCGCUAAGGGUGUUCAAUCGGUUAACCGACCUUAAUUAUCAUUAAUCGAAUCAACUGACCCUUUUAAACUCUUAAUCAUUAACUAAAUCGAAAUUUUUUCAAAAAAGAACUAACCGAACUAAACUUUUUCGGUUAAUUCAAUCAGGUAACUGAAUUAACCAAAAUUUAUAUAUAUAUUUGGUUAAAACAAGUAUAAAACAUAUCAAAAAUUAACCGACCGAUUAAUUUAUUUUUUCAAAAAAUUAACUGAACCAACCGAAUACUUAUAUAUUAUAAUAUUAUUUAUUAAAUUCGGUUAAUCGACCGAUUUCGAACCAAAUUAAUCGUUAACCAAAGUUUCAAAAAUUAUUAACCGACCCUCGAUUGAAUUAAUUAACUAAAUUCAGUCAAUUAAUUGAAUUAAUUCAGUUUUACCUCUAAUUUAUACACAUUUGACAGUACCAAUUAGAGGAAUUAAUUGCUACUUCGAAACCAUCUCGGAAUCCCAGAAAGAAAAAGAAAAAGAUCCAAGAAGUUGACGAUUUUUAAAAAAGAUGGCUUCCUCCAAAAGGACCGCAAUUGAUCCACUUGAGGAUAGCAUGUAUCACCUCAAAAGUCGACAAUGAAGCAUCAUUAUCGAACUAAGGGGAGAGAGAAUGUUGGAUAUGCAAAUAGAGUUGACCAUGAAAGAACACAGGUGAUUGUAAUCCUCGAGAUGUUAAAAA
rnacentral:lncRNA from 1 species